UCAUGGCUAAACCUACUUUUUAUUAGUUCCCAUACUUCUAGCAGCAUUUUUUUUGGGGGGAAAAAAAACAUGUAUUCUUUCAAUUGAAAAGCCAUACUACCAACAUAAUGGUGGCUCUUACUCAGAGAUCCUAAAAGGAACAAAUCCUAGGUGUAAAGAAGUAAAGUCUGUGAUAGGAACUCGACUUUUAGACUCUAAAAUUAACAAUGGAAAGGCAAGUAGAAUGAUUCUGUAUAAUUUUUUUUUUAUUUAGUCUAAAAAUAAUUUAAUCUUCUUCCUACUCAUGUGAUGAGAGUUCGAAAUGGUUCAAUAUAACUUAUUUUGAAAAAAAUAUGAUCCAACCACUUAUUCUUAAUCAAAACACGUUAUUUCUUCACUCAUGUUUGAAAACCGAUCCAAUUAAACUUCUUUUUCUGCUAAAGAAACUGUUAACUAUUAACUUUUUUGGUUGUGUAUUUUAAUAUUCUAUUCUUAAACAUUCUUUACUUUAAUAAAGUAAAGAAUCUCUUAUAGUAACAUUACUCCAUAUAUAUGAAAAGAGAGAGUGUAAAUUUCUAAUUAAGGAUUUCUGACGAUAUUAGAGUCUUGAAUAAGUUAAAGAUAAAAAAAUAUAAAUUUUAAUAUACUGAAAGAUAAAAUACAUUGCAUUAGAGUUUGUAUUUUAUUGUCUUUUAAGUCAUCUAUGAUUUUAAUAUAGUCAUGAAUCCUUUCUUGAAAAGUUAUUCUCUCUUUUUUUAUACACACCCAUACACACAUAAACAUACAUACACACACACACACAACAGCAGUAAGAAGGGAAAUAUGAUAAGGAGCUUUAAUAUUUUUCCUUUUUUUAAUUCAAAGGAGUCCUUUAAAAAAAAUUCCAAAGGCUGAAAAAGGCUUAAGCUUGAUCUUUAUUAUGUAAUAUUAUAAAGAUAUUAAUAAAGAGUGCUCCACCCACCAUUUUAUUUUUUUUUUCAAGAUAGAAAUGUGUGAAAGUAGAAAUAUUCUUUUCCAUUUAUAGUGAGCUUAGUGAGUUUAAGUCCCAUGAAAGAAAAGCAAAUCGUACUCAGCACAGCUAAGACCUUACAGCAGUUUGCGAGGACCAACUUGAAAAGAAAGUGACCAUGUUGAGCGACAGAGGGGCUAAAUCUCACCUUAAAUCUUGUAAUCUGUCAGAAAUGAACUGACUUAAACCGAAAAGUUAAGUUAAAUAAGCUGUAAUUAUAUUUAUUUAAUUUGGAUUCUUAAUUGCAUUAAUGCGCAUGCCUGAUCAGCUAAAUUUUUUGAUUUCGAAAGGCAGCAAUUUCAUGUGGGGACAAAGAUCAUUUCCCACUUACAAUCACUGUCAUCUUCUUUUCUGGCUAAGUUAGGUAUACGUCGCAAGAGGAAUCUAUGAUUAAUUUUGACUCUUAAGUUCAAUUAUAUAUAUUACAUGUUCUAUGUAGGAAACAAGUUAAAGAUAACAAAGAUGAUAGAGCUUCGUUUGCAUAAUAUGAAUUCUUCUGGUAGAGAAGGCUUUACACUUUUGUGCUAAGUUUAGCCAUGCCUAGGAAACUUUAAAAUCCACCCACAUAUUAUUGCCCCGUCUCAAAAUUAAUUAAUUUUUAGUGUGAUUUGAUGUCUUUAACCUUUUUGCUUUAUUGCAUAAUGCUUAUUGUUGGGCACAAUGCAAAAGUAGAUUUUAGACUUUUUUCUCUCUAUUUUAUUUCUUAAUCAACCCUCUUGAUUUAACUUUAAUUAUCGUUUCAAUUUUGAAUUCUUACCUACUAGCUUAAGUUUGAAAAUCAUAUAAUUCAUUUAACCUGGUAUUAAAAUAAAUUUUUUUGUGUUCAAACUCUAACGUACGUGAUCAUUUUGUCUCAAUAAUUCACCUAUUUCAAUUUCUUCGGACCUUCAUUAAAUUCACGAUAUUACCUCUUCCAUGCUAAAACGAACCAAAAAAAAAAACCCCCCCCCAAAAAAAAAAAGAGAAAAGAAAAAGUUUGGUAAAGGAUUUUGGCUGACUAACUGAAAGUCGGCCUCUUGGCUGGAGGACUUCCUAUUAUUCGAAUCGAAUGUAUGGGUAUCCUAACACUUGUCUACUUUUAGAGAUGCAAUGUUGGUACUUGGUAGCUUUUUUUUUUUUCCUUCUUCUUCUUUCUAAUUAUUAAUUACCAUUACGCGUUUUGACACUGCCCACGAAGAUGAACUUACUCGCGGAAAAAUUAAUAUCGAAAUUUGACUCCUCCCAAUGAACAGUAUAACUUUUAAAUUGUUGGGACCAAAUUUUGUGAUCAUCUCAACUGAGUUUGUAUUAAGCGACAUUAAUGCAAUCUAUGAAACUCAUAAUAUAAAAAGAUAAAAUUUGGUAAACUUGAGAAAUCGUUUACUAUCAAAUAACUGAUGAAAUGGGAAAACAGCCAAGCAGUAGAAUCCAGAAAUAUUGCAGACAGCAUCAUUCUUGGCUUUAGGGAAAUCAUGUGAAAGAUCUUUUUAUUCCUCUUUUUAAUUUGUCCACGUACAAUUCUAAGUGUGUUUUAUUAUAAACCCAUAACGUGAAAAAAAAUCUGAUAAGAAGAUAUUGAUUCCCCAUUUGUAGCAAUUGCAUUAAAAUGCAGCAAGUGACAGGUCUAAAUCAAUCCAAAUCUACAGGUCCGGAGCCGGUAUGUGAAAAUUAAGCUUAUUUUUAUGUGAAAAUUAAUUAUGCAAUAAUUCAUCUCAUGUAAGGGUAACAAUAUGCAUUAUGAGAAUUAAUUAGUUAAUGAUUUUUAAUUAACUUUUUUAGAGGGUUAAUUUUAAAUUAUCUCCUAUAAAUUAAUUAUUGUUAAAUCAUUCUCCUUACUUUUAAAAAUCUCAAUUUACACCUCAUCUUCUGUUAAAUCUUAUUUUUUUAUUCAUUUUUUGAACAAAAAUAAGGUAGCUUGAAGUUUUUGAACAUAAGAGAAUAAUAUAAAGAUAAUUAGUUAAUGGGAAAAUAAAUAAUUCAAAAUUCAUCAUUUCUUUAAAACUCUAUAGAUAUAUUAGCUCUCGCGACAUGUUGAGUGAUCUAUUGGGUAGUUAUAUAUAUACUCAGCGUCUUAGCCUUGAUCCUACAACCAUAUCAAUAAAAGCACUUAAUAGCAAUUCAAAUGCCCUCAGUUUGAUAAUUAAGCAACUCACGCCACUAUUUAAAAGCAUUUUCAAUUCUAAUUAAAAAAAAUAUAUACUUAAGUCAUACCAAAUGCUUCCAUCAUUUCAACCAAGGCCCUAGUUUUAUUCGUUAGUGGGCAAUCUUUUUAAAGCUUAGGUCUUAGGUUUGAGUAGUUUGUAUUUGUGUUUAAUUAAAAAAAAAUUGAAAACAAUGAUCCAUAAUUUGUGGCCUCUUAGAGUGUGGCCAAAUUGUAUAGUAUAUAUUUCAGUGUAGAAUUCCCCUAUUUUAUUGACUAGGGAAAAGAAAUCAAAAUGAAAAAUAAAAAUAAAAAUAAAAAAGCACUGUGCUGUAUUAUUUGCUUUGUCCACUGAUAUAUCAACUCUUUUUUUUUAAUAAAUAGACACUGUAUAAGACAAUAAAGAUUCCUGGAUGCAGCAAAAAGUUAAGUGGCCAUAUCGCAAUCAACUUGAGUAUAAAUUUCAAGGCCUAGGAUUUGUAUGUUCAAGCUUUUUAGGUCCCUUUAUUUUCAUGUCCCAAUGCACAUAGUUCUCUGUUCUUUCUUCAAAAUUACUUCCAAUGCCGUUGCUUUGAAAGCUUAAGCACUCAACACAACUUCACAAUAUUUCUCUUUUGGGAUUCUUUUUUAUUUAUAAAGAUUUUUUCCCUUCACAUAAAUAUAUGCACACACACAUAUAUGCUAAGAUUUUGUUAUUAAUAAAUUUUUAACAUGUUUCCAACGACAAUCCAGAUAUUUAUUCUUUGAAAAAUUGGCCUUGGUUCUAUUGUUUCUGGGUUUAUUAAUUUCAUUGUUUUGUUCGUCAACUUUUUCGGAACAAUAAUGUGUCCGGGAAGUGGAGCGGCGUCAUCAGAAAUCGUGAGUGGUGAUCAAAUUAUCGUUGCAAAAGAAGGGGAUUACAAUGAAGAAAGAAUAAGAGCAAGAAGAACAGAAAGCAGAUUCGUUCAAGAAAUUUUUAGAAAACUUCCGGUGAAUGGUCUCCGUGGACUGCCAUUGAAUGAGGCAAGCCUCUCUCUUCUUCUUCAUAUUUACAGUCCAUUUUUCACAUGUCAAAAUUCAAUUAGCUUAUGCUUAUUUUGGAAACAAGUUAUGAAUAUAAGGAGAGUGAUUUUCUUACCAAAUAAGCGCUUUCACCAAACCUACACCAGUAAUAUUCUUUUUUUCUCGUUAACCCCAUAUGAUACAUAAUGUGUAAACACUUAAUAACCCUAGACGACGACCCCUCUGACAGAAAAUAAGUGAUUUUCCCAUUAAGAGCUUGUUUUCUGAAAUGGGAUGGUGGGUUUUGGAAAUGGAUAGAUACCUAUUUCGAGGAAGACGAGUUAUAGUUUCAAUCUUGAUUUCUGGGCCAGAAAGCUUGCCAGCAGUCAGUGUACUUACUGUUUGGUUGAUUCUUUGAGCUUAGUUGUUAUGAUUGGGAAUUCGUGAUGCUCUGUUUCUUAAACAAAACCAAGUACGUGCUACUUUCAAAUAUUGACCGAUAUGCUUUGUCCAUACAAAGAACUGUGUAAUUCAGGUGGGUAGUGGAUUCCACUUUUAGGCUAUCACUCUGUACUACGUUACAUUUUUUGUUUUUAAACUUCAUAAAAUAAAAUAAAAAAUUAUUUAUAGAGAAAGCAAUAUUUGUUGUACGUAUUUUGACUAGAAGUGACGGUGGCCAUAACAACUUAGACGGUAUUCAUUUGUUUUUACAUUCAAAUCAAUCCUAUAUAUUCACUGAAUCAUACUGAUUUUGUUUUUUAAUUUCAUUUGGGUACGAAAAGGACCCAUUAACCUGUGAAUCCCAAACCCAAUCCCAUUUAUUUUCCGGCAAUUAAAAUAUGAAAUGCUUCUCAAAAGUUUUCACCUUGCCCUAUAAAAAUGAUAAUUAUAGAUGGCGAGAUCCUUAUUUAAAUCUAUUGACGUGACAGAAUUAUGUUUUUAAAAAUAUUUUUAUUCAUGGGCACAGUAGAAUAAUUUCCAGUACAUACUUUUAAGGAGUUAACCAUGCUCUUUUGCACUUUACUUUUGGACACACAUGGAAUUUAAUAAACCGAAAAGGCUCUUGAGUUCCAAUUCUUAUUUUAUUUUAUUUUAUUUUUUAUAUUUUUAAGGUGACCGAAUAUUUGUCAUUUCACCAACUGUAGUCUGAUUCCAACAUUGGCCAAAAGGGAGACAACAAAAAGUCCAAUUCUUAAGCUAUUAUGUGACUUUGUUCCGAACGUACUUAGAUUUUCAAAGCACUUAAUUUUAAAAGCAUAACUAUUAAAAGUAUUUUAUAAUCAAUGAUUGUAUUUCACACAGUGUAAACACCUCAACCCCAAAUAUGCUCUAAAUCUUUCUGUAUACUUGGUUUGUAUGCUAUUAACACUUAACUAUAUGAAUUUGAUGCAGGUUGGAGAGGAGGUAUUGGUGCUGGGAAAAAUUGCAGGCCCAAUAGUGUUAACAACACUGCUUAUAUAUUCAAGAUCAGUGAUUUCUAUGCUAUUUUUGAGUCAUUUAGGCAAAAUAGAGUUAGCUGGAGGCGCCCUGGCACUUGGGUGUGCAAAUAUCACAGGCAAUUCAGUCAUCAAAGGCCUGGCUAUGGGAAUGGAUCCAAUUUGUGGCCAAGCCUACGGAGCCAAACGAUUCUCGGUUCUCAGCCAAAUCUAUCAGAAAACUCUGUGCCUCCUCUUGCUUAUUUGUAUACCCAUUGCACUCGUGUGGCUAAAUGCUGAACCGAUCUUCCUACGCUUAGGACAAGAUCCUGAUAUCUCCAGAGUUGCUAAAGUUUACAUGGUGUUCUCCAUUCCAGAAUUGUUAGCCCAAGCUGUCCUCCAUCCGAUAAGGGCUUUUUUACGAACACAAGGCCUCACGGCUCCCCUUACGAUUGCUGCCGUUUGUGCUGUCGUCCUCCACGUUCCCAUUAACUACAUUCUGGCAAUACAUCUAAAUUUGGGGAUCAAAGGUGUUGCAUUGGCUCUGGCCUGUAAUACAUUUAAUUUGAACCUGGGAUUGAUAAUCUAUGUGAUCAUGUCGAAAAAUUCACUCAAACCUUGGCAUGGGUUUACAAUUCUCUCAUUCUUUCAAGGCUGGGGGCCAUUGCUGGGACUAGCAGUUCCUAGCUGCAUAUCUGUGUGCUUGGAAUGGUGGUGGUAUGAAAUAAUGCUGUUUCUUUGCGGCUUACUCAGCAAUCCAGAGGCUUGUGUUGCAGCUAUGGGCAUCCUUAUUCAAACAACAGCAUUGUUGUAUGUGUUCCCAUUUGCAUUAAGCUGCAGUUUAACAACACGGGUUGGCCAUGCCUUGGGUGCUGGCCAACCUUCGCGUGCGCAGUGGACAGCCAUAAUUGGCAUCACCAUGGCAUUUGGUUUAGGACUCUCUGCCUUUGUUUUCACAACCGUCCUGAAAUCAAUGUGGGGGAAGCUGUUCACGGACGAGCCUCAGAUUCUUGAUUUGAUUUCAGUUGCACUUCCAAUCGUAGGUCUAUGUGAAAUGGGAAACUCUCCACAAACGGCUGCCUGCGGGGUCUUAACAGGAACUGCACGUCCUAAAGAUGGCGCACGCAUAAAUUUAUGUUCAUUCUACCUCGUUGGAUUACCAAUUGCAGUUCUCUUGACUUUCAAAUUCAAAGUUGGCUUCCAAGGACUCUGGUUUGGGCUACUGUCAGCGCAGAUCUCCUGUGUGUGUUUGAUGGUAUACACAUUGAUCCGCACAGACUGGAAACUUCAGGCUAAGAGGGCUGACGAGCUGACUCUCGCUGCAGGAGAUGGGGAAGAUUUAGAGAGUGGAUUAAUUAGCAGCGAAAACUAAAAAUUAAGAUGCCUCAAAGACAACAUUUUGACAGGUUCAGAGGUAGACUAAAACAUACAAACCAGUACAAAACAUCCCUUCUGACAAGAAAUUGCUGGGUCAUUGAUGUUCUUGACUAUGGGGGAAACAAAAAAAAAAAUUGCUGAAUCACUCUGUUACAGAUCCCUGAAUGAUUUUUUUUUUUAAUUAGUGAUCAACAAAGCAGAAGCAUUCUUGCAUUCGAAAUUUGCAAAAGACAAUUAUUUAUCAUUUCCUGAAUGUGUGCAGAAAAUUGUUAGUGCACUUAGAAAAUUAGUUUUACAAAAGAGAAGAUGUCCAUCUUCUAUUAACACACCAGACCACCAAAGAAUUAAUGGAAAAGAUCAGUGCAUGCAAAUUUGUAGGACCAGUCCAUAAUCUUCGAUGGAAGAAGAUUGGAUUGAUUUAACACACCAGACCACCAAAGAAUUAUUUCUUUUUUUUUUUUUUUUGGGUGGAGUCUGCUCGACACAUUCACCAUUUUAACGGAACUUUAGCAUAAUUCUAACUAAUCAAAUCAGAUCAUUGACAAUUUGACAGACAGCGUGGAAACACCAAAUCCAUUCCAUUUUUUAACAUACGAAACUAAAUUGACAUUGAAAGCGAAUUAGAUAAAGAAAUUUAGAUUACCUCAGAUCUCUUCCGCCCUCCAACCUCUCACAGACUCACAGUCAUGAUUUUUUUUCCUUUUUUUUAUUUUUCAUUUUGGGGUCUGAAUAUAAACAUUCAACUUCGAGCUUUUGCUAGUUUGGUUGCUGGCUUGCUCGCGUCUCCCCCUCCAGCCUCCACUCUCCACAGCAAGCUUUAUUCCUUUGUUAAAUUACAAAAGGACCCCUGAGUUGUUUUGGGUAAGGAGUUUCUUGCAUAAUUAAAGUACUUUAUCUUAUAGUCACCGCAUCAUCGGAUGAUUCGAUUUUGUUUAACCAUUCGAUGGAAUUAGGUUAUGGGUAAGACAUUGUAGAUGGAUCUAUUAUUUAUAUAAUUAGGGUACAAUACUUUACACUCUAAGCACCGUCAAAUGAUCUGAUUUUAUUAACUUUUCGACAAUCUGAUGAUAUUUAAUUUGUAAGUAAGGAUAUAGUAACUGAACCCAUUGCUAAUGUUGGGUUCAGUUAUUCUAGGUGAGCUAACUACCCAUGUUGACAAGCGACUUUUAAGGAGAAUGAAAAAAGAAAAUUAAUCUUCCAUGGAAAGGGGGAGGGGAUUUCGGUUUUUUGAUCUUUUUUUUUUUUGUGUUAUUUUGCUUGAGUUAUUUCCCUUCCAAUGAACUAUUAAAUUUACUUCUAAUCUAACUUAAGCAUCGGAGGGUUCUAGCCGGAACCCCCACCGGCGAGUCCUGACCGAUUUAUAUGGUUUUCAGGUUGCAGACUUGAAGUUCAGAUCAAUAUUCAAGCUUGGUUCGUACUAAUUUCCCACCAUAAACAAAUUCAGCUGUUGAGGUCAUUUUUUGGCAUCAACAACUAAUAUAACUAAUCCAAUUCGAUCCAACCUCAUAAUUUGAGUUGCAGGCAUCAAUCCAACAGAAAAAAAUUAUUGACUUGUUAAAUCAUCCAUACCACAACUUAAUAACCGUAAUCUCCAGUCUUAAAAGUGAAGAAAACCAACCGAAAUAUAUAUAUAUAUUUUUUAAGUCUGUUAUACGCAGAUAUUACUGAUAUUACAUCAGAUAUUACAAUUAAUAUUUACAAUCAUAUUAUAUAACUGGAACCACCACCAUACAUUGACGCACUGAAGUAUAUGCCCAGAUAUUUUAAACCCUCUCUAAUAUUCGAGGGGUGCCUGCUCCACUCACAUUUAGUAAGGGAGAGACUGUCUCCACUUAAUUAAUUGAUAAUUGAGGAAGAACUGAAACUAACCUCCAUAAUACUCUUAUGGAGGCUCGAACCCUUGCACUCAACAUUGUAAGUGCAAGGCUUCUCACAUUGGACCAAAGGCCCAUUGGUAACCAACCGAAAUACUUAACUCCAAAAAGGAAGUUCUAAUUAGCUGUUUUGAUCAAUUGGGUGAUUAAAUUUUGAGGUCACAUGAAUUUAAAGGGACUAGAGAAGCAAACGGAGGCUGAAAUAUUACUUUGCUCUAAUAACAUAUUUGUUAAAUGUGUGUCUAGCCAGCCGAGAUUAAAUCAUAAGGAGUAAGCACCUCUUUGUCUUUAAAAAAUUAAUAGUAAAAAUCAUGUUUGUUCGAUGAAUUGAUUCAAAACUUAAAAUUAUAGUAAGUAACAUUAUCUAAUUAAUUCACAGUUUUCACAUUAUUAAUGAAGCAUUACAAAUUCACUGUAUGGCUUGAUUAGAUAGUGUUAUGUGAUCGUCUGAUCGAAAUUGUUAGCCAAAUCAUUUUUAUGCAUAUAAUUGUGAUUUUGAUGCACCAAUUUUGUCUACAACAGUACAACCGAAACCAUGGGAACCGAGACCCAGUCCAAAGCCACAAUUAUUUGUUUAUUUAUUUUUUUGUAUCACGUUAUUUGCAAGUGAGAUGGUCACAUCAAAGAGUAGGUAGACUGGAUACAUAGAAAUGAAAAUGAAAAAUUGAAAAGAAUAUUUUGUUAGGUUGCCGACAUGUCAUCCACUUGCAUCAGAUUGUUUUGUGACUCUCUCUUUGUGUUGGGGGUCCAUUUGGAAUUUGGCAGCAACCAGAUUUUCUUUCUUUGGGCUACCUUAUCCCCAUCCCACCACCAUUGGAGCUUUACAAAUUGUCUUCUGCCACGUCAUCAUCCAUUAUUUCUGCACACGUGGUACCUCUCAUGAUUGGGUUUCCACCAUUUUCAUUUUGGCCCUUUUGGGUCCAUAACCAAUUUGAAUUAUGAUUAUAGGGUAUCAGUUAAUUUAAUUAAAGUGUUCGUUUAAUUUUUAUAUUUUAAAAAGAUAUCUUAAAAUAUUUUUAUUGUUGUCUUCGUUAGAGUUAAAAGUUAUAUUUAUAUUACUAUUACUUCUUUACUCUUUAGAUAUUGACUGAUGUAAUAAUAAAUGGACUUACUAACGGCUACUCAAAUAUUUUAAAACAAGUAAUUAUUAAAACUAAUAUUUACAUUAUACAAAUAAAUCUUAAAACAAAAGAUUCAUCUUAGCUAUGCAAAAAAUUUCAUUAUAUAUACACACAAAUAAAAAUAAUAAUAUAAUAAAUUUCAUUGAUAUUUGUUGGAAACAAACAAAUCAAAGUUUAAAAUAUGAUUUUCAAGUAAGCAAUUUCAACCCCACCAACAAAAUUCAAUGAAAUAAAGAAUUUCUUUUAGUUACUGGCGUGUUCCGUCAGUCACCCACAUGAAGCUUCUUUCAAUUUUUCCUCAUCACCACUCUUUUUUCUCUGCUUCAACUUCAUUUUAAUCUACCGUAGUGCGGCAUGGGAGCACAAUUAGCGCCAAGGUUAAUUUUCAGAAACUUCCCCUGAGGUUUGGUGUAUUCUCACUUAGAUAGAAAGUAUUCGCGUAUUCUCAGUAAUCUCCCUUGACAUUAGUAUUUCUACUCUUAGACCGUUUGUUGAUUGAUAAAAUGACCAACAUACCCUUGACUUCAAAACAACACAUUUUUUAUAUUAAGAUUAAUGUACAAUAUGUACGAUUGCAAAUAUCAUUUUAUCUCCUCAUCAAUCAUUUAAAAACUCUUUCAACAAAAAUCAAGAGAUUCCAUAAGGCAUUAAUUUUGAUCAUUUAUCAACAAAUGGAGACUCUGCAACAUUAAUGGCACACGCAAGAGCAACAGCUUUGUUCCCGCACCUUCUUGCUUGUCAUGAGGGUCACUGCCAGCCAUAGCAAUCUAUUCCUUUUGCUUAUCCAUGUCUUUAUAUGAAUAAAAAUGUCAACGUGUGUUGCAGUUGGGAAGUCUGUAGUUCUGAAAGUAUGGUAAUGUCUGUAUCACCACAAAACCAAGACGAACAAGUUCAUGAAGCACAAAAAAAGAAAAACUGGCCAAAUAAGAUUAAGAAUGAACAUUUCCAACAUCAUCCUUCCCCAAGUCAACAAGCAUAGUAUGCCCUGCACAUUGCUUUUUAUCAUUCAAAAUUUUCUUUUCAAAUACUAGAUUGUCAUUAGCAGUCUUGCCCUUUCUAACAGUGCCAAGGGGUUGAUUAAUAAUCUUUCUCUGCAAAUAAUAAUAAAAGUUGAACAUCUACAAUCAUCACAACAAUACAAAUAAAAACUCUGAUAGCAGAAAAUAAUUAAUGCAUAGAGUGGGAAACAAAUCGUAUAUAGUCAUUAUGUAUCCCUAAAAUCAAAAGCAACAGCAACAAUCUUAAAAAAUUUUCAAGAUCCAUUUGCUAAUUUUUCACCGAGACUACCAAUUUCAGCUAAUAAAACUAGCAUGCAUUGAAAGAAUUAAUACCUUGGCUAGUUGCCAGCAAAACUCACUUGCGGUCGUGAAUCAUUCGUAGCCGAUAAUAGAGUUGGCUUCAUCGUCAUGGUCUUUAAUUUAUGGCCGAAGUACUUGAUCAAAGCAUUAGAGAGAAAAUGAAAUGGGUUUUGCUUGGUUGCUUUGGAUUUGUGGAGUAGAGAGACAAACACUUUUUAUUUUGUUAAUGUCUGUUGGAUAAAAGCGUACUUCAAUUUAUUUUCCACUGAAUAUUAACAAUGGUCAAAUCAUUUCCAAAGUCCAAUGCAAAAAUAUUAAGUUAAUUUGAAUAGUUAUGUCAUUAACAUAUUUAAUUUACAAUCUUGCCCUCACUACUCAACAUAUACUAAACAGAAUACUAACGUUAGGGGAGGCUAUUGAGAAUGCGCAGAUACUUUCUAUAUAAGUGAGAAUAAGCCAAACCUCAAGGGAGGUUUCUGAAAAUUACCCAGCGCGAACAUAAUGGAGUCUUGACAAUUGAAAUAGUGAUGGCAUGAAGAGAGGUAAAAUGGAAAGCUCUGAGUUUGAUUUGGGAUGUGGUGGGCAGUUAGAGAAGAGAAAGGGUAGAUUUUAGGUUGCAUUUUUUUUUAAUCUACCUUGAAUUUAUUUUUAAUUUGUUAACGUCAUUUAUUUUUUUAAUUGUUAAACUACAUUUUUAAUGUAGUGAUUUUCUUAAUUUUAAAUUGUUUUAAUUCAAAAUAAUUGUUCUACACUCAAAAAGAAAUUUUUAACUUUUUAACUUCAAGAUAUAUUUCAAAAUAUGAGGAUCGAAUAGACACUUUGAUCAAACUAUAAGAACUAAAAAAGUUUUGAAUAAUAAUAGACAACCCAAAUUUUUUAUUUUAAAUUUAAUCUCAAAUUAUGUGUCAUUAAUUGUAUAGUUAGUAAAAAAAAUUUCAGGAUAAUAUUAAUAAUGUGUAGCACUACUCAAAACUUUUUACCCUAGUUAUGGUCAUCAUUGUUUGUUUGUUUGUUUGUUUUUUUUGUUUUUUUUGUUUUAGAUUGAGUAGUAUCAAAUUGAAAUUUUACUAAAUUUUUAUUUUUAUGCUAAAAUGGCAAUUGGACUAUUGUGCGUAGACUUUUCAUAUAAAAAAUUAAAUUCCUCGAGAUGUUGUAUAUACAUUGACUUUUUAACAAAACGCCUUUGAAAAAUUAAUAAACAAUAAAAAAAUGCUUUUUUUUGGGUAUAUUUAUACUAUUUGUUUAUAUCAUCAAUCAUCGGAGAAGUAUUCAAAAAUUGUUUACUACAUAAGUACUUAUCAUCUACUUUCAGAAAAAUGGAAAAAAUAUAUAUAUAUUUGUUUUGAAUUAAUUAAUAAGUCACAAUCAAUGUUCCCUUCGGUUGACAUUUUCGUACCAUUGACUUGCCACUCAAGGCAUGCCUUUUUGCAUUGUAAAUUUAUAAGUUUACGUUUGUUUCCGAUUUUGUAUUAUUAUUAUUAUUAUUUUUUUUUUUUUCCAAAUUUUUGUUGCCUUUUCUAAUGGUAUGAUGUAAUGUAACUUAAUUCUACAGAGCAGCCGCUCUCGUCAUCAGUAAACUUCUAGCAACUCUACCGUCGCUUGUUCUUUUUCCCGUAAACGACUGCAACACUACGUCGUUUCACCAGUUCAAAGUGUGAGCUUACCAUUAAUGAUCUGUAACCGGUUUCACAGGAAUUUGCUUCGUUAAGCCAUUUGAGCCACGAAGCCGAAUUUGGGUAGCCGGGCACGCCUACCGAAGUGAUAAUAACCAUUUAAACCCCCUCAAAAGUGCUUUUUUCUUCGAACUUUUGGGUCGCAGCAGCAGAAGGCGCAUGGCCUGUUAAAAAAAAAAACAUUGCAUUGGUGCGAGUAAGGCUGCGAAUUCAAAGUUGCUCUUUGUUUUGGAGACCUAAAAUAACGCCAAUUAGACCCAUCAACCUAAAAACCGCAGGCCUACUCGCCUUUUUACUUCAAUAAUGUGUCACUUUAAUGAAUCAACUUCUGCUUUUUCUUUCCCUUUUAGUUUCAUGCAUUGAGCCGGUGAAAGAAAGAGCAAUCAAUAAAUUUUACAUGGGACACAUGCAUCUCAUUAUUUGUGUGCAUAUUGUAAAGUCUAAAAUUGUUAGCAUUAACACAUAAAAUGACACCAAUUUAAUAUGCAAUUGUCCCAAUAACGUUACCAAGAUACAUGUAACGCAUAACAUCAUAUGUUAAAUAUUACGUGUAUACAAAUUAAAUCAGGUCUAAAUUUAUUAGUGUGAGCUGGAUUCGAACCUGCUAACCUCUAAUGUAAGAGUGUAGAUAUCCUAAAUUAUAAAGGAAGAAGCUAAGGUAGAGGAAUAUAUCAAAUCACAUUGAUGACGAAUUAGGCAGGGGCUGCCUGUUGAGUCAUGCCCAUGUUUUCUAAAUUGUGCACGAGGAUUCAACACUUCAACUAACAAACUAUUCAAUUUUCCAGCAGCCUAAUAAGUAGUGUAAAGGCCCACAUAUUUUUGCUUUUUCCACCUUGUUUUUAUGAUUAGGUAUGAAUGUUGUUGGUCCACGUUUGUCCAUUUUUCUCAAUUUUGUCCAAAGGUCGGUCCCUAAUUUUUAUUUUUUUGUUCAAGAAAAAGAAAAAUAAAGUGGACAAAACUAUACCCCCAUGUUUAAAACAUUAAACUAAACAGACACAAAAGUAUAAUAUAAUAUAAUAUCACAAAUGUUAGAAAAUAACUAAACUUAUUUAGUUUUUCCAGAUAACAAAACUUAGGUUAGGUAACUCAACACAGUAUCCAUUUGAUCUUAUGGUCUAGCGAAAUGGACAGCCUAUUAACUUUUGAGUCUAAGUACUAACCUAGUAGGGAGUUAGGCCAUACUUUCAGAGUUGAAAUAUAAUCAUCUUAUCCUACCGUAUGUGACAUCAAUCAAUGACAAUGACUUAUCAAGUUAUAUAUAUAUAUAAGCACACAUACAAUUAUAUAUUGGAUACCGCCACGUUACGUAUAUUCACACAAAACAACAGUUCUUAUGAUGGGAUCUGCUAUUAUUGCUAUGUGUGACGUACGUUACGAUUAACAUAACGUAGCACCAACCUUAUUUAUAUAUAUAUAUAUAUAUAUAAGCUUAUGUUGCAACAUACCAUUUCUUUUGUCAUUUUGUAAUUUAACUAUUGGAUCAAGACAAGAAUUGUAAAAGCAAAUCUAACGGCAGACUGCAUUUAUUUAGAUUAUUUUCAUUGCAAUCCCUUUUAUUUUCUGAAAUGUCAGAAAAAAAUAUAAUUAUUAUUAUUUUAUUUAUUGGCUUAGUUGUUAAAUGAUAUGAAUAAGUAGGAAAUUUAAGAGGACUUUUAUUAUUGAUAUUAUGUAAUUACAAUACAUGAUUCAAUACUAGUUUAUAAGAGCCACAACUUGUUAAAAUAAAGUUUAUGUUUGCGUCCUAACUUCAAAAAGAUAAAUACGUUUAUUUAUUCCACAAAUUCAUAAAUAUUUCAUAUUUUUUUAAUUAUUAUUAUCAUUUCUAGAUCUACUCUCAUUAUGUAAAUUUAUUAAAAAUUAUAUUUAAUUAUUAUUUUUAUAUUAAUUAUUAGUACAUAAAUAUAAUAUGAUAUAAUAAAAUAAUAUUAUAAUAUUAUAAUAUAAUUUAUUUUUAAUAUUAUAAUUAUUAUAGUAAAAAGAAAAUUAUAAUUUAAAUAUAUUUAACGUUUCAAUUAAGACAAAAUUUAACACAUUGAGUGAAUUAUAUAAUUGACUACAAUCUAACUUUUAAAACUUCCAAACAUAGGUAAGUAAUAAAUUAAUGUGAACAAUAUUAUAACAAUAUACAAUACUAUAUUCUAAGCACAUUCUAAUGGUGCGUUUAUUAAAUAAGAAUCGAAAUGAGAUAGAAUCGUAAUAAGAAAAAUAAUAUUAUAAUAUAAUUUAUUUUUAAUAUUAUAAUUAUUAUAGUAAAAAGAAAAUUAUAAUUUAAAUAUAUUUAACGUUUCAAUUAAGACAAAAUUUAACACAUUGAGUGAAUUAUAUAAUUGACUACAAUCUAACUUUUAAAACUUCCAAACAUAGGUAAGUAAUAAAUUAAUGUGAACAAUAUUAUAACAAUAUACAAUACUAUAUUCUAAGCACAUUCUAAUGGUGCGUUUAUUAAAUAAGAAUCGAAAUGAGAUAGAAUCGUAAUAAGAAAUCGGAAUGAACAACAUUCUCAUUGAUGUGUUUACUUUAUUUUAUAAUUGGAAUAAACUAUUAUAAAUUAUUAAAAUGCCCUUUGUUAAUUGUGUCCCUAAUAUUAUUUGUAUAUAUUAUAAUUAAAACAAUAAUAAUAAAACUAAAAAUAAUAAUUAUGACAAUAAUGUUAAUUAAAACAAAAAAUUGAUAAAGUUAGUAAUAAUCAUAAAUAACAACAAUUAAAAUAAUAAAAUUUAAUAGCAAUAAUCUUAUAUAAUAAUAAUAAUGAUAAUAAUAAUAAUAAUAAUAAAAUUAAAAUUCUUUUCAAUUUUCAUUUUAUUUUAAAAAUGAACUUAUAUGUAAAAAUUUGUAACUUUUAGUUCCUAAUGAAUUUUGCAGAAAAUAUAAGGUGAUGUAAUGUAAUUAAAUACAAAAAGACAAAAGUUUUUGUACGUAGCAACUGUUGCAACAUAGGCAAACUCUACAAUUAUUACAUACAUAUAGGAAACUUAUUACAAUUUAAAUCUAGAGGUCUAUAUAACUUCAUAAAUCAAUUAUUUUAGAAAGUACAUCCACUCAACUCAUAUUCAUAUUAUAUUAUAGUAGGAGAUUUAGAAUUGAGCUACUUCUAUAGUUUAUAUUUAAUAUAUUAAUCUGAUAAUUAUUGUUUAUGAGCAUUAAUUAAUAAGUGACGCACAAUGAAUGUUUGAUAAGAUAAAAUUCAAAUUUUAUUUGCAACUAAUAUUAUAUACGAAUAUUAUUAUUUUAUCAACUAAUGCCUUUGACAUACCAUUUUACUAACAAAUUUCUCUGACAAUUGCUAUUUCCCAUUUAAAGUUUCAAUUUUUUAUUUUUUAACUAGUAAACCAUUAGUUCCAUUAAUAAAUUAUUGAUGUCAAAGGGAUAUUUUAAGAAUUCUAGUAUAUUUAGUAUUUUAAGAAUUUCACGAGGUAUAAUAUUUAUAAUUUUAUCAAUUAAUUAUUUUUGUAUAAUUAAUUGAUAAAAUUAUUAUUUCUUUAUAUAUAAUUAAUUUUGUAUUUUUUUAUUUUAGAAGGUUAAAUUACACCAAGAUUUUAUAACUUUAGUUAAAAUUUUGGUUAACUUUAAUAGUUUGAUGAUAAAAUAAUAAAAAUAAAAAUAUUAAGUGGGUAAAAAAUAGUUGUUAGAAAACUUAAAUGAUAAAGUGAUAUAUCAAAAAAUUAUUAGGUGGUAAAAUGAUAGUAUCCCUAUUACAUACAAUGUUAGGCUCUCUGUACAGCUCCUCGUUACAAUUAUUAUACAUUUCAGUAUUGCACCAAUUGCAAUUUUUUCGUUGUACUUAUUAACAAUGAAAAUUUUGUAAUUGAUUAGAGAUUAAAAAAAAAAGCUUAUUACUGUUUUAAAAAAUAAGGAUUGUAAAGUACUAGUUUCCUAAACUAAAUAAUUUAGAUAUAAUUAUAUAUUAUUCAACUUAAUUUUACACUUUAUUAGGUAAAAUCAUUUUUGUUGAAAUUUUGUUGUCGACUAAUUUCUCACGUGUUUUUCACGUGCAAGCAAUUGAAAAAUUUAUUGUCAAAAAAAAAAAAAAGCAAUUGAAAAAUUUCGACAAGCAUGCGGGUAUCGAUCUCAUCUUCUGACUGUCAAACAAUCACCCGCUGGUCUUAAUCGAAGGGCGACGGAUGAAAGCCAAGCCGGGACCACAUACCAAUUAAUAUUUUGACAGGCAAUCAAAAAACAGACAAUUAAAUCAGAGAGGGGAUGUUGGUCCCCACACAGUGCAUACGCCUACGUGGCAGAAGAUCGCGCUCUUUGCAGAAAAGUCAUGGACUCAUGGGUUUUUUUAUUUUUUAAAGUGUGGAUAUAUUUUUUAACCAAACAGUUGUGGCUCAGCUAACAGCAUAAAUUGGGUAAGAAGAAAGAGUUAUCGGAUUCGAUUUUUAUUAAAUACAUAAUUUAAGAGAGAUAAAGAGUUUUAAUUGUGACUACAUCCUAAAUCCAGCGCUAGAAAUCGGAUGUUUUAAACAAAAAAAAAGUGUGAAUAUAUUUUUAUAAUUUUACUAGACGGUAAAGAUAUAUUUUUAUUUUUGGAAAAAAAGAACAAAUAAAGGAACACACUCAACAAUUACUUUUGGAAAAGAAAUAUAUAUUAGUAAAUUGCAUUAAAAAGGUUAAAAAAGUCAAAAAUAUAUCGUCACAAGGGUGUGAAUAUAAGGUCACAACGGCUCAAAUUUGUCGAAGUACAUUAGGAGCCUAGUCAAGUAGUUGACUCACUCAGCAAUUACUUAAGGCAACAAAAGUUUUAUGAAUACAUUUUGCUUUCUCGUUGGUUUGUUAAACUGCUUGAUGGAUUAUUCUUAUAGCAUUAGCAUUCUCUCUUAGCGAUUUUUCUCUCUUGACAUUUUAAAUUUAGUAAAAAAAAUUGUUUUAAUUAUAAAUAAGUAAAAAAAUAACUUAAUUAUCAAUGUUAAAAUUGAAUUUAACCACUUAUUUCACUUAGAGAGAUUACAAGAGAGAAAUACUAACAAAGAAUGCUUAUUGUAUUCUUAUGUUAAUUAAAGAGAUAAUUAGGAAUGUUACGAAUAAUUUAUAGGAUCAAAUAUUGAUUUUUUUUAAAUAUUAACACCCUCAAUAUUUAUAAUAUGAGUAAUGAUACAGCCACAAACUCUUGUACAAACUUAUUUUGUACAAACUUAUUUUGUACAAACUAAUGUGGCAUGAUAAGAUUGGUUGAAUUAAAUAUUACUUGGCCCACAUGAUUUGUUUUUAUUAAUUUAUAUUUUCAUUCAACUAAUGAAUUAAUGACACGUCAGUUUGUACAAAAUAAGUUUGAACAAGAGUUUGUGGCUGUAUCAUUACUCCUUAAAUAUUGAUGUAACUCUUCAAAUAAAUAAUAAAAUCUUAUUUGAAAAAUUUUUUUGUGAUGCUCUUAGUAUUUACCAAACACUAAAAGCUACAGUUAGUCAACCUCUAUCCUAAACGCACCUAUAAUUUAUUUCAAAUAAUCCAAUCCAAAGCUUUUUAUAGAACUAACAAAAUAGGUCCUAAAAUUAUUUUAUUAUUUUACUGCCAUUUAUAUAAAAUUCUAAAAAAAAAAGACAAAAAUUAAAACAUCUUAAUCGAGCCCAAUAGAGCUAAUUUUCUCUUCGAAUCCAAAUCUCCUUCAACUUAAUUUAAAUAUUUUGCACAGAAUUCGAUCAAAAACCACCCAGAGCACGACGCUAGAAUGGAAUUGUGCCGCGUGGCGGCUGAUGAAGAAACGUUUCGGCAACUUUGUUGUUGAUGAGGUGCCGGAUCUGAUCUGUGAAAAUUAAUUUGAGAGAUAGAUUACAUAAAAACAAAGGAAAUUAAAAAGAAAGAGAUAUGAUCAAACAAUAUUUUUUGUGCAUGGUGAAACAAGCUAUUAUUUUUAUGGUGUUAGGAAAGUGUUUGAUAAAAGUGUCGAUGGUAGACGUAUAGUGAGAAUGAUCAUUGCUAGCUAUUUUGAUAAUGUGAGUUUUGAGUUUUGACUUGUCCCAGGGGGUGGGUAGAACCAAACGAAUCUAAAAAUCGGUUCGAUUUUAUGGUUUUGGUUCGAUAUAUUCUAAUUGAAAACCGAAUGGUUAAACUUAAAAUUGACCGAACCAUUCUUAGGUUCGAUUUUCGGUUGAAAAUUUCCGAACCGGAACCAAACCGAUUUCUAUUGACAUUUUUGUACUUUUAAAAUAUAUCACAUUUUUGUAAUUUUAAAAUAUAUGUUUAUAUACACAUACAUACGCAUAUAUACGCACAGUUAUAACACAUCUUAUUUUCGGUUCAGAUGCCCAACACCCAUCUGCCGAAUUUGCUGCCAUUGUCGAUAACAAAAUCUUUGCCGCUGUCGGUUCCUUGUGGAUUCGCUGCCGCUGCCGCUGCCGAUUCCUUGUGGCUUCGUUGCCGCUGCCGAUUCCUUCUGGCUUUGCUGCCGCCUUCCAAUAACUGUCUUUGCUUGCUUCUGGCUGCACGAUCUAGCAGCCAUCGCUGCUUCCUUCAAGUCCACUGCUGCUGCCGCUUCCUUCUGGCUCCGUUUUGGUCACUGCAGUUGCCGCUUCCUUCAAGGUUGUUGACUCUGUGUGGUCACUGGUCACCGAGCUCUCUAAGCUCCUCACUGCGUAUUGCAGCUUGCAGGUACUUUAAUUUGGUUUCAUUUCGUAAUUUUAAUUGGAGUGCAUUCUAUUAAUAGAUCAAAAUCACGCUGCGACAUGAUUUUAUUUUUGUUUUAAUUAUCUGUUUUUGCAAUGUAAUUGUGCAAGGCUAUAAAUUUUUUAUGUUUAGUUUUUCUUCACAGAAUUGAGUGUGUGUGAUUGUGUUCUGUGCAUUCAAUAAAAAUGGUGAAAAAAAAUAUAUAUUUAUUGUUGGAGAGAGGAGAUUCCCCAGCUUUAAUUGCUGAACCAUUACUCCGAUCCGUUACCUACCAUUAAGCAGAACAGACGUCCACCCCUACUUCGAAGAUAAGCAAUUCUAAGGUUUUUUGACUCUUCAAACAUGGGAUCAAAUAUAAUUUGUUUUAAAUAAUUCAACCCAAAGCUUUUUAUCUCGCUACCAAACAUGCCUUAAAAUUAUUUUGCUUUGUUACUGCCAUUUAUAUAAAAUUCUGAAAAAGAAAAAACAAAAAUUAAAACAACAUCUCAAUCAAGCACAAUAGUGCUAAUUUUCUCCUGAAUCCAAAUCUCUUUCAAUUUUUUUUUUAACAUUUUGCACAGAAUUCAAUUGAGAACCACCCGGACCACGAUGCUGAAACGGAAUUGUGCCACAUAGCAGUUGAUGUAGAAACAUUUUGGCGUCUCUGUUUUUGAUGAGGUGCAAGAUCUGAUUCUGUGAAAAUUGCUGCUCUUGGUAAUUUCUUUUUUUUUUUUAACUUUUUAAACAAUUUAGUUUGAGAAAUAGAGUAGAUAAAACAAAAGAAAGAAAAAUGAACUUAAAAUGAAGAGACAUGAUUAAACAAUAUCUUUUUGUGCAUGGUGCAACAAGCUAUUAUUUAUAUGAUGAUAGGAAAGUGUUUGGUAAAAUGCCGACGGUACAUAUAUAGUAUUGAUUGAUUAUUGCUAGCUAUUUUUGAUAAUGUGAGUUUUGAGUUUGACUUCAUUGAGUUACAUAACGAGUCAAGCAGUAGACUCGUUAGAAGCUAUUUACUUUGUGUAAUUUACACUAUUGCCAUUAUGGUAAAGGUUUUGAUAAUUCAUCAUCUUGUCUGUUGUCCUUGUUAGUAAAAACAUAUGGGUUAUGAGUUAUUUGGCUCUUUUAUCAAGGGAGGAUUGUGAAUUUUUUAUAAUUAUUCUGCCAAAUUAUUAUUUUGUCCAACUGACCAAACGGCAUGUUUCAGCUCUCACUGUUUCUGAGAGUGGAGAUUUUAGAAGAAAGAUCAAAUGGAUGACAUUGUAGGACAAGUCCUUUAUGAGACUCGUCAUCACGCGUCCAGGCCGUACACUUUGAACUACCCUCCUCAAUUAACCCAACAGGUCUCACCUUGAAUUUAUUGCAUUUCCUUUAUUUCACUCAUUUAAUCCUUUUGUUUGUUUUCAUCAUUGAUUAUUUUCAUAGUAAGUUUUCUUAAUUAUUUGUUGAAUACAGGUAAAUGAAGGAGUUAAAGGCAGUAUCCUAUCACGUCUUUCAGUUCCAGGUAUUUCAGUUUUUCCAGUUUGUUUCUGUAACACCUGAGUUUUUGUCUAUUUCUUUUUAUUUCAGUAUUUUCUAUCUCCUUUUAUGUAUCAUAUGAGUAAUAUUAAUCAUCCUUUAGGGCCAACAAAAUUUGUUGUGUUAAUAUAAUGGCGUCACUGAUAUAAUUUCCUUUUCUUUAAUACUAUUUUAAAGCUUACCCAAACCAUUGCUGAAGGGGCUUGCAAUAUGAAGUAUGGCUGAAGAGUUAGAUUUCUAGACUGUACUCUUUACUUGGGAAAUAAUAACAUAACCUGAUGGGUUAAAGGAAAAGCAUUUACGUAGUAACCUAAUCAUUUUCACAUUGUUCAUUCUUUUCUAGUUUUGUAUAUGGGAAGAGGUAUUGGUUGUGUUUCUAGUCACUAUAAGCUAUCCAGCAAUUUCUUACUUGGUGCCCUGUGAUAGCUUUGGAAGGUAGUUUUGGGAUGUUCUUGCUCUUUUGAAAUUGUUUGGUUGUAAUCACAUCUUCAUGAUUUCCUUUUUUUUAACUUCCGUUACAUAAUGAAGGUGUAAGCAAACUUAGAGAGAAAUGGAGCAUGUAUAGGCAACCAAGGAAAACUAAGAAGCAGGUGUCCUUGUUUAUUUCCCCAAGAGGUGAACGUGUGGCUGUGGCUGCUGUCAAUCAAGUUACAAUUUUGCAGAAGGAUGAUGACUACCAGGAGCCAUGUGGCAUUUUUAACUGUAAGAUUUAAUUGCUCUAUAUAUUAAAGUAUUUUCGUGAUUGGCACCAGAUUUUUGUUUGUUAACCAACAGAACCUAGGAAUUCGUUUUUCACAAGGAUGGUAAGAUUGAUUUUCAAAUACAAAAUUAAGCUGUCAGUUCUUGUUCUGUUUUUUUUCUUUUCACUCUUAAGUUUUCCCUUUAAAAUUGAAUUUGCCCUCAAGUAGGUUUCAAAAAUUUUCCUUGUAGUUGAUGCUUUGUUAUUUUCUGAUGAGACCAUUUAAAAAGUUGAAACGUGAACAAACAUUUACACUAAUGUCGAUUAUAGCAGACAAUAAGAAAGAAAUUGUUUUUUUAUGGGACCAUUGUGACCAGUAAUAUAGCCCUGUAAAAGUCAUUUUCUGGAAGUUUGUUAUUGCAAGUUGGAUAAUAUGGAUGGUUAAUGGUUGGAGUAUGAAUUGUGAGAUGGACUAAUUUUUUGGAUGAAUAGAAAUUACUUUUCCUCAAGUUUUAUGAAUCCUUCCAGAACAUUCUUCCAUUUUUUAAGUUGUGAUUGCCUUUUACUCCUCUUUCCAGGUACCGGGCUUGGUGCUUCAAUUUAUGGAGCUUGGUCAGAAUCUCACGAUGUGCUUGGAAUCGUUGAUGAUACUCACACAGUCUACUUUUUUAAAGCAAACGGUGAAGAGAUAACAAGAUUCACGAAUAAGCAUUUGAAAGUGUCUUUGCCAAUAAUUGGUUUGAUUGCACAAGAUGAAACUGACGUACAGAGAUCUUGCUUGUAAGUGUUCCUUCUGGCCCCUGUCCUCUGUUUAGCAGCAUUGAGCUUGGCACAGAAGGAUGUUUAAUGUUGUCAAAGAUGUAUUUUAAUAAUCUUGAGUUAGUGAUUGAAGUUUUCAAAGUUCCUCGGGUUUUUCUUACUCAAGUUACAUUCUUUUUCUCUGAAUUCUUUGAAGCCAUAUUGAAAAGUGCUGCUCAAUUUGUAGAACUUGUUUUCAGGUGUAGCUUCACUGUUUUUACAUCAGAUGGAUUCCUUCAUCAAAUUGAAAUCAGCCAGGAUCCAAGUGCCUCUAUUUCCUCUGCAAGUGCUUCAAGUAGUGGAUUGACUUUGAGGAGGCAGUUUCCUCAGAAUGUUAUCUGCACUGACUAUCAUCCGGAACUUUCUUUGUUGUCUGUUGUCAGUAAUACUGACACUAGUUCGCUAACCUCUAGCGGGAAUUCUGGUAUAGUUUCAUAUCAUUUAUUUUCCUUUUGCCAUAUAAAACAUUCCAAUUAAUUGAACCUUUGUAAACCUGGUUUGCAACUGAUAAGGCAUUGACAUCAGCAUGGAAAGAAACAGAAUGAUCAGAUGGACUUUACAGAAUGUUUUUUCCCAUUUUCAGUGACAGAUAUUUUCCACCAAUAGCUAUGAUUUUCAUUUUUGCUUAUAACUGUGUUUCAUCAACUCGUGUCCGGGUAUUCUGAAAGCUCUGGCGGGUCCUAAACUUCUUUGUGCAUGGUCUAUAUGAAAACAUGAACUUUUAUGUUCUAUGUAUGGGGCUGGGGGUCUACGACAUUUAACAUUUGUGGUCAAUUAUUCUUAAGAUUGUAUCAUCAAUCCUCAGUUGCUUUUUAGGAAAUGAAAGGCCUUUUAUCUUGUUAUUAGACUUGCCAAUAUCUUUUUAUCAUUUUUUCUUUAACUUUUUUUUAAAUUUAUAAAUCCAGGGCCCUGUUGCAUUUCUCUUUGGCGUAGAUGUCACAAUUUAGAACUGGAACAAUUGUAUACUACCCAGAUUGAAGGGUUAUAUUGCGAACCAAAAGGUCAUGAGGUGCAGCUAGCACAUCCAAAGGUGCUAAUUUCACCACAGGGGAAAUUUGUUGCUACUUCUGAUACGAAUGGAUGCUUGUACAUUUUUGAGAUGGACAAAGAUAACUUUUCCUUGUCAAAAUUUGCUUGUGGAGAGAGAUUUGACUUACAAGUGGCUGAUAGUUUAUUUGAUGGAAGGACAAAACCUAUUAGUGAUAUAACAGAUUUUGCUUGGUGGUCUGAUAACAUACUUAUUCUUGCAAGAAAGAGUAGCAUCAUUACAAUGAUUGAUGUCCUUAGUGGUUUAAAAGUUAAAGAGACUGAUCCUGUUUAUUCCAUGCUUGUUUUGGGAACAGCACAGAAACUUCGAGGUCAUGUUUUUCUUCUAGAGAGUAAGUCAGUUGAAGAGAGAUUCAAUGUAUCCAAUUAUGACAGAGAAACAGUGUACUCAAAUCAUACAGUGCAGCUCAUUGAAGAAAGAUUUAAUCGAUCUGGCAAUACUAUGUUGUACUGGAGCUUAAUAUCGUUUUCAGAGAGAUCUGUUCCUGAAAUGUAUAACAUUUUAAUCAGCAACCGCAACUAUCAAACUGCUAUUGACUUUGCUAAUUAUCAUGGGUUGGAUACUGAAGUUUGUACAAAAUAAGUUUGUACAAAAUAAGUUUGUACAAGAGUUUGUGGCUGUAUCAUUACUCUUAUAAUAUCAAUCAUCGCCAUAACUAUAUACUCAUAAAUAUUAUUAUACAUUGAUGUUUUGUUGUUUACGUUAUUAUUAUUUAUAAAAGCCAUAAGUUGCUCGGGCAAAUACCGGUAAAAUGUGAAUGAUAUCAUUGUUUAUGUUUUGUUGUUUAUGCUUAUUGAUGUUUUGUUGUCUUUUAUUAUGGGAAUACGAGAGAAUUCUAAGCACCAAGAGUCGGAUAAUCUCAAUUGGGGUGGGCGGCGGCGGCGGCGGCGACUCACAUAGUCACAUGCUGACCCCAAGAUUCACGAAAUAGUCGAUGACUGUGUUGGCUUCAUAACAUGACCAAAACAAAAGUGCUUAUGCAAUAAGCGAUAUUGGAACUUACAAUUAAACCAUCGAUUACAAAAACAUCCAUAAGAGGUUUUAUUCAAAGGGGUAGGCCAAAAGAUAAAUAACAGCAGUGUGAAUUUAUGGGAAAAUUUUUGAGCCAUUUUCUCUAAUAUUUGGUUUGUGUGUGUGUGUGUGUGUGUGUGUUCAAUAAAAAUUAAAGGGACAAACUAACGUUAUUCUUUAAAAAUGAUGAAAAAAAAAAUGAAAAUAUAAAAUAUAAGAUUUCAUUAUUAAGUUGGGUACAUGCGGACAUUGGAAACAUUAUUAUUAGAAAAUAUUCCUUUUCCGCACACGAGGGAAACGAAUGGAAACUUUAGCCGAGCCGAGAAAACAGAGCCGAGCCGAAAAAGAGAGUUUAAUUUGUACGAGAGCUCCAUCUUAAACGUCCUGGACCAAGAACGUCCAAAUCGCUGAUGUUUCGAAAGCACAAGCCUGAUUCUUGUGGUGUCCACGUGUCGUAACCCAAUUGGCAGCACUAGUUUCUUCUUAACAUCAACUCGUCUCUUUGCAUUUCCCAAUCUUUGUUUUGUUUUUGUCCAUCCUCCAUUUUUGAAAAAAGCACUCUUAUAUAUCUUUUCUUCGCCGGGAAAAAAAUAAAAAGAAACGGCGGUAUUUUUCCGUCGAAUACGAAAUUAGAUUCAUCCAAAAAGAAUCUUCAACUACGACGUCGUGUUGUCCCUCUUGUUGUAGAUGAUGUUGAUGUUGGUUACGUGAAGAAAAUUUUCAAAAUUUAGCGUGGAGUGUAAGUUGUUUUUUUUUUUUUUCUUUGUCUUAUCUUGUUUCAUUCAAGCUUAAAAAAUCUGUUUAAGUUCAGAGCAGAAAUUAUUCUACUGAAAAGUAUUUUUUCUCGGAAUUAAUCGAGGAAAAAUUGUUAAAUUUUUGUUUUUUUUUUGGGGGGAAUUGUUGGUGUUUCUGGAUGGUUAAUUUGGACUGUGAAGUGAAAAAUUGGAUUUUGGUCCGGUGGAAUGAGGAUUUUGAUGAAAUUUAGAGUUAAAAUUGUUAAUUUCAACCUGAUUUAGUGGUUAAUUUCUUUUUUGUAAUUAAAAAAGAGAGAAAAAAAGAGAAAAAAAUAAUGAGGAAUUCAGGGAUAGUGUGAGUGGCAAGCAUGAGUUGCAGCAACAGCGAAAAGAACAGAGUAGGAAGAGAAGAGGGGGAACAAGAGCAAAACCAGCAUGUUUUGCGGGGUUCUGUCGAGAAAGAAUCGAGAGCCGUCGUGAAAAAUGGAUCGAUAACGGCCCCGCAAUUGACAAUCGAUCGAAGUCUGCUUGUUGACCCGAAAUUAUUGUUUAUUGGCUCUAAAAUUGGUGAAGGAGCUCAUGGGAAAGUUUAUGAAGGAAGGUCAGUGUCAACUCUGCUUCGUUGGUUUAAUAAUAGUUUGUUUUAGUUCACUAUAUUUUGCAUUUAAGAAGACUCUUUUUGAAAUGGUAUGUAUUCGUUUACAUAUGAUAAAGUCGCUACUACAAACAAUGUUAUUGCUUAUGAAUGAAUUUUACUGUUGGUCCUGUGCAAUGGGCGUGUAAACAUACUUUGAAUGGGAGCUAGUGUCUUGGUUACAUAGGUGUAAUCUAAUUCUUUUCCAGGUAUGGCGAUCGGAUUGUUGCUAUCAAAGUUCUCAAUCGUGGGAGCACUUCAGAUGAAAGAGCUUUGCUUGAGGAUCGUUUUAUUCGUGAAGUGAAUAUGAUGUCUAGAGUAAAACAUGACAAUCUUGUCAAGGUGAGUUUCAAAAUCGAGAAUGUGUCAUAUUUGUUUGGCUUUGAUGGCUGUAUCCAACCCUUUAGUUCCUCUAUGAUAUCUAUUUUGCUGAACUUGGUCUGUUUUUUUGGCCUUCGCAGUUUCUUGGAGCUUGUAAGGAUCCACUAAUGGUGAUAGUGACGGAGCUAUUACCAGGGAUGUCGCUUCGAAAGUAUUUAGUUAGCCUUCGUCCAAACAAAUUAGAUCUUCAUGUGGCUUUAAAUUUUGCUCUUGACAUAGCUCGAGCCAUGGAUUGUCUGCAUGCCAAUGGGAUUAUUCAUAGAGAUUUAAAACCUGGUAUAUCUUGAGCAUACUCUGUCUGGGUAAUGUUUAUUACAUUCCCAUAGGCUUCGUUGUAUUGAUCCUGGGUUCGUUUAAGGGGUCAUUUAGUUUUUAUUUUUUUAAUUUUUUAAAUCUUUUUAGGGGCAAUUGGAACAUAGAAUGAUGUUCAGUUUUAAUCUCGUUUCUCUUCUUCUUUCAUUCUUCUGCUUUGUUUUAUGUGUAUGAUGAGAACAAAUGUGGUAUUCAGGGCCUUCUUGUGCUAAAUAUGGUUUUUGCAUAUCUCUAGAUGCCUUAACUGGUUGUUUUUCAGAUGGGAUGAUCUGCAUUUGUAAUUUUAAUGCAAAUCCCAGUUACUGAAUGCAGAAUGUCAACUGUUGUUCUGUAUAUUGUAUUUAUUGUAGUUCAAGGUCAAUGUCUGAUUCUUAAUUGAAAUUUAUGCAGACAAUUUGUUGCUUACACCAGAUCAGAAGUCUUUGAAGCUUGCAGAUUUUGGUCUUGCGAGAGAAGAAACUGUGACCGAGAUGAUGACUGCAGAAACGGGUACUUAUCGCUGGAUGGCUCCUGAGGUUUGUGUCCUCCUUGUAUGAGGAAUUUUUAGAUUUUGUUUGCUAUAACUGUUCCUUUGUUUCAUUCACUUGGUUGGGAACAUAGUAGAAGAUUCUUCUAAAAAUUUUUAUGCUUAAAGUCUUAUCAUGAAAGUGGUGCAUUUCUAGGGUUCCGCACUGCCCUUCUGAUGCUGUGGCUAUAAUACUCCCCCUCCUAUAAUCUGGAAGUGGCUGCAUGUACUGUUUGUGAUGGUUGUAUCUUGUAUGUAAAAGUUCAGUUAUAUCUUUUUUCUGUGAUUAGCAUCUCUUUUCGCUUUUUCUGCUUUUGAACCAUAUGUGAUUAGAUUGAUUGCUCAAGACGCUGAAGUACAAACUCAGGGACAAUCUUAAAACACUAGGACAUAAUUAUUUUAGUUGAGAUGUUGAAUGACUGUUGUUAGACUGGUUGGCUUUUCUCUAUUUUUGUCUACUGCAUAGGAGAAACUAAGCUUGGCUUUUAUCUAUUGCAUCAGAGAGACUAAGGAUUUACCUGUGCUUUAUACAAACUUUUCCCGCCCAAUGGUAACUCUUUUAGUCUGUCACCUAUAAUAUGUACAUCUCUUUGCAGUUGUACAGCACAGUGACAUUGCGUCAGGGAGAGAAGAAGCAUUACAAUAACAAGGUUGAUGUUUACAGCUUCGGAAUUGUCCUAUGGGAACUGUUAACCAACCGUUUGCCAUUCGAAGGCAUGUCGAACUUGCAGGCUGCUUAUGCUGCUGCUUUUAAGGUUCAAGAAUCAAUAUAUGCACCAUAAUUCUCUACAUAACAUUUGUUCCUUAUAAACUAUGAAUAUUGAAAAUAAUAUAUUUCAAACCUGAUAAUCAUUGUUGUCUGUGACGUAGCAUGCGAGACCAGGUCUUCCAGAGGAUAUAUCCCCGGAUCUUGCAUUUAUUGUUCAGUCGUGUUGGGUUGAGGACCCUAACUUGAGACCAAGCUUCAGUCAGAUCAUCCGCAUGCUCAAUGCUUUCCUCUUCACGCUCAGACCACCUUCACCAUCUGUUCCAGAAUCCGAUACCAACGAGGCAGCCGCCACAAGUAAUGGGGCCAUGACUGAGUUCUCUGCUCGUGCAAGAGGAAAGUUUGCUUUCCUUCGCCAACUUUUCACUGCUAAGAGGACCAAGAACUUGCAAUGAGUGGGUAAAAUUUUGGAUAAUUUCUUUUGUUCCAAUUCAUAGAAAGCUGGCAUGCAAUAGUAGGUAUAUAUUUUUGGCGAAUCUCUGGUUUAUUACCCUAACUAUGACGAUUAGCUGAGGAUGAAAAGUGAAAAAUGUUGAAACGAAAUCAUGUUAGUGAGGAAACUCAUCUGGAAAAUAAGAAAAAAGACAAAAAUAUAAUUAUUUACAUGACUAGUUGUAAAGUAGGUACAUGGUUUGAACUCUUUGGUGUUCAUAUCAAUUUUACUUCAUUUCAAAAUUGUGGUUAUAUUUGCAAUUAAGCAAAUUUAUCUUCAGUUUGCGCAUAUCUGGAUCCAUAACAUAGUUAGUGAACCGCAAUAUCGCGUGAUGCUGUCUGGUCAAUCGAUACUCGAUAGUUUCAUCGCCAUUUAUUUGCUAGAAUGUCUACAUGCAGGGGUUGCAUUUCUUUCUGAGAGAAAUGUAUUUUAAUUAUCGUAAUGUUCUUUGAUAGUCGUCGCUUGCGAUGAAAACGAACGCCUCAUUAUCCCUCUACAUGAAAGUCAAAACUCGCAAGGUUUUUAAUGCGUAAGAUAGUGAUCUGAUAGAUAUUAAUCUCCGAGUAAUGUACAUCGGCUAAGAUAUAGUCUAUGUGACCUGGUCAAGAUACCCCAUUUUGAAAAAAUUAAAUUAAACUAUUGGACAGAUUAAAAAUGUGAUUAAAGUAGAAAAUUGGACGGUUUGACCGGGGAAAGAGAAAAAAUCAAAGUUUCGGUCUUCGAUUUUGAAUGGGGCAAACGACCCCGUUUGGGAGUUACCGGGUAAAAUUGUACAGAGUUUCUCAAAUUCUUAACUUUGUCACCCUGUCUUUGAUUAGUGAUUAGCUAAGCUAUAACUUUCUUCAAGUACGCGCACGCACUUAAAUAUUUAAAAAAAUUUCAACAGUUUGAAUUUUGGUCAAAUGUAGAUAUUUGAAUAGUCCUUAAAAUUCAAUUUAAGGCUGACAGUAGGUCUUGUUUCAAAAUAAAAUUUAAAUCUCUGAUGGCAAAACGAAGUAAUUUUCUUCUUCCUUUUUUUUUUUUUUCCUUGAAAAUACUUAAAAGUUCGUGAGACUUUUCUACGUUCACUGAAUUCUAAAUUGGGUACUAAUCUCGUUUUUAACCUGAAAAUUGGAAGAGUCAAAUACUGUGUACCUAAAGGAAAUUAAAUUUUAUUGAUUGGUACUUUGGUAGAAUUACAAAGGUCGUUUCAAAUAAAGGUAGGUUGGGUAACUCUUGUGCGUGUAUUUUUGGGGCAAAUUUAUCAUUCUUUUAGAGUGAAGUCAAGAUUUUCAAAUUUUUAAAAUUUCACUUUUCACCUAAUUUAUCUUAAUCUUACGGUUAGGCCCAGAGAAACAACCUGGAUGAGGGUUUUCAAUUUCAUACCCGGAUUUUGCAGAUUGCGCCCUUGAACCCGGACUCUGUACUCAAAGAGAAUAAUUAUCUUAAAUUUAUUUUGACGUACAUUAUGAAUAAUAUAUGUAUGGCGUUAUAUGUAAUGUGUUCGGAAAUAAAUAUUUUUUGUUUGUUAAAAAAUAAAAAAUAAAAAAUAAAAAAUUGAGAAAUUCUGCUCAAAGAAGUUGAUGUAUGGCACAACAAAACUCAUUGAAUAUAAUAAUACUGAUUGCUGACAUUGAAAUUCAGGACUCCGGUUUUCUAGACUAAAGCCAAUAUCAUGAUUCUUCUUUGGUUUAUGGAAUCUAAUUAUAAAUUAUUUUUUCUUUACAAGUAAUUACCAACAAUUCUAAGUAAAAAAAAAAAAAAGAAUUUUUUUUUGGGGAAUUUCUUGAAAAUUGUUUGAAGAAAGAAAACCAAUAUACAGUAGUCCAAUUUAGUUUUUUUUUUUUUUUUUUCUCUCUAUAAAGAAACCUGUCACUGUCAUCGUGGACCAAGAAAUCAAAAGUAAAUUAAUCCGUUGUUUUCUUCAUUACAUCACCGCCGUUGGAUCACAUCUAACGCUCGCUUCAUCCGAUAUCUAGCGCAAUUCAAAGGUCAACAUUUUAGACAAAACUUACACGCCAAAAGUGUAAAACAUAUCUUUUUCCUCUGUAAAAUUUUUAAUGACUCUAAGAGUCAAUGCCUUGAGUUACCUAAAGUAGAAGAAGAAAGAGGGAAUCAUAUACAUACAAGACACAGUAGAUAUAGCUAUUGCUGAGAUUAUAUAGGUAAUCUAUCAUUCGAUUCAAGAUCUGGAAGAGAUUCAAAUUCCGUAUCUUUGUUCAAAGUUUUCAUCAGUCAACAAGUUUGUUGAUGUUAAUGAUCAAUUAUUUUACUUAAACCAAGAACUGGGUUUUUGAUUUUGGGGUGUUUAAGGAACUGGGUCUGUUUUUUAUUGGCUUCAAGUUUCGAAAUUUCGAGGCUUUGCUGAUGAUAAUAAGCUGCCCGACCUGAAUUCGGUGUGUCGUGGGACCUGGGUCGGAUUCUGGUUCGCCUAAGGUUUGAUGAAAGAUGGAUGAAAAUGCAGCAGCUUUGCACACAGCUGCAAACUCAGUGCAGGCUUUGGGGAGAGGUUUUGAUGUGAAUUUUGACACGAGGUUGUUGUACUGUAAAGGCGUUGCAGGCUCUAGAGUAGUUGAGGUUGAUGAAGAACAUAAGAAGGAUCUGUUUUUGUAUGAUGAAAUAGUUGUGCCUAAUGUUUCUAGGGACAUUAAGAACUCUCAAGAGUCUAUUGGAAGGCAGAGCUCUGGGGUUUGUACUUAUCCUCAGGUAAGUUUGUUAUUUUUCUGCUUUCAAUUUUUUGUCUAAUUAACGCAAUAUGUAUUGGUUUUUGUUGUUUCAUGUUCUGAGAUUAGAGUUAGGUGUUCGAGAAUUGUGUUUAGGCUGGUGUUGAAAUGAUGCCGGCUUUCUCUAAAAUUUUAAUUAUUUGUUUGCUUGGAGAAAGAGAUGUUGAUUCAAAGGCAAAUUGGUGAUUGGACAUUCAUAUUGAUAAAAAAAUGAUUUACAACCGAGUGAUUUGAAGUUUUUUGAGUUAUAUAUUGUUAUAAUCAUUUUCUCCAUCGUCAUCACUCUAGUUUACUGCCCUAUAUAAGCUGCCUCCUAUGUCAAUCAGAAUUAUAAUUUCUGUCGGGAAUUCGUAUUUGGAAUGUGUUGAAUUGUUCCAAGAGCUAGCAGCUCUUUAGCAACAAGGGAGUAGGUUUCUGGUUAUUCAUGGAAACUACCUCACAGGUUGAGCCCGAGCUCAUUUUUCUAGCUCUGUUGAGGCUACAAGAAGAAGAAAAUAGGUUAGACGCUUGACGAAUUAAGAUUGAACCAGUCCAAUCUGAGGCAAGCAUUUUGCAGUAUAGCUUCAUGGCACUUAAGAAGCACUCUUAUUUUUAUUUGACAUCUGAUGGAAUUCAAUGAUGGAUGACAAGUAGUUUGUUGAGAGUACUGAUGGGCAUUCAGUGCCACUAGUUUCAGACAUUGACAUGGAUACCAAACCAUAUUUGUUGGGUAGCUUGGGAGCAGACAAAUUAAAAUAUAUGUGAAGCCCGAGCUCAUUUUUCUAGCUCUGUUGAGGCUACAAGAAGAAGAAAAUAGGUUAGACGCUUGACGAAUUAAGAUUGAACCAGUCCAAUCUGAGGCAAGCAUUUUGCAGUAUAGCUUCAUGGCACUUAAGAAGCACUCUUAUUUUUAUUUGACAUCUGAUGGAAUUCAAUGAUGGAUGACAAGUAGUUUGUUGAGAGUACUGAUGGGCAUUCAGUGCCACUAGUUUCAGACAUUGACAUGGAUACCAAACCAUAUUUGUUGGGUAGCUUGGGAGCAGACAAAUUAAAAUAUAUGUGAAUAGACAUUGGAUUAGAGUAACCGAGUUUUUUUUUUUUUUUUUCUUCCCCCAUGAAAAUUGGCUUAGAAAUGAUUCUGUUUUAACCAAGCAUAGUUUAUGAACCUAGAAACUUGGCUUGGCUGUUUUGUGGGGAGGGUGGUGGGAGAAGGAAGGGUGAGAGGAGGACUUUGCUAAAUUCUGUUGGCAUCAGGAUGGAAAUGCAAAUCAGAGAGGAGUUUUUUUUUUAAAAAAAUUUAAGAGUGCUGUUUGUAGCAUAUUUCAUUAUUUAUUUUGUUUUAUUUCAUUCUAAUAUGUUUCUUGCAAUCAAUAACUGCAGAUGGUAGAGUAUUUUAAUGAGAAGGCUAAUCUUUCUGGAGGUUUUCCUCUUGGAAGUUUCAAUGCUGCAUUUAGCUUCACUGCUUCAAAGCAUAUUGAUGCCGCAGCCACAAAGACAUUGUCAAUGGAUGGGUUUUAUAUUCCACUUGCCAAAGUUGAGCUUAAAUCUCCAUUAGUCUUGCAAGAAAAUGUAAAACGGGCUAUCCCAGCAUCUUGGGACCCUCCUUCAUUGGCAAGGUAUGGAUGCUUGAAUCAGUAAGAGGAAAGUUUUGUUAAUUUAGUUUGGAACCAUACUUAAAUAUAUAUAUAUAUAUUUUUUCCUGUUGACAGCUUUAUUGAAAAUUUUGGGACUCACGUCAUAACAUCAGUGACUAUUGGUGGUAAAGAUGUGAUAUAUGUUAAACAACAUCAGUCAUCACCUUUGUCAACCAUGGAGAUUAAAACCUAUGUUCAGGAUGUUGGAAAUCAGAGGUUCUCUGACAAGGACAGUCUCACAAGUUCAGGUCAAUUGAAAUUGAAGGAUAAGGCUAGUUCCCGUUCCCAAUAUCUCUUUGUAUUUGGUCUUCCUUCCAUAUAAUACUGUGACUUCUUAAUCCUCAAGGACUUACUAUUUGUAACUUUUGAGUUUGCAGGGUCUUGAUCCUGGCUUAUUCAACAGCCAAGGAAUAUACCCUCAACCAACAAGUGCGCCAUAUCUUACGGGGAAAGAAGUAUGUAGACUUCCUAUUAUUAUUCUCAGAAUUCCCAUUUUACUUUAUAUGCCAAUGAUCCAUUUUCUCUUUAGAGUAUUGUCUAUUUAUUCUUCUAUGACUCUUAUAUUUUGUUAUUAAAUUACCGUGAAGUCUUGAACUCAGAACUUUCUGGAACUCUCAUUGAUGCAGGAUGUUACAGUCAUUUUCCGGAGAAGGGGAGGUGAUGAUCUGGAGCAGAACCACAGACAAUGGGCAAGAACCGUCCGUUCCUCUCCGGAUGUCAUUGAGAUGACGUUCUUUCCUAUCACUGCUCUGCUUGAUGGGAUAACUGGAAAGGAGCAUCUGACUCGUGCUAUUGGUCUCUAUCUUGAAUGUAAGACAGUUGACACAAUGUAAUAGAGGCUCAUGCGCUUUGUUAAUAGCAGUGCAAAUAAUUCUAACCAUUAGCUUCAAAAAUUUUCUGCACAGGCAAGCCUCAGAUUGAAGAGCUUAGAUAUUUUCUAGAGUUUCAGAUCCCUCGGGUGUGGGCUCCUGUACAGAACAAGAUUCCUGGCCAACCGAGGAAGGAACCUGUUUGCCCAUCUUUGCAAUUCAGCAUGAUGGGGCAAAAGCUUUACAUCAGCCAAGAGCAGGUAAAGGUUUUAUUAGCUCACUCUAUAUGAUGUUAGGUAGUAUUUGGUAGCUUCAAGAAAAUUGAAUCAUGUCAUUGCAUUUGCUGUGGCAACCAGAGUUUGUAUCUGGUGUUUUACUAUCUUCUGUAUGACCUAAUAGUUUUUCCACUCUGACUUUUCUAAAAACUUGAAUGAAUGAAAUUAUCUCCAUAACACUAAUAGUUUAAACUACCAAGGUUGUCAUUUAUGUGCUGAACAGCAGAUCAUUUGAUUGCUUUUAACUUUGGAUUCAUGAAAAUGCAGAUAUCAGUUGGUCGUAAGCCUGUUACAGGCUUGCAGUUAUGUCUGGAAGGAGCCAAGCAGAAUCGAUUAAGUAUUCAUCUUCAGCACUUGGCAUCUCUUCCAAAGAUUUUGUUUCGCUACUGGGACACCCAUGUGGCAAUUGGUGCUCCAAAGUGGCAGGGUCCCGAAGAGCAAGACAGUCGAUGGUUUGAGCCAGUAAAGUGGAAGAAUUUUUCUCAUGUGAGCACUGCACCAAUUGAGAACCCCGAAACUUUUAAUGACCUCUCUGGGGUCUACAUAGUCACUGGAGCUCAACUCGGAGUAUGGGAUUUUGGUUCAAAAAAUGUCUUGUACAUGAAGCUUUUGUAUUCUCGGCUACCAGGAUGCACCAUACGAAGAUCUCUAUGGGACCAUUCUCCAAAUGACAAGCCUAAAAAAGUUGCUUCCACAGGAACCGCCAACUCUGCUGACUCUAGUACAGGUUCAAGAGAAAACAUUGCAGGCAACAAGUUGGUGAAAUUGAUUGACAUGUCUGAGAUGACCAAAGGUCCACAAGAUCCUCCAGGUCACUGGUUGGUGACAGGCGGAAAACUUGGGGUUGAGAAAGGCAAAAUUGUUUUGAGAGUCAAAUACUCCUUGCUCAAUUAUUGAGUGUAUAAACUAUUUAGUUUUUGAAUGAUAGUGUGCAGGAAAAAGGUGGUGUUUAGAUCCAUAAGGUUUUGUGUUCAUCAUGCCUGUAAACAGAUCCAAUUUUGAUGAACUGAGUUGAAUGGUUGAGGUGCUGGAGGAUGUGUAAUGUAAGUGGCUUUGAACAUGCACUCUUCCAUUUUUGGUGGCAAAUUCCUGUUCCCUAAGAAAUUCUGUGAAUUUGAAGCAAUGCCAGCUUCUUCUCAAGUACGAAGGGAUUCAGAGAUCAACCACAAAACGAUUUGCUUACAAAUUGACCCAAAAAAGGGGGAUAACAUAUCAAAAGACGGAGAAUGUGAGACAGUGAUAUUCAAUUGAAGUUACUAAAUCAAAGUGGCAUUUAUUAAUCAACCCAAACUCUGUUUGACAGAGUUGGUAUUAUACAAAACACACACAACUUGCUAAUUUAACCCAAUUGCAGGUCAUAAAUGAUCAAAUAAAACCAUCGUCACACAUAAGCCCAGCGGGUGCCCAUUUGUCACCUCUGCAUAAACCCUUCCCGUACUGCUUUACAAUAAAAACAUAUUUGGAAAACAUGCAAAAUUUCUAUAAUUGACUUCCUUCAAAAGUCUGCCCAAACUUCCAAUUCGCAGGCACAACAUUGUAGCUGGUAAUAGUUCUUCCGUCACUUGUGGUAACUUUAAAGGAGAGGCUUUGGCCAUCCAAGUAAGAAUUACUCUGCCAAUUUUGGCCCCAAUUUCUGGACAUUGCUUGCCACCCUGUUUUUGACCCCUUGAUGAACACAGCCUUCACAUCGCCAGCACCUCCCACAUUUGUUAUCAAAACCAAGUUAAAGUAUGAAUGACCAUUGAUGGUGAAUCUUAUGCCCCCUUUCUUCACACAUGGUGCCCUGCAUCACAAACCAAAAAUUUAAAGAACAAUAAUAAUAAUAAUGAUGACGAUGAUGAUGACGACGACGACACUGAUUUUUAGCGAUGUUUAGGAAAUUGGGGUGCUUGCUUGGAUUGCAAGCAUUAGUUUCAAAUCAUAAUAGAAAGACUUGAACAAUAUCAAGUCUAGUUUUACCUGAAGGACUCGUUCUGACAGCUUAAGUUUUUGGAGCAAGCAACUACAAAAAUACCUUCUGAAGAGGACGGGGACGAUUCCAGCUCGAUAUUGUGCAAUGUGCAAGAAAGAAGGCUGGGCCAAAUCAAAAUGUUGAAGAGGGGGAUUGCACCAGCCGCCAUUGUCAUUAGACAAAGCAUAAUUAGGAGGGCAAAAGUUGGUGGCAGUCACAGUGAUGGUGCCAGGGAGGCACCAUUGUGGAUCAUUGGCGCAACGUAUCUCAUAGCAUGCACCGCAGCUCAAGCCAUUGUUGAACAGAGCCGUGCUUAGAGCUGCUGUGUUUGUGCCAUAACCCUGGCUGUACAAGUUUCCAUACCCACAAGCUCCCCCUAGAAAUUUAAUUAUAAAGUAAAUAAUCAUUAAUAUAUACAUAUAACUAAGUGCACACACAUAUAUACCUAUUAGCUAUGGAAAAGAAAUGGAAAAUGCAAAUGAGAGCUCACCCAUUGUGCCAGAGGCAUCACUGCCACCAUAAAAUGUGGCAUGUGCAAUUUGCCAGCCACCGUAGUCCCCAUUUAUAGCGUGAACAAAAAUGCUGAUGAAAAAGAACAAAACAAGAAAUAGAAAGUUUUUCAUGGCAUUAGCUUUAGUGGCCAUUGUGAUUAUAUGCUUCUGCUUCUGUUGAUCGAUUAUAUUUUGCUGCUUAGACCAAGGCUUGACAGAAAAUAAACGAAGCAGAGGCUAUUUAUCUGUGAUCAUGCUGAGAGACCAAGAGGCGAAUUGAAUUAUUAUUAUUAUUUUUUUUUUUAUGAGAGAAAACGUUAUCACGUUUGUGCCGACCUAACUGCCCAGGUAAAUAAAUUUUUUUUUUUAAAAUUUUGAUAUUAAAAUUAAUUAAAGGAGUACAUCAUGAAAGCUUAAAAAAGUACGUGCCUGCGUUACAGCAAAAAGGGCCAAAUAAUUCUCUCUUUUCUCUUAUCACAAGCAUUUUCCCUACGCCAUUGUUUAUUAUUUUUUAUAUUAAUCUUAUCAUUCUAUUGACUUAUUGAUGAGGAAUAUGAUAAUGGUAAACGGUGACCGAUUAAUUUAGUUAAAAUUUUUUUAAAAAAAGUCAACGAUAAUAGUAUGUGAAUUACAGAAUUAGCCCUCUGCUUUCAGCUCUAUUAUUCUUUUAAAAAAAAGUUUACUAAUAAUGUCACUAAGUUUUACGAGAAUAGUUCAUGAUAUAUUUGUGAUUAAGGUUUUUCGGUGUUAUGAAAUAGCAUCGAUAAUUUUUUUUUUUUCAAUUAUAUGUGGAUGUCUAGUUGAGCAGUAAUGGUAAAUACAAGUGAUCGCUUAUAAAAAUCUUUUUGCAAAUAUUCUUUGAAAAUGAAGCAAUCAAGCAAAAUAUACGAGGAUCACGAGCAUGCCCUAAACAAGUUUAAAAUUAAUCAAAUAAUAUUGAUAAAAUUAGAUUAGUUCUUUGACUAUGAUAGAAAGACCAGGAACGAUAAAUCCUAUUGGUUGUUUGAAAGUUCACGGGAGGGAGCUCGUAUGAACGUGGCAGAGAGUAGAGAGUGACACAUCAGCUAACUUUUGGUCUUUUUAAGUGACAUGUGACCCAUAUUGAUUGGGUGGUCGUUGACAUGCUGGCCGACCAAAAUAAGAGAGUGGUGAUGACGUGUCCCUGCUGGGCUGUGCAUGUGUAGCCGGGUUUCAUGCCUUUUUCUGAUUUUGAAAAUCUUCUGAUGUUCAAUAUUUGGUGCAUCUUCUUUUGCUUUCAUUCAUUAUAAUCACAACCCGAAACAAAAAACAAAAAGACUUUAAUAUGAUUUCAUUUAAUAUGAUUUACUACGUGGGGGUUCAUGUGUAAACAGAAAAUGCUGCAUGAUCUUUCUUGUAAGUAAGUAAUGCAGCCUCCUCAAAUUUUGAACGAAAUGCACCUUCCCUUCGCAAAGUUGGUUCUGCCAUUAAUGGUCCAGUUGCAACAAUCACAGUUUCACUGGCUACUUACUUUGGAGGGAGAAAAUAUUUCACCUAAAGGGCAAACAACAUGAAGUAAAAUGGAGUAGGUGGAAUAUGCUUGUUUUGACAGAAAUUUAGAAUUCUGCCGACUAGGCCUUUGAUCUGGGUGGUAACCAUUGUUCUCACCAAAGGUGAGAGCUUUAAUUCGAGUCGUCACUUGAAGAAUCAAAGUUCUCUCUCUCUCGUGUUUUAUGGAUAGAGAUAGAUAUAUAUCAUAUAUUAGGACAAAGAUCUCGAAGUAUAAAUUUUUAAAUUAUAUUUACAAUCCUUUAAAGUGAAUUAUAUUUUUAUGUACUGGGAUAUAGAUCCUUUCCGAUAGAGAUAGAGAUAUUUCAUAUAUUAAUUAUGAUAGAGAUCUCGAAGAAUGGAUUUUCAAGCUAUACUUAGUGGACCUUUAAAGUGAAUUAUAUCUUCAUGCAUUGGGAUAGAGAUCUUAUUUCUUAAUAAAUGUAGAUUUUUAAGUUAUACUUGGUGAACUUUCAAAAUGAAUUAUAAAGUGUAAAUUCACAAUAGAUUAUAGUUGUAUGUAGAUCGUAACCCAUUUGAGAAAAAGAAAAAAGAGUAAGCUUUAGAAAUAAGGUAUUUUGACUUUUAAGAGGGGCCACUCAUUUUAUAAAUAACCAAAUUUACCCCACUAUAAUUAUACGAAUAUUACAUCACUUCUAAAUGCACAUAGUUUUUAUUUCACGACUAACCCUUCAUUUGUAUGUUUCAUUGGAAUUCGUUAAUGAGACUCUCUUUCUACAAAUUCAAGUGUGCAACUACAAACGAUUCUCACAUAUAUGAUUAACAAACUCCCAACACUAAUGGAAUUAAAUAACUAAUUAAUUUUCUUAAUUUUAAGUUUCAUCAUUAAUAAACUUUCCAGUUUCCAUAAAUCUCUUUCUUUGUAAGAUAACUUAUCAUUCUUGAAAGAAACUUAAAUUAAUAUUAAACAACUCUUACAAGGUUUCUAUUAAUAAAAUCUAGUUCUCUCUCUAACUUUUUUCUUUUAAUUUUACUUUCUACUAUAUACUAAACCCAGAAUUUCGGCCUUCUGAUUUUCAUGGUGGUGACUUUUUUUUUUUUUUUUGGUUCUUUACAGUCUAUGGAAUUUUGUUUAAUUUAUUUCUAUAUCACUAAAAAAAAAACGAUGAUAAAAGGCAAAAAUGAAUAAGGGGUGUAAUUUCAUGGAAUUAUUUUUUUUAAAGGAAGUAAUUGAAUGGCAAAUUUUCUUUUCUUCUGUAGUAAGUAAUUCAAUGGCAAGGUUAUUACUGUAAUUGUACACGAGGGAGUUUUAUCAAGAGUAUAGAGGGAUGCUAACAGGCCUACUGUUCAAUGAAUCCGACACCGAAAUGGACGCACUUAGUCACUCUUACCCAAGCUGUACAUUUGAAGAGAUGGGAGGCUGCUUAGAAAAUUACUGGGGGGUCUUCCGUAUCACUCUCUUCCGUCCCAUAAUUGGGGGAGCCUUCAAUCAUAAAUUGCCACAUACAACGUCGCCCGGACCAAAACCCUGCACUAUUAAUUUAACUGGGCUGGCGCGGUUUUUUUUUUUUUUUUCCCCCACAUAUAAAUGUUUUGGGAGCAUAACUGGGUUAGGUUAGAGUUUCAAGUAGAGAAUAACACUGCUUUGAUGUGCUCCUCAUCUUCUUCUCGAAUCAUUUUGUCAUUUUCUAGGGUUGCAUUUUCGACAGAAGCUGGAGAUAUUUGACCUUCAGAAACCUUCAAUAAUUCACCUUUGAAAUUUGAGAACGACAAUAAAGAGAGUUCUCAUCAUAGUGAAUGCUUCAAUAAACAAAUUACUAUCGCUUACAAUAAGAGAGGGUGUGUGAGUUUUUUUUUUUUUUUUAAUUGUUUUUAUUUCCUCUGUUUUUUAUUUGAUAUAUAUCCUUUCAUUCUUUCUUCUUGGCUUUGAAUGAUUUAUGCUCAACAAUAUAAAAUUGAUUCUUUUCCGUAUUUGAUAUUAAUCCCUUAAUCUAUUAAAAAAUUUCAACUUUUUUUUAAAAAAAAACAUAUAAAGAAAUUUGAUAAUCUACUAGAUUGAGAGAGGGAGACAGGAUAGGAGAAAGGUUAAAAAAAAAAAAAAGGGCUCUAUAUUUUUUAUUUUUUAAAUAAGAUUGAUUUUGAAAAUGGAUAGAAUAAAUUAAAAUGUGAAGACCUACCAUUAAAAGGAAUUUAAAUAUCAGUACUCCCAUAAAGAUGCGGCACCGAUAAUGGGCCACUCGAUUGUCAAGGUACGGUGUCCUCGAUUUCAUGGGACGGACAGCGAAUUUGGACCACGUGUCCACGUCCAUGUCCCAACCAUUCCCAGCGGACAUGAAGUGAUAUUACUAUUAAUUAAUUUCAAGAGACCUUCGCGUACGAAAUCCGACCAACUCCAUCAGAUUUCUGCCACGUUGCAGUGUUACGUGCAAACUUCUCGAUUUGCCGUUUUUGCGUCGGGAGGAAAAAACUUGAAACAUUCAAACCACCGUUGAUUUUUUGUUAUUUGUAAUUAAUAAUGAAUUGACAUAUAAUUGACAUAUCUUAGCCGAUAUAUGUAGAAACUCGACUUUAAUUUUUUUUAGUAUUAGAACAUCUUUUUAAAUAAAAUUUUAUUAUUUAUUUAAUUUAUUGAAAAAUAAUAUAUUUUUUACUCUCUUUUUUACUAGAUAGGUAAAUAAAUAAAUAUUUAAAUAAUAAAAUUAAUAGAGAUUUUUAAAAAUACUCUUUAGCCAUUAGGAGUUGGGUUUCUUUGAUUUAUAUCACCAAGGUGCCAGAGUUUUCUUUUCUUUUCUUUUUUUUAAAUGAUUACAAUUUUCAUACUCCCACUAAUUACUUGAGAAAAGAUAUAUUUAAAUUUUGAUGGGAACUCAGAAUUGUGCCCCACAAAAUUGAAGACACAAGCUACCACCGAACCAAAAUCCUAGCAGCCAAGAGAUUCAUUGGAACAGAAAGACGAAAAUAUUUGGACAGUCGACAUUGCAUUUAUUAUUAUUAAUAAGGCGGUGGGAGAGAGUGACAUUGACACGAUAAUCAAUAUGGUACACUAAUGCAUUUCAAUCCUGAUAAGAAGAUGCCCUAUAUUGUCUCCUUAGGUAGUAAAUACCACAAGAUGGGAGUCUCUAAGUUACAUUUAAUGUAACAUACACAACUCAUCUCAACCACAUAAAUUGUGGAUCCCAUAAUUUUAUGUGGUUGAGAUGAAUUGUGUAAGUUACAUUGAAUGUAACUUAGCACUUGCCCCACAAGAUAUAAACAUGAUGUUUUUUUUUUCCUUUAAUUACUGAAAUGAAUGAAUGAUUUGUUUUUAUCAUUUAAAUAAUUUUCUUUGAUUUUUACCUGAAAUAGACGGAAGAGUAGGGAUGACAACGGGGAGGGGAGGAGAGGGACCAAUCUUCCUGUAUUUAUUUUUGAUAUUUUACGUAUGUCCAUGUCUCCUCCCCGUUCCCGUCAAAAUUACUUGAGAAAAUCAUCAUUCCCUCCCCGAAUAAUAACAGAGGAUCUCUAAGAGUCCCCAAUCUCCGAAUAACUAAUAUAUUUUUUGUUUUCGAUUUUGAGUUAAUCAUAUUAAAAUAAAAAAUUCAAAUAAAAAUAAAGUUUGAAAUAUAUCUUACAUUAAUAUCCAUUACAAAAGUUACAUACAUUAAAUUAGUAAGUAACGCAGCAUGUAAAGGAUACAAACUUCUUUUACAAACUAUCGUGAAUAAAUUAAUAGUCUAAUAUAAAAUUGUUACAAAUAAAAUCGAAUUUAGAUUCAAAAUUAACUUUUUCAAUGGUGGCGUGGCACUUUAUAAAUGUGGACUAUUCCCUUUACAGCACAAUAGUUAAGUCGGAGCAAAUCAAGAGCAAAUAUUAUAUUAUAUUAAAUUAGAUAUUAAAAUUGUAAUUCGCUGUGGGCAAUUAUAACAUCUAAAAAUAAAUAAAAAUAGAUUUAAGUUUAAAACAUUUAAUGAAUAUUAAAAUUAAAACAAAAUUUUUGGGCUAAUAGAAUUUACCUAGUUUUUUUAAUGUCCUAAAUAAAAAUUUAGGACUUUAAUUAGUUAAUUAGGACUAAAAAUUUAAUAAUAUAAAUAUUUUGAUUUUUUUUACCAAUAUUUAUAGUUUUAUAAUUCAAAUUUUAUUAUUUAUUUACUAGUAAUUUUAAAAAUUAAAAUUAAAAUUAAAAAUUAAAAUGGGGAAAUGGGUAGGGGAUGGGAAUUCCACCUCAUCCCCAUUCCCUCCCCGAAUAAGAAAUUAAGUAAAAAAAUUUCCUCGUCCCUUCCCCAAAUAAGAAAUUCAGUAUGAAAUUAUUCUCAUACUUUCCCCGAAUGGAGAAAAUCUCUGAGAGUACUCGUCUCCGUGAGAAUUGUUACCAUCCCUACUGAAGAGGCCUCUACCCAACUCUGCUCUAUUGAUGACCUAGCUACCUAAAAAACGAGUGUGCCCCAUGUGUAAUCUUAAUGUAUGUCAAAGUUGUCACAUGGCGUUUAAUUUCCAUGCAAUGGCAUGCAAACUCUGAUGCCGAAAAUUUAGACUGACCAUAUCACGUUCCUUCUCCUACGCAAAUUCUCAUGGAGUUCACUCAUGGUUAGAAAUGUGCUUUGACAAUACGGGCUUGAUUCCAGCUCAUUAAAUCACAUCUUCAUCAAUUGAGAUCUCAAUUAUGAUUUCAAAGUAAUGGACCCACCAAAGGAUAGGCGGAUGGUCCAAAAAUUUCAGAUGACAUAUUCAAUCUAGCUAGUAAGUUAAAUUAUAAAUUUGCUCCCGUUGGAAUUAAUUAAAUACAACAAAUUCAAGUUAAAAAUUUAUUUUAAAGUCAGAAACCGUUCUCAUUCAUUAAUAAUUUAUCAGUCUAGUUGCAUAAUUAGUGUUUAGUAACUAGAUGGCAAAAAUCCAAUUGAAUCUAUUAAAUCGUGCCCUAAAAUCUAAUUUCAAAUUCGAUCGGAUUUAGUUAAAACUAAAACUAUAUAUAUGUCCUACAAUCUUUACGAUUUGAUUACUUUCUCUUAAAACUUCAAUUUCUCAAGGCGUGUAAAGAGAAAUACUAAUAAACUUAUAAAAGCAGUGAAGCAAGGUUGUAAAAUUCUUCAUUCGGCCAGUCACAAAUUUUGCUUCCACCGAUAUGAUUUUUUGGCUACACCACUGUGAGUUUGACCAUUAUUAAUUAAUGCUCCAUUUUGUUUUAGGUUUUUGACGGUUAAUAUCACAAAGCCAAGCUUUCAAAAUUCUGACGAACACCUGCAGUUUGACUUUGACAAUAUAAAUGGUUUAUUCUCCUAUUUAUUAUAUAAACAGUAAUUUCUGAAAAUAUAAAUAAGAGCAAUGAUAUUUUGAAAAAAAAAGAAAAAAGAUAUAUGUUCUGAUAAAAACAACGUUAAACACAGUAAAUCGGCAAUAAUUUAUCAUUAUUUUUUUAUCAACUCUUUUAUCUCUUUAACAUUUUCAAUAGUUUUCACUUGAGAACUAGUGAUGUUUACCGGAUACCCAUCGCAUUUUCCUCGACAUCUAAUACUUCCAUUCCACAUGCCACGAUCCCACAACAGUACUGUAAUAGCAAAUGCCAAAUGGAGCCAAAAUCUUGGUCCCAGCACUAUUCCAUCGGCUAGUAUCUCUCUAUUCGGUCCUCAAAUUCCUACUUUUGCAUGUGCAUGCGCUUGAAUAUUUAAUGAGUAAUGUAAUGUAGGCAUAUUUUUUUUGCAAUCGGUGUAGUCUACGUAAACCCGUCAACAUCCCAUCACAUGAUCACUGGAAUAUGUGCAUCAUAUUUUUAGAUUUUUUUUUCUUUUGCCGCUUAUUAUUUUUCCUUUUUCCUGAGAAAUAAUAAAUAAGAAUUGCAGGGUCAUGCAAACGUACGUGGAAUUCCUUUUUCAUUAAUCAAUAAUAGCUUCCAACUUCGACGAUGCGAGGAUCAACUUGUAGUCCAGUAAAACUAUCGAAACUCAAACGCACAUCGAGGGCGUAGUACCAAAGAACAAACCAUCGGAUCAUUAAUUAAAUUUUCUCAACUAACAACCAACCCCGAACUCACUUUCCCCUUCCCUCUUUCUUGUUCGCGUUGUUCAAAAUUUCUAUAUAAACCCUAACCCUGCCCGCAGUUUCAGUCACUCAAGCUUGUAAACAGAACCUGAUAACUAGCUAUAACCAAGCAAAAGCCUCCCUGAAGAAUCCUCAUGGCUGCUCUUAAGCUUGUUUGUGCUUUGCUUUUGUGCAUUCUGGUGACUGCCCCGGUGACUAAUGCCAUAACAUGCGGGCAGGUGACAGCCUCCUUGGCUCCAUGCAUCCCUUUCUUGAGAACUGGAGGGCGUUUUCCUCCACCGCCAUGCUGUAGCGGCGUCAGGUCUCUCAACGGCGCCGCCAGAACCACCCCUGACCGCCAAGCUGCAUGCAACUGCUUGAAACGAGCUUACGGAACAAUCCGCGGCAUCAAACCUAAUGUUGCCGCUGGCCUUCCUAGUCAAUGUGGAGUCAGAAUUCCUUACAAGAUCAGCCCCAGCACCGACUGCUCUAGGUAUGUUAAUCAAUUACUCCACCCUCUUUAAUUCUUUUUGUUUUUAUUUUUUUUUUCAAUUUUCUGAUUGUUAAUUAUGUAAUUCUUAAUUAGAAUUUUGUUUUUCAUGUUUCUGUGAUGCAGGGUCAGGUGAAGUUGAGUUUGAGCUCUGUGACUUUCCAAGUAUGAUUGACUGAGAAGAAUAAAUAAAUAAAGAAUAUCUAUGUUAAUUUCUUUGUCCGAACGAGUCUCCACUUGUAUGAGUUUCACUCUCAUGUCAUGUUUGUAUAUUUGCUUUUUAUGUCAUAUUAAAUAUGUAAACGCGAUCUGUGUUUUGAGUGAUUAAUUAUAGUUAUUUUGUGGUAUUAUCUUAAAAAUUCUCUCUUAUUUUAUGUCCCUCUCUAUCAUUUUGAAUCAUGAGAGAAUCUCGAACCAUUGUUCGUUAUGUUCUAAAGUCAUGGAGACAGUGCCACCAAUUCCUCAUCAUACUACAAAGACAAUUCCAAUUCCAAAUCUAAUUUUUACAAAGACAGUUCCCAAUCCUCUAAUUCAAGCUAACACAAUAUCUAUAUAAACAAGAAAUAGAAAUUGACAAAAGGUUCUAAGAGCAUCACCAAAAGGCUCUUCAAAUAAGAUUUUAUUACUUAUUUGAAGAGCCACAUCAAUAUUUAAAACUCCAAAAGACACUCUAAUUAAGAUUCUUCAAAUAAGAAUUGAUUCUCUCUCUUCAAAUUUGGAGAGUUAAUUUCUCCCUCUUCAAUUUAUAUUUUAUUACUUUUCAUUAAAGAAAGAGAGAGAAGUGCUUUAAUUGCUAUUGACUUUUCCUUUCAAAACUAAUUAUAUGAUUAAAAUAAUAUUAACUUAUUUAUAUUUGAAGAGUCUUUUGGAGAAUAUCAUAUUUUUCACCCUUCUAUUUGCCACAUAGAUAAGCAAAUAAGUAUUUGAAGAGGAAAAUUUAUAGAGGUUUUUAGAGAUGAUCUAACAGUUUUUAAUCCUAAGUAUUGACCGAGAAGAAUAAAUAAAUAAAUAAUUAUGUUAAUUUCUUUGUCCGAAUGAGUCUCUACUUGUGCGAGUCUCACUCUCAUGUCAUGUUGUAUCUUUGCUUUUUAUGUCAUAUUAAAUAUGUAAUCCUGAUCGGUGUUUUGAGUAAUGAAUUAUAAUUAUUUUGUGGUAUUAUAUUAUAAAUUCUCUCUUAUUUUAUGUUGACGACAUCUCUAUAUCAUUUUACAUCAUGAGAGAAUCUUGAUUCAAUAAGCAUCAUGUUCUAAUGUCAUGGAGAGUGUACUGUAAAUUCCUAAUCACACUGCAAAAACAAUUCUGAUUCCAAAUCUAAUUAUUAUAAAGACAAUUUCUAAUUACCAGCAAGCGCGUAAAUUAGCUGUCAUGAGACUGUUAUAACUUAACCAAAAUCCUCAGUUCAAGGUUUAAGAAUGCAGUUGCGUCAAAUACUUCUUGGGAGAGCUUUGCCGCCCAAGUGGUCCUAUCCGACUCGAAUCUGGAUUAGUCGAGACCUAAUGUGAUCUUCGGAUACCAUAUGAUUUAAUAUACAAAAAAAAAGACAAUUCCCAAUCCUCUAAUUCAAGCUAACACAAUAUCUAAUUCCUAUAUAUAUAUAGACAAAAAAUAUGAAUUAACAAAAUGGUUCUAACAGUUUUUAAUCCUAUUGUAUUGAUCGGUAAAAUGUACUUUUAUCAAAAUACUAAUUAGCUGAAGAAUUGUUGUUGGUCAAGGUUAGAUUAUCUCAUUGACAAAUGUAAUAUUACACAAUUAAUAAUAAUAAAAAAGGUAAAAAUAAAAGCCUUCAAAGUAGUUUGAGACACUAUAAUUAAUUCAUAACAAACCAAUUGGUAUAGGUGCGUGUGAUUGCAUUGGCCGGUAGGGUGGAGCUGUGGAGGGCCCUUAGGAUGGACUUUGAUAUCUAUUUUGUAAUGGGGAAAAACGAAAAAAAAAAUCAUGAAAUUGCAAUCUAAAAUUAUACUCAAGCCCCCCCAAUAAUUUUCAUUUACUCCCCAGUAAAUUACACUCAAGUCCCAAUUCCAAUUGCUUAUGGUUAUAUAAUUAUAAUUAAAAGAGGCUAGCCCAUAAAUAUUAAAGUAGAUUUUGAUUUUUUUAAAUGAUCCACAAAUCUGUGAUACAACAGAGCAUGGCUUUAACAAUAGCUUUUAGCUAAUUAAUUUUUCGUUUUCGACAGUUUCGAGCCUGUCAGCAGGUUUGUGAUUAAGGCCCAGCCCGGCCUUUGAACAAAAAGUACAGAGCCCGGCCCGGAGCUUGGACAUAAAAUUAAAAGUUUACUAUUUUUUGUGGUACAUACUUAAGUUAAUUACUGUAUACACCGGGCCAAAAAAUUGAUUAUUCCUUUAAACCUAGCCCAACUGCUCAUUCAUUGUGAAAUUAUAUGCACUUGUAAUAUUAGUAGCCCAUUAACAAAAUUAUUUGUUACUAGUUGGUAUCUUAAGUUAAUUUCUAUAAAUUACUUAUUUCUAAUUUUUCUCCUUACGAGUCAUAAUUUAUAUCUAGAAAAGCUUAAAUCAGUAACACUAAGACAUGUUAUAAAGUGACAAAAAAAAAAAACAUUAAUUUUAAUAGCAUAGACAUGUGGCCCUGGGCCUGCUCGCGAGCCCAAUCGCUGGGUGUGCAAAAGGAACGCCCGACCCGAACUUGUACUAUCCCUAAAUUAAAUCACAAGCGACAAACUACUACAUUUUCUAUUUUCUUUUGCUUGUAUUUUGUUCACGACCCGAUCUUGUACUAUCCCUAAAUUAAAUCACAAGUGACAAACUACUACAUUUUCGAUUCUAUUUUUACUUGUAUUUAGUUCACUAAUAUUUGCCACUCGGCCAAAUAAGUGAGGGUAGCUGUUUGACCCCAUAAACGCAUUAUUGGAGAUUUAUUCCUUCCUCAAUUAUUAAUAAUUGAGCGGAGUGAAUAUUUUUUGAAUAUUAAUGAUGAUAAAAUUAUGGACGGUACUUUAUAAGAAUUGAUAUAAAUUAAUUUUAAUAAUGAUUUAAUUUAUAAAUAUUAAUUAUAGUCUCAUAUAAUAUGAGUUGUAAUAUUAAGAAAUAGUCUCAUAUAAUAAAAAAAAUUUACUAAUAUUUAGUUUUACAUAUAUGUAAUUAUGUAUAUACAGAUUUAAUGUGUGAAAAUUUAUUUGAUUGUACCGAUGCAAUUAAUAAUAUUUCAUUUCGUUUCAAUAUUGUAACCUACACAAAUACAGGAAUGGUUGAGAUUAGAAGGCAAAUUUUCAGAGAAAUGUUUAAUUUAAAUGUGUAUAUUUAAUGUUUUUCAAGCAAUUUAUUUUAUUUUAAUAAAAGGGGGCAAUCAAAAAGCCAUCCAUAUCAAUGUUCUUCGGCCUCAGCCUCGGCCAGUUAGGCACCAAAUGUUGACAGAGUCCCAUUCUGUUCCCAUGCUCAGGCACAGUGAAUUAUUACAAUUAAUUUGACGAGACUUUUACGUACGAGAUCUGACAACUCCAUCAGACUGCUGCCAAGUGUCCACAUGCUUGCACCUGUUAAAAUCUCUCAUCUCCGUCGGUGGCUGCCUCGGAUACCGUGCUUCUUCUCUCCAAACUUCAGAUUUCGAAGACUUCAGGGACGUGCUUAUUCAAAACAUUGAACCGAAAGUUAAUUAAAGUUACAGCUGAUAGAAGUUACAGCAUGUGCGGUAAGAAAUGAACAGGGUUGUUGUUUUUUUAUUAUUAAAUAAAAUAAUUUGUGAGAGAUCCAUUUUUUUGGGGCUAAUAUAUAAUUGUUAAAAAUAAAACAUACAAUUAAAUAAAAAUAAAGGUGCCACAAAACUAUGGGCCCUUUUUUUGCCUGAGAGGAAGAGGCAAUUCUUAUUUCUUAAUAUUCUUUUUCUGUUUUUCUGAUUUUUUCCAACGUAGGAGUAGCAAAAAUUACAAAUUAAUUUUUUUAAUUUAUAUCGAAUUAACACAACUAUGCUAUGAUAUUAUAAAGACACGUGUAUGCCCCUCGUAAAAUUUUGUUCAAGUCAUAAAUUUGUGAGGUAGCACAUUUAUGAUCCGGCAAUUACAUGCAGUCUGCCGAAAACUUAGCUGUGCAUGUUCCGUCCCAUCCUUCUAUACACUUUCUCCCCGCAAUUUUAAAAGCAAGUCUGCACACGGAAUUAACUCUUGGUUAAAAAUUCAAAAGGAGCAUAUAUAGUUACUGUACUAACAAUAAAAUUUUAACAAAUUUCAAUUUUAAUUUUUGAGCUAUUUUCGAGAAUAAAUUCAGCUCGCGAAUUAUUAUACAUGAUAUUCGAGUUAAACUCACUCUUCUUUUUACCUAGCAAGAACCAGACUAAAGAAAUAUUCAACAUUAGUUGAGAUAAAUUAUUAAGCUAAAAAUAUAAAUUUGAAACUCUCAGCUAAUUAGUUUAAUUAUGAGUUGAGCUCAUGAGUAUCUACUAAAAUGGCGCUCUCAAAUUAAGCCGAAGAGUUGGAUCAUUUAAUUUCCAUCUAUGACCUUAUCCAUUACCUGAUCUUUACUCGAUAGUGAGACUCGUGUGGAAUGUUCUAAAUGAAAAUAUGCAAUAAAUAAUCAUAUCAUAUAUUCGAAGUUUAUUUUUCGUUCUUACCUUUGUGAUGGUUAAUUAUUUCCAAAGGAAUGUGUGUGUGUGUGUGAAGAGAUAUUACUGACUGAAUAUAAAUUUAUCUGUCUCCAUCGAAAAUAUUUCUAACUUUGCAUGCUGCCCCGUGAUUUGAUUGAAUAUUCUAGAAGGACAAAAAAAUUAUCUUAUGUUAAUAUUGUAAUUUCAGUUCUUGAAGGAAAAUAAACUUGUUCAUAAUAUUGCAAACAAAAGACAUUCUUUGCUUUCGCUAUAGUGUACACGGAAACCAGUCGGCUCCGACUCCCCCCAUCACAUGAUUUUUGGACUAUACGUUUAUGAAAUCAAACCUGGAUACUAUAUGAAUUUUCAUCAGCCUUCUUUUUAACAUGCAUUUUCUUAGAAAAGAAUAACACAAAUUGUAGGCACAUUCAUGCGUAUCUAAUUCCCAUUUUAAUUAAUGGCUUUCAACGUCCAGGAUGUGACGAUCAAAAAGUCCAAUAAUGUCGUUGAAACUCGCAUAGGUGGAAAAGGAAAGAGAAAGGCAUCAAAUGCAAUAUUGAAUUAUUUCAACAACCAACUAACCAGUACAGUAGUCUCUCUUUAAAGCUUCUAUAUAAACACUAGCCCUUAACACACUUUUACUCACUCAACUCAAGCUUCUGAACACAGCUAGCCAUAAACAAAGGCAAAAAAAAAAAGAAAAAGAAAAAGAAAAUCUCAGGAGAAAUCUCAAAUGGCUGCCCUCAAGCUUGUUUCAGCUUUGGUUCUGUGCAUGUUGGUGACUGGUCCCCUGAGUGCUCAGGCCAUAACAUGUGGGCAGGUGACUGGCUCAUUGGCACCAUGCAUCGUUUACUUGAGAUCGGGCGGCCCUAUACCUGUGCCAUGCUGCAACGGCGUCAGGUCUCUCAACGCUGCCGCCAGAACCACACCUGACCGCCAAACUGCAUGCAACUGCUUGAAGCAAGCCGCCGGAUCAAUCCCUAACCUCAACCCUAAUAAUGCUGUUGGUCUUCCACGAGCUUGUGGAGUCAGCAUUCCUUACAAGAUCAGCAUCUCCACUGACUGCUCUAAGUAUAUAUGUCUUCAACUUCAAUUAAAUCUCCACAUUAUUAUUAUUUUUCUUUUUCAAUUUUCAAUUUUUUUUUACUCACUUUUGUUUUAUUGUGUUUCAGGGUCCGGUGAACAGGAAUCUGGGCUGUUGAUUUUCAUAUUUAAGUUGACGGAGUAGAAUAAAUGUAUAAUAAUAAGGACAUUUUUGUGUCCGAAUUAUGAGUCUCUCUCUACACUUUGUACUGCGAGUCUCGUUCCCGCCCUCGUUUCAUGUUGUGUCUUAUUGUCUUUGCUUUUCAUGUCAUCGUCAGUUUGUGUCUAUUCUGUUUAUUAAAUGAAAUCUUGCCUUGUGUUCAUUUUAACGACUUAUCCACAGUUUCAAGUAUCUCAUUCACGUGAACUUUUGAGCUCUUGCUUCCACUGCAAUUCGGAGACGAAUAACAUAUUUUAUGUGGAAUAAACGACAAUAUUAUUGGAUAAUAUUUGACCCAAAAAGGAAUUAAAUAUAAUGGUUUGGUUCAAAAUAUAUUACAACUAGCGUCCAAAUCGAACGAGAAAUUAAGUACUACUUUGUGACAAGAAACGACAUCUUAGUCAUCCUCAAUGUAAUUCUUUAAUAACUAUAGAUCCAGACCCCACAAAUUGAACUGAUCUUAAGCUUUAUUUAAGUUUUAUUUGAGAUUGAAAUUGAGUAGUUCUUAUUUGAGAUUGAAGUUUGGUAGUUGUAUCUACAUGUUGACGAUGUAACUUUUAUUAAACUAUUCAACAUUUGCUAGUGAAGCAAUUAGGUAAAGUAAGCCAAGUGACAAAAUUAGGUGUCAUUAAAUAAUUAUUGGUGGAGCAUUUUGGUAAAGGAAAUGGUCAAGUUAAGUAACCAUUUUGGACUAAAAUAAUGUGGCUAUUGUUUGCAAAUUGGCUAUAAAUAGCCUACAGUUCCAUUUGUUUGAGUAUCAAAGAAAAAUGAUUGUGAGUUUUCUAUAAGCAUUAGUUAAGAGCUUCCCGUGUAGCAUUUGUGAGGUUCAAUUCUUAUUAUUUGAGGAAUUCGAAUAAUUUGAGUAUUUUUUCUUUGAUACUUGUGAAUUAAGAGAAAGGGUUUAUUGGAGAUUUGGGAAGUGAGGUUGGGAGAGUUGUGUUCCACCUUUAUCAUAAUAAUGGAAAUUUGAAUUAUAGUAGGCAAUUUAUUCGUUUUCUUUUUCUCCUUUAUUUGUUAUUAUCUCAAAUCGCCGUUUCAUAUGUUUCCACACAACACGAUAGUACUAAAUUACUAACAGUUAUAGUUUGAAAAUUAAGUUGAUUUGAUUUUAUAGUAAAAAAUUUAUUAUAUAUUUAUUAAUUUUAUUAAAAUUAUUAUUUAAAUUUUAUAUUUAUUAUAUUUUAUUAAUUUUUAUUUCAUAAUUAUAUAUAUAUAUAUAUAUAUUCACUUUAAAAGCUACCGUAGCUCGAUAAAAAGAGAUCUUAAUAAUGAAAUUCAGACUGUUCAGAAAUUUAAAUUUGUGAUAUAUGUAAGGCAAGCGAUGGGGUGGUCCAUUGUUUCAUUAAUGAACACCGGCCAUAUCGUUGUUUUAGAACAAUAAUGAAUGUCUCCUUGGAGCUUUGUACGUAUGGUCCCAAUGACUGCGUUGUUGCUUGGCCAGCUUUUUAACGAAGAGGUGGAAGUCACAGAAGGUUCUUACAAAAGGGAAUUUGUUUUAGAACCAUAAAUUGAAAGUUGUUUUCAAGGUCUAGGGAAGAUGAACAGAUAACGGAGAUGGAGAAAUCCUUUUCUUUCUUCUUUUGUCUUUUGAUGACUAAAGGUUCUAUUAUUUCCAUAAAUAUAGAUUAGGAUGGUUUAAAAAUUAUCCAACUAUAAUGGUAAAGCUAUAACAUAUUAACAUCACAUAGUGUAUUAGUGUAAUGUUAUUAUAUUAUUACACCAUUAUACUAUACAAUAAUAAUUUUUUUAGACUUUAAUAAAAUCUAAAAUUUUAGGCCAAAUCAAUAUUCCAGGAUGAUUAAUAUGUUUUCUUUCCAUGUAUAAAUUAUGAAUCAAUUUUCAAAUAAGUAAAAUAUAACCCUUGAAUUAACAAUUAAGAUACUCCACUCCAACAGUCCAUAUGUUAAUUAGAUCACAAAUCAAAGUAAUUUUGUAAAAAGCGUCUCUAUUCUCCAUAAUCUUUUAACUCUAUAUAAUGAUUCGUUUUGUAAUGGUGGCUGACUAACUAGAUAUAAGAAAGAAGUACAUCUAAACAUGCUUGAUUCCACCUUCAACGAAUUAUAUUUAUUAAUAUGCUAAAUUUAAUUUCGAGUUUUCUAGAGCUUGCUCAAUUAUUUAUUUUAAAAAUAGUUCUGAAAAUUAAAUAGCUAGGUUGUAACUUUUAGCUUAGUCAAUACUUAAUUUGGUGUGUCUAAUUUGAUGUGUCUAGGGAUAUCAUUAUCGUUGACAUAAACUCUUUUUAGAAUUACAACAUAUGUAACUUAUAUCAUAUAGGGGUGGGUUUAAGUAUAGGCAAAAAAUGCGGUUGCCUAAAGCCCUAUAUUUUUGUUUUUCUGGUGUUUUCUUAAUAAUUCUCUAAUUAAUAAAAAAAAAUUUUAAUUACUUUUUGUAGGACAACCUAUUAAACAUUUCUCUAAUUAAUAAUUAUUCUACGAUUAAGAAUUAUUUUUAUAACAAAUCUAUAUUUGGUAACUUUAGUGUUAAUUGAUAUAAUUAUUAAUAUUAUCUUACCAUUAUUUAAUUCAUUAUUAGUCUUUCCAAAAAAAAAAUUUACCUUUUCAAUUUCCUAAUAAAUCUUAAUUAUUUAAUUUUAGAAUCUUUCACUUUUAGCAUUCCUUUUAAUUUGUAUGAAAAACUUUAUAAUCUCAAAAGUCAAAAGGUAAAAAAUUUAUUGCGCUCUUCUCUGCAAAAAAAAAAAAUUAUUAUAAUCAUUGAUUCAUUCUAAGAAGAAAAAAAUAGUUUCUUGAAAUACAAAGUUCAUAACCAUUAUCUAAUCAUCAAUUCAUCAUUUCAACUUUGCAUGUGCUACUAUUCUAAAUAUAUUAUUUAAAAAUAAUAUUAUUCUUAUUUAUUUGUUUGCUUCUGUAAUAGUUCUAAUGGAAGUAAAAAGGAAUAUCUUCUUGACUAUUUUUUUGAAAUUUUUAGGAUCUUUAUUAUUAUUAUUAUUAAAAUUCAUGAACUAAAAAUAGAAUCAAUUUUUGAGCUCUUUUAUGUUAUUAUAUUUUUUAAUACUGAAAUCGUAGAAUAAAAGAAGGCCCAUAAAGAAAAAUUCGUUAAGACCUCAAAUUCCCUAAAACUGGCCCUAAUAUUAACUCAUAAAUAACUUUUUAUAUGACUGAAUUGUUAUCAGUCCAACAAACCUUUCGUUUCGGGAAAACCUAAGCUUAUUCAGUGUAGAGCACGUGGCGGCCUACUGCUUGCUAAUAAAUAAGUCGGCAAGCAAACUACAUUUUGCGGUGCAGGGUACAAAGCCUUGGCCAGUGCUGUUUAAUUUUCUGAAUUCGAAUUUUAAAAGAGUUAAAUAAGUUUUUAAAAUCAUUUUUUUAUUUUUAAAUUUUACUCACCUUUUGUCUUUAAAAUAAAAAAGAAAAAAAAAUUGACUUACAUGAAUGUUUAUGUCCUUUUAAGUAAUUAUCUCAUCGGUAAAAGACUAGAGCCCCUGAUGGGCCAUUGCUUGCUUGUAGCCCAGGCCCAUUGUGCUCCAAGAUUUGUACUUUGAUUUUGUAUAAAUAUAUUUUAGCACCCUCUCCCCUUCAGCUUUCUCUUUCUUUAAACCCAAUUUAAUUUGAAGCGUGGCCUGAUGCCCUAAUUUGAUCCUCAAAUUACUGUUAAACUCAUUUACUUACUAAAUCUAUGAACUAAAAUUUUUAAAGUUUAAAUUUUACGAUAUAGAUCUACCUAAAUGUAAAUAUAACCUUAAUAAAUUAAAUUAUCAUGAUAACUAUGUUUUUAUAAACCCAUCAAAAUAGUGUACAUAAACAUCAAUAAGAUGUUUAAUUAUAUUUAACCAAAUAUAUAUAAAUAUUCUGUAGUGAUUAUUCAAAUAAAUAAAAAGUUUUGAAUAAAAAUUGAAUGUGUUAUUAAUUGUUUUUAUUCAUUCUUUUAAUGGUAACUAGUAUAAAUCAUAUAUCAAAAAUAUCAAAAGAUUAUAAGUAAAGUGGUAUGAAAAAUCUUCCAUCCAUACACCAAAAUAAGUUAAAGAUUAUCAUUCGUGCAUGUCAAGAUUGCAAACUUUAUGAACAUACAUUAAGUUUCUGUUUUUCAAGUCAUUGAACCCGAAACAAAUUGGAGUGUAAUGGAAAUGAUUCAAUUAAAAAUACCAACUAGUUAAGGUGGUAAUAUAUUUUGUAUGAAAAAUAAAAUGUUUGAAAUUUGAAUUCCGCUUAUAUAAGUAGGGAGAAAAAUGGAUUACCGGCAGGGUAGACAUAAAAAAGGAAGUUACUUUAAAAUUUUUAGAGGUUUCUUCAAUAAGAAAUGUUUGUAAGACGAUUAUGAAUAUAAUGCAUGACAAACAUUUAAAUGCGACAUUUUGUAAGGUCUUUCAAGUAAAUUCAUUAUUGAUAACAACUGGACCUUUCCAAAGCAAUUACUAGAUGCACCUCACUAAUUUAACUUCAUUUUAACAUUCCCAACUCCCAAUGCCCAGCCCAUUAAUUCUGCACAUGGUCUCUUAAGACAUUUGGACCCGGAUACUGACACGCGCAUGUUUGGUCCGUUGAUUUGCAUGACCGCUUGUGGUUUGGACGUACCGGAUCGCAGCAUGUAUCACUCUUUCUUGUUUGCGCAUUGACGUCGCAUCUAGCUUACAUUGGCCUUACAUUGACCACAAAUGGAUGGCCCUGAUGGUGCCUCCUUGACGUGAUUAUGAACCUGUGAUUGAUACUCAAUAAACGGCUCAGACCUCACUUGUUCGGCUAUUUAAAUCAAACAUUUCAUAGCCCUUAUUUGUCAGGCGAUUUUAAACGGAAAAAUAGACCGGGCCUAAUUUUUUAGGGGGAAAAUGACAAGGAAUAGGGUUGAGGGGCUGGGCCCUCCAAACGUAACAUAGAGCUUGGACCUUCAAAAGGUUCGACUCUUGGUCUAUAGACCAGGGCAGCGGCGGAGCCUAUGUUUAUCUAAGCCCAACCCAGGCUCUACAAUAUUGAGCCAAGCCCGAGUCUUGGCCCUUAAAAUUAGGUCGAAGUUCAGCCAGGCCGAGCUAAACGUAGCCGGGCAUGACCCUUAGCCCUUAAAACCGAGGUGGUAAUGCCAGUCAUACCAUCAACUUUAUAGAUAUCACGCUUAAUCAAAAAGCAAGUGGCCGAUGCUUCGGCGAAACACGUGUAACUUGAAAAUUGUAAAUAUCCAGAACACCAGACCUGCAUCACGCGGAAAAAUUUGCAAAUCAAAGCAAAUUUAAUUAGAAUGAGGGUAAAGGUCUGAAGUGAAAUUAUUGUGGACUCACCGUUGGAUUAAAUCGCAGCGUCCACAAUAAUAAUAUUUAUAAAAGACAAGAAAUAUUAUGAAAGAAUAUAUAAACAUGAAUAAUUUGUAAAAUAAUCGUAUUAAUGAAUAUUGUGAUGCAUUAUUAUAUUUUUUUAUCCUUAUUUUUUAAGUAAUUAAAUAUAAAUUUUAGAGUAUAAACAUGAAUAAUUUGUAAAAUAAUCGUAUUAAUGAAUAAUGUGAUGCAUUAUUAUAUUUUUUUAUCCUUAUUUUUAAGUAAUUAAAUAUAAAUUUUAGAGUAUAAACAUAAAUGAUUAAUUUAAUUAAACGAGCAUCAUAAACGAGUAAUUCUGACACAAAUAUAAAUUAGUUUAAUAAAUGAAUCAAUGAGUUCAAACUCAUACAUUUGACUUGUUUAUUAAACGAAUUGACACAUGUUCGAUUUACUUAUUAAUUAAAAUAAUUUUUCUAAACCCGAACUCGUGUAUUUCAUGUCUAAUUGAACUGAAUAAAUGAAUUCCGAACAUAAAUUUUGUCUCUGCUAGUGCUAGUAGGUAGUAGCAUGUUUUGAAACGUCUAGAAAUGAGAUCUUAUUUUCACUUGUCGAUUACUCGUUCGCCGGCCCUCGUCUUUAAUGGUUAAUACCUUUGACCUUGAAAUUGGUUAGUUUUGAUGACCUCUAAUUUGUCUGCACACAACUAACUGGCUUGUUGAAUGAUUUUGAUUUUCACAAUAAUUGCACCAGCCAGUGAGAAAGCACGCACGUGUCAAAACAUUCUCCGCGCACUCUCUUGUUAUCUUCAACAUAGAUCAAAGAAAAUAAUUGUUGGUUUUAGAUUGAUGAACGUUCUAGAAUUUUUAUUUUUUUUUGAUAUAUUACAAUCAAAGUGUUAUUGAUAUUUACAAUAAAAAAUCAGUCAGAAUUCUCUCGAAUAAUUAUAUUACAGUACAGUUUAAAUAUUAACUCUCAUUUAAAAUUAAAAAGAGAUAUUUACCCCACCAUUAAUAUUAAAAAAAAAUCGAUUAUAUCUUAAUGUGGAGAAUCCAUACCCUCAAGGUUCUUGAAGGUAUGAGCAUGCCAAUGGACUAUGAGCCCGUUGGCUACAAACGUUCUAGAAUUGAUUUUAUUAUUUGUGAGGGUUGUGUUUAACAUUGGUGUUCUUUUUUUUUUUUUUAAUUUUAUUUUUUACCUUUUUUACACUUCGUUUUGAUAUUUUGUGCUCUGUUUCGUUAUUAUUAAUUGUCAUGUCUGUUAAAUGGUUUAGGUGGUUAUAGAUUGUAAAUUUAACAAUAUUCCUUACACCUCAAGAAGAUUCUUUCUAAUCGAAGUGAAUAAACAAAAUGAAUAUUCCGAAUGAGCCGCAAACAAUUAACCCACGCAAUCCUUACACGCCAAGGAGGAGCAAAAUAUGAGCUCUUAAGACAUGGAAAUACAACCGUUGAGUCAUUAUAAAAUCUUCUGUAGUGAUAAGUAUACAAAAAUUAGUAUAAAAAAAUUACACACCACCAUUGAAAGAUUAAAAAAAUUUACUACAGGAUUAAAUAUAUAUAUAUAUAUAUAUUCACCACAAGAUAAUUUCUUUUUGUCAUAUAUACUUUAUGUGCUAUUUUUUAUACUCAUUUCGGUGAAUACGGAUUGAGUUAACAUUCAGAUCUGUUAUUUUCAAAUAUGGAUUGAGUUAAAAGACAAUAUUAUUAAAAUUCAUGCUUUUUUUUUUUCUCUUUUAUUCAUAUAUAUAGCACAUUUUCUCAACAAGAGUCCUGAAUUUGAUAUUAUGUGCACUUUUAAUCUUAGCCUCUGACUGAAUCCAAGAGCUAGCAUUCAACAAUUUUACAAAUGACAUUAUUAUUAUUUUAGCUCUCCAAUUUCUUGCUUUUUUUUUUUUUUUUAAAAAAAGUUUUCAAAAGACAAAAUAGACACAACUUUUAUCCGCACCUUAUCCUAUUCUAAUAUCAAUUCUCAUUAACAUUAUUAACACGCGGCGUGGUUUCUACUUCACGUUCAACUGUGAUGGCAUUUAUGAUGUAUAUUAUUUAGCAUGGACACACUGUUUAUUUAUUAAAUAAAGACCACUUUUAGUUUUUGGAUUAAAAUGAAUCCUGAUUGCAUCGCAUUAUGGUCUUUAUUCUUCUCUCGAAUCUCAGUCCGCAUCCAAAAAACCUCCUUUGACCACACCACAUGUAAGUUGUGUGCAUUAGAUUCAAUUAAAAGAGGCAACAAACAUACGAGUCUUUGAACGCCAAACUCAAAAUGCAAAGAGGCGAAGUCCCAAUAGUUAGUUUAUAAGCGGUUUUCAAAACAAUGUACCGUUUAUUUCGGUCAAAUAUUUCCUGUUGACUUUCUUGCUUUCCUUUCAUCACGAAUGCGUUCUUAUCUCUUCUAAUGCUUUUUCUUUUUCCCAAAAAAUAAAAAAUAAAAAAAUUACCCUAUUAAUUUAAGAAAACAAAUAUAAAUUAUUUACACUUUAAUUUAUUUAAAAUUAAUUUUAUUAUAGGAUAAUAUUGAAAUUUGAAAUCCGUACCCAUUGAUAAAGAAUACAAAUUCUUCAAUUUGAUGGAAAUUGAUCCAACCAAACAUUAGAAGAUGAAAAAAAAUAAAUUAAAUUCUUUUCCUCUCCCCAGUCCUCUACCCCCAAACAAACAAUUCUUUCUUGACUUUCUUGCUUUCCUUAACUACUAGACUUCAGUCUUAAGUUAUCCCAAGUGGUAUAUAAAUUUUUUAUAAUCUUGUAUUUAUGCUUUAUGUAGCGAUGUAAUGUUGGUCAUUUUUUUUGUUUUGCGUAAAAUAUUUUUAGGUCCCACUAACUAGAUUUAUUUAAAAUAUUAUUGCAAAUAUUUUGAUUAUUAGCAGUACUUUAAUAAUUAUUUUAUAUUGUUGUCACUGCGAAAAUUUUAAGGAACGCGUCGAUUUUUCUUUUUUGAUUAUAAAUAAAAUUUUUUAUUUUUUUUUUAACUUUGUUUUUAAUAAUCUGUGUGUUGGGUUCGUUUUUCGGAAUUAAUAGGAUAUUAAGAAAGGAAGCAACUCCAGCCCCGGCUCAGGCUCAGGUUCAGAAGCUGUUUUUGCUUUUGGUUCGAGACCUGUUCGUUCAGGUCCCAACCCUUCCCAGUACAACGCCAAUCCAACUGGAUCUCAACCUUGACCGCUGCCUUGACAGACUCUAGCUACCUGGCUAGCUACGUCUUGCUCAUUUGAAAAAAAAAAAAAUUGAAUAGUUGAAUCCAAAUUAAUUACCAAGACCAAUUUGGAACCCCCAAGACCCACUCAAAGAAACUUGAUCUAGUUCUGGAAUCAAUCUCUCAAGAAGUUUUGUCAAGAACCAAGAAUACCUACUGAAAUUAAUCACACAAUCAAAGAAAAACAGAUCACAUACUUUGCACCAGGAUUAUAGUGGUUCGGCCAAUUUCUGGCCUACAUCCACUGUGGAAAAUGCAGCAACCCUUUUACUGAUUUCAGAGAACAAGUUACACAUAUGAAGAAUUAAUACAACUCAAUAGAAUACCAUUAGUAAUAGAGCCUAGGACUUUUUAUAGUCCUUUCAGAACCAAGUGAAAGAGCCCCCAGAGGUCAGCUCACGUUUCUGUAUUUCCAGCCAAGAUGAUGAAUCAGCUGUCUCCCGCUUGAUCUAACCGAAUUAACCAAUUCUUGAAUCUGCUCUGGGACACUUGUCAGAGGCUCAUGCAAUCUGCUAACUAAAACGCAAAUGUGGCUGCCGUUUGAGUUAGUGAAUCAUGUGACGAGUCACGUGCAUUGCUAACACAUCCAGCCGACAUAGCGUUUAAUCCAUUCAGCUUCUCUGAACUCUAAUUCAAACGACAAGUCAUUAUGCUUCAUGAAGGAUAAUCGACAUGUCAUACAAAUCCCCAGGUUCAGUUUUGAGCUUCACAACUCCAACAUUCUCCACCUUGAACUCAAAUCAGUUACUCCUCAGUUCCUGCUUCCCACUUUAUCCCUGCAGUUUUAUAGCCUGCAUAUUCCAGCUGAGUUCAUGCAGAACUCUAGCUUAGCAACUGGUACACCCUUUGUCAACAUAUCAGCAAGGUUAUUAUCAGUGUGAACCUUUAUCAGCUUCACCACUCCUUUAGACACCUCCAGCCUGACAAAGUGAAGUUUAAUGUCAAGUGAAGCUUUCCAGUUUAUGGUGCAGCCACUGAGUGUGAACAAAUAGCCUGUUAGAGACCUCCUUUUAUCUAGAUCCCCUGCAUAGUCAGCAUCCACAUACCCUUCAACAUCAACUUCUGUACCUCUUUUUGUACCAUAGAUGAGGCCAUAAUUUGCAGUCCCAUUGAGAUAUCUUAAGAUCCAUUUAACAGCUCUCCAGUGCUCCUUUCCAGGAUUAGCCAUAUACCUGGAAACUACACUUACUGCAUGGGAGAUAUCUGGCCUUGUUAAGACCAUGGCAUACAUCAAGCAUCCCACAGCACUUGAAUAUGGAGUUUUGCUCAUCUCAGCUUUUUCAUCUUCAGUUCUUGGACACUGAUUACAAGACAACCUGAAAUGAGCAGCUAGAGGAGUUUGAACUGGUUUUGAAUCCACCAUUUCAAAUCUCUCAAGUACUUUCUUUAUAUAGCAGUGCUGUGAUAGUUUUAAUAUCCCCUUCUUGCUAUCUCUCAGCAGCUCUACUCCAAGAAUCUUCUUGGCUGCUCCAAGGUCCUUCAUCUCAAAGGUAUUCCUUAACUGCUUCUUCAGUUUAUCUAUCUGAUCCAUGUGGUUACAUGCUAUAAGCAUGUCAUCAACAUAUAGCAACAGAUAGAUCUUACCCCCAUCCUUCAAAUCUUUGUGGUAUACACAGCAAUCAUAAGAGCAUCUUUGAAAGCUAUUCUCAGCCAUGAACUUAUCAAAUCUCAAAUACCAUUGUCUCGGGGAUUGCUUUAAUCCAUAUAGAGACUUUCUCAAAUGACACACAUAGUCAGCUUUAGCUGGAUCUUCAUAACCUCGUGGUUGUGCCAUUACAAUCAUUUCUUCUAAUUCCCCAUGAAGGAAUGCAGUCUUGACAUCCAUCUGUUCCAGGUGCAUGUCAUUUACUGCAACCAGUGCUAACAAGAUCCUUAAGGAAGAGUGUCUUACCACUGGGGAAAAAACCUCAUUGAAAUCAAUUCCCUCUUUUUGUGUGAAGCCUUUGGCAACCAGCCUGGCUUUGUAUCUGAGUGGUUCAACUCCUGGUAUACCUUCUUUGAUCUUAUAAAUCCACUUGCAGCCAACUACUUUCUUCUUUGCUGGUUUUGGAAUCAGAUCCCAGGUGUGAUUCUUGAUCAGUGAUCUCAUUUCUUCAUUCAUAGCUGCAAUCCACUUCUUUGAGUCCUUACUACUGACAGCUUCAGUGUAAGACUUUGGUUCAUCUUCUUCUAUUUCCUGUGCUGCUGAUAGUGCAAAUGCAAUCAAGUCUGCAUAUGCAUACCUCUUAGGUGGCUUUGUUUCUCUUUUCUUUCUAUCUCUUACUAGCUGAUAAUCUCUGAGGUCAUCUUCACCUUCUGAUUCAUCUUCCUGUUCAGGCAUAUCCAUUCCAGGUGCAUUCUCAGGCCUUAUCUUUUUAUCAGCUUCUGUGCUAGAGCUUGGAAGCUCCACCUCAAGAAAACUCUUCUUGUCACCCCCUGAUUCUCUCUUAAUGGUUUGAUUUUCAGUAGCUGAGUUUUGAAGCAUUUCAUGUUCAUUAAACACCACAUCCCUGCUGAUUAUUGCCCUUGGUGGCUUCAUGUCUGUACACCACAGCUUGUAACCCUUCACACCAGCAGGAUAUCCUAAGAACACACAUUUAAAGGCCCUGGGCUCUAACUUCCCUUGUUUGACAUGAGUAUAGGCUAGGCAGCCAAAUAUUCUUAAUUGAGAAUAGUCUGCUGGUUUGCCAGACCAGAGCUCAUAUGGGGUUCUGAAAUUGAUUCCAGAAGAGGGACUCCUGUUUACUAUGAAGCAGGCAGUAUCAAGAGCUUCAGCCCAUAGACUCAUGGGUAGCUUAGAGUGGAUCAGCAUACACCUAACUUUAUCUAUUAGGGUCCUGUUCAUCCUUUCAGCUAAUCCAUUUUGCUGUGGAGUGUGUCUUACUGUUUUGUGUCUAACUAUACCAUGCUUUGUACAGAAAUCAUCAAAGUCCUUAUUGCAGAACUCUAAACCAUUAUAUGUUCUCAGUCUUUUCACCUUUCUAUUAGUCUGUGUUUCAACUAAUAUUUUCCAGUUCUUAAACUGAUCAAACACUUGGUCUUUGCUCUUCAAACUAAAUACCCAAACCAUUCUUGAAAAAUCAUCAAUAAAAGAUAAGAAAUACCUAGCCCCACCUAGAGAAGCUGUCUGUGCAGGCCCCCACAGAUCAGCAUGAAUGUAGUCUAGAGUCCCCUUUGAGUUAUGGAUACCAGUACUGAAUUUCACCCUUGAAGAACUAAAUACCCAAACCAUUCUUGAGAAAUCAUCAAUAAGAGAUAAGAAAUACCUAGCCCCACCUAGAGAAGCUGUCUGUGCAGGCCCCCACAGAUCAGCAUGAAUGUAGUCUAGAGUCCCCUUUGAGUUAUGGAUACCAGUACUGAAUUUCACCCUUGAAGAUUUUCCUAGGACACAAUCUUCACAGAAUCUCAAAGGCUCUAUCUUAUCUACACCUAAGACUCCCUGUUUUGAUAGUUCUACCAAGCCCCUUUCACUCAUGUGGCUUAACCUCAUAUGCCACAGCAUGGUUUUAUUUGUUUUCUGGUUUGACACAGCAACAUCCCCUGUAAUAGCUGAUUCCUGUAACACAUACAAACCAUUGCUCAUGUUCCCUUUCAUCACAACCAUUGACCCUUUCAAGACUUUUAAAGUGCCUGACUCAAGCUUAACAAGGCAUCCAAUUUUAUCCAGCAUUCCUAGGGAGAUAAGGUUUCUUUUGAGAUCAGGCACAUGCCUGACAUCCCUCAGUUCCCUAAUCAUGCCAUCAAACAUUUCCAACCUAAUUGAACCUCUGCCAACCACUCUACAGCUUGAAUCAUUACCCAUUACCACUACCCCACCAUCACAGGUCUCAUAGUUUGUGAAUAAAGUUUUAUUAGGGCACAUGUGGAAGGAACAACCAGAAUCUAAAACCCAAUUACCUUUUGUUUGAGCAUUAGUUGCUAUUAGAACUCCAGCAGAGUCAUAGCCAUCAGAUUCUUCACAUUCUGAUGCAACAGCAGCAUCUCCACUCUUUUCCUUUGCUUUAUUCUUCUUGUUUUUGAAUUCAGGGCAAUCUUUCUUGAAAUGACCCUCCUUAUGACAAUGAAAACAUUUCAAGUUCUUUGGCCUGGAUUUUGACCUCUUCUUCUUGUUUUUACUUGUCUCUCUACUUUCAGUUCUUCCCCUUGCUGUCAGCCCUUCUCCAUCCCUGGUUUCUUUCUUGAUUGCAGCCUUGGAACUCAGAGCUUCUUUUACAUCUCCCAUAGCGAGAGUCUGUCUUCCAUACAUCAAAGUAUCCACUAGAUUCUCAUAGGAGCUCGGCAGAGAGCAGAGCAGAAUCAUGGCUUUGUCUUCAUCAUCAAUCUUUACAUUAAUGUCUUCAAGAUCCAAGAUGAUCUUGUUGAAAGCAUCAAUGUGAUCAGUAAUUGAUGAUCCCUCUUCCAUCUGCAGGGUAUAAAGCUUCUUCUUGGUGGCUAGUCUUUUAGCCAUUGACUUCUUUGUGUAUAAGUCUUCAAGCUUCUUCCAUAAACCUGCUGCUGUUCUUUCUCCACCCACCUCUCUAAGUACACCAUCCCCAAGACUUAGAAUUAUUGCACUGUGUGCCCUAUCAAGAACCUCAGAUAAUUCUUCUUCAGUUACUUUCAUUGGCUUCUUGGAUGUUGAUUCAUCAUCGAGUGCAACAUCCAACCUUUGAUGCACCAAUAAGGCUCUCAUCUUGAGUCUCCAUAGGUGGAAAUCAUUUUCGCCAGUAAACUUCUCCACUUUCAGUUUAGUUGACGCCAUUGCAAAGACCAAGAAACCAGAGAUAGGCUCUGAUACCAAUUUGUUGAAUCCAAAUUAAUUACCAAGACCAAUUUGGAACCCCCAAGACCCACUCAAAGAAACUUGAUCUAGUUCUGGAAUCAAUCUCUCAAGAAGUUUUGUCAAGAACCAAGAAUACCUACUGAAAUUAAUCACACAAUCAAAGAAAAACAGAUCACACACUUUGCACCAAGAUUAUAGUAGUUCGGCCAAUUUCUGGCCUACAUCCACUGUGGAAAAUGCAGCAACCCUUUUACUGAUUUCAGAGAACAAGUUACACAUAUGAAGAAUUAAUACAACUCAAUAGAAUACCAUUAGUAAUAGAGCCUAGGACUUUUUAUAGUCCUUUCAGAACCAAGUGAAAGAGCCCCCAGAGGUCAGCUCACGUUUCUGUAUUUCCAGCCAAGAUGAUGAAUCAGCUGUCUCCCGCUUGAUCUAACCGAAUUAACCAAUUCUUGAAUCUGCUCUGGGACACUUGUCAGAGGCUCAUGCAAUCUGCUAACUAAAACGCAAAUGUGGCUGCCGUUUGAGUUAGUGAAUCAUGUGACGAGUCACGUGCAUUGCUAACACAUCCAGCCGACAUAGCGUUUAAUCCAUUCAGCUUCUCUGAACUCUAAUUCAAACGACAAGUCAUUAUGCUUCAUGAAGGAUAAUCGACAUGUCAUACAAAUCCCCAGGUUCAGUUUUGAGCUUCACAACUCCAACAGAAUAAGAAGAAGCAGUUGUUGUGCUUUCAUUGUGUAACAAAAUUUUCUUUUACAAUCAAUGGCUCUGCCUUGGCAGGCUUCAAUUUGGCAUGGAAUAAACUUUUAAAUUUGUGUUAUUGAAAAUAUAUGUAUACUCUUGUAUUAACAUAUUACCAGCCCGUCAAAAUAAGAAGCCAAAUUUCAAUCCUAAAACUGUUGAAAUGGGGUAGUAUAAAAGCCAAUCGCAUAUUCCUUUGGAUGCAUGCAAAAGGUCGUCCGAUUAUCCAUUCAAAUCAAAUUUGAAAAGCUCUAAAAUUAGACCCAAUUUUGUAGAUAAGAAAUGAAGCAAAAAUAAGAAAUUAAAAUAACAAUCAGCUUCUGUUUUAAAUUAAGACAAGGGUUCAUUUGGAACUGUUGUUGGGGAGCUAUAUAGUUUAAAAGCCACGUAUGUAUAGAGUUCGAUAAAUAAAUAUGUGAAGGGAGCUACAACUUUAAAAAACCACAGAUGCAUAGUGUUUGACAAACACAUGCAAAUUGACCACAGAUGCAUAGUGUUUAAUGAUAGAGAAUUAAAAUUAUAGUUUGAAUACUGAGAGUGGAUCCCUUAACAUUAGCAUAAUUUUAAAUUGAUUCCUAGUAAUUUCUUUUCCCGUAAUUAAUUUUCUUUAUUUAACAAAUUGACUACUAGAUUUUAAAUUUCUUAUGGUUCGACCCCGAAUUUAUCGGGUUAUAUUAUAACUAGACACUCUUAUACUUGAGAGUAACAUCACUUUUGAGUCGUGUCAAUGGGCGGAUAUUUCGAUUCAAAUAACACUACAAAAAGACAAUUUUUUUGGUGACAUUCAAAAAUUUGACCAGCAAACUCCAUAUAAGAUACUUAUUUUAUCCUUUUAAAAUUUUAAAAAAAUCUCCAAUCACAUAAGAUACUUAUUUUAUUGACCAUCAGUACUCCAUUAUGACUUUUCUAAGGAAGGAAAAUGAACACAGCCACAUGCAUGCUUCUUGAUAAAAUUAAUAAAAUAAAAUUAAAAAAGUUCCUAUAUAUUGGAAUGUAAGCAGCUGAGAAAUCUUUAAAUAAAAUCAGUCAAAAGUGAGCUACUAAUAUUGGGCUGUUGAUUUGGGUAAGAUUGGUAAAAUUUAUUCAGUACAUACCUUAUUAAAUCUUUUGAAGUCAUUUAUCUUUCGGUUAUUAGAAAUCUGUAGUGGAUGAUUAUUUACUUUUUUUUUUCCUUUAUUAUUGUUAGGCAUUUGUCUUUGCUAUAUUUGAGUUUUCAGUUACCCUAACUGCUGUAUUUGAAUUUUAUAUGGCCUUAUAUUUAUGUUCUAUGGGGGUAAUAUAAUGUUGGUCAUUUUUUACCCUUCAAAUAUAAUUUACUAAUUUCAAAUAGAAAAAGAAAGUCUUUUUUAUUCCACCGAAAUAAGACUUCCACAAAUAGGCUACAAAAAUGAGUUACUUAAUAUAAGUUUCUCUUGGCUUGUUUAUGGAGGGAUAAACAAAUGCUAAUGCAUGUAUGAUAGAGCGGGCGUAGCGGAAGUGGAAUUGAUAGGGUAGGAAACACUAGAUAUUGUUUUAGUACCGGACGACCAAGCCAAUGUGAUUAGUUUAUGCUCUAAUUGAAGUGUGAUUAGAUCUCGUUCUAACGCAAACGACUCAAUGAGAUUUUUAAUAAUGUGUAAAGUGAGAUUAGAUGACGCUCUAAUCGAAAGACUCUACAAAAGAGAUUUUGAUAAAUAAUCCCAAUGAGAAUUACAAAAUGGAGUUUUAUUAUUAAUUGAGGCUAUAGUUAUGAAAACAAUAAUAAAAUCUCUCUAUUUAUAAUAGAGAAAACUUACUUUCUUAAGUUAACUUAAAAAGAGAAAUUAAAUCACAAUUAUAUUAGAAUAAAAGAUUAAGAAACAUACUAUAAUAGACUCUAAUUAAAAUAAUAAAAUCCUAUAAUUCUAAAAUAAUGUCCUACAUCAAUCUAGUAUAAAGUUUUUAAUUAAUUAAUUGAGCUCCUAGCAAACGAUAAAGCUCCAAAUUUAAGCGCCAUAUGCAUGCCUCAACCUCCUCAAAUUAUGAUGCAAUUCAAUUGGUACGAAUCAAAGAGUCUUGCUCUCUAAAAUGUUUUAAGUCAGUCCUUGAUUAUUCUCGUUUCGUAUUCUCUAAAAAUUUCUGCUUGUUUCAAUUUUGUUGUAAGAAAUUAUAUCAUUCAAUAUCUUUGUCUUGUUACUUUCAUAAUAAUGAAUUAAAAAAAAAAAUACAGAUUUUUUUAAAUUGAGAAACGUAUCAGGUUCGACUUGCAGUCUUGCAUGUUCAUUAAUAUGUCUGUCGUUAUGUUAGAAAUGACACUAGGACUACAACAGAAACGACACCAUUGUGCAUGAACAGUGUAUCGUUUGGGCUUACUACUCGUACUACUUCCGUCGCCCCCAGUAUUCAAAUAUUAGUGCUGCAAUGGCUGUAGAUGAGGGCUGUUUUGGCAGCUGACGAUGAAGUCUUUAAACACAGAAAUUAUGAUUUUGUUCGAUUGAUGUUGUUAAUUAUAAAGCUACUUUGACGGGAAAGUUAUGUCGUCACGUUUGACCAAAAAUUGCCGGCACAGAUUGCCAAAGAUUAUCGGAGUCAACAAAGCCGCCUUCAACAAAGAAGAAUGCCAGAAGAAGCCAAAUAAAAUAAUAAAGCAAAAGAAAAUAAAGAAGCCAAAAGAAGAAUGCCGGAAUAAGAUGAUAAGAAUAUUGAAAUACCCGCCUCGGCCAGAAACAUUUUAUGUGGUCGUAGUUGGGAGUUGACAUUUUAUAAAUAAGUGCUAAUGAGAAGAUCAAGCUGAAGGAUUACCUACAGAGUUGGCUUUUGCAGUGAGUCUUCUAGAUGAGAGAGAAUUCGUGUAGCAGUUGCGUCUUUUUUAUUGGGAUUCUUUUUUUUUUUUCGCUAUUAUUAUUAUUAAGUCACGCGUCUAUUAAAGUUCGAACUUGGAUAUUUGGCAUAAUGGAGAGCUCCGAAAAAUCCGGACGUGGAAAAAACCCUAACGCGGGAGGAAUUUUCCCUCCACCGUUCAGGGAAAGUAGAACAACUAAGAAGGUAAGGUUUCGUGAUGAGGAGGUUGCAGAUGAUACCCCUGUACAUGUUUCGUACAAGGAAACCCUUGUAAACUCGUCGCGAGCAAUGGAGACGGGUUACGAUGGCGGCGCAGGGGACUGGGAGUUUGAGGAAGGGGACGUGACGGAAAAUAAAGAUGGACCUAUGCCCUCCAUAACCUUCUCGGAUAGGGUUCACGAGAAGUUAUGUGAACCAUGGCAGAACUCGGUUAUAGUGAAGCUGCUGGGUCGCACGAUCGGUUAUAGAACUCUCUGUACGAGACUGAAUGCCAUGUGGAAGACAACAAUGACUUACUCGGUGAUUGACCUAGAAAACAAUUAUUUCCUGGUUCGCUUUCGUUCGGCGACUGAUGCGGUCGAUGCCCUAACAAAAGGUCCGUGGAUUAUUAUGGGGCACUAUCUCACGGUGCAGCCAUGGACGCCGUCUUUUGAUGCCAAUACAGUGGAUAUAGAGCAAGUUAAUGUAUGGAUCCGUCUUCCCGGACUCGCUGUUCACCUAUACAACCGGAAAGUACUCCAGAAACUUGGAGAAUUGGUGGGUACAGUGAUGAGAAUUGAUUCGAACACAGCAUCCUCAGCGCGUGGAAGAUUUGCACGAAUUGCAGUUCGUCUUUCCCUGGCCAAGCCUCUGGUUUCUCAGUUUGUGUUGGAUGGGAAGGUUCAAAAGGUAGAGUAUGAGGGAUUACCAGUGAUUUGCUUCACAUGUGGAAGAUACGGCCAUAGUAGUAGCAGUUGCAAGGUAUUAAAUUCAGCAACCAAUUCUGGAGAAGGGGUUCAACCCCAACCUAAUAUGCAGCCCCAGGGGAACACUGUCCAACCAGCUGAUCACGGUAAUAUUGAUAGUAAUGCCGAGUCCUUUGGACCUUGGAUGAUAGCCACGAGAAAGGGCAGAAAAUUUAAUAGUGGCAAGGACAUUAACAAUGGCUUGACUAAGAACCGAGAAAAUACAGGGGCUGGUGUUUCCAGAUUCCAAAUUCUUGAGCAGGUCACGGAUGACCGUGAGCACCCCACACAUGCCGCUGUGAUAGACAAUCCAUCCACUUCUCACCAACCAAACACGGCCAACCCUUACCAGAUAUUUACUGCCAAUCACGAGGAUAGAACUAAAACUCCGGCUAGAUGUAAGCAGCACACCACAGCCGUUACUGCCAAACCCCAAAAGAAGACACCAGCUUCCUCCUUGAACCCAAUCCGUAACCCUUUUCAGCAGACCACUUUCACUUUAAGAACAGAAAAUACAAACUAUUUGCCCCAUGCAAACCCUAGGACCGAAUCAUGUCUUAACCCUCAACUCAACCCCAGCCAACAACAAAUGUCCCCUCUAGUUACAACCUUGGACCCAAAAAAGCAUACGGUGAUAUUCUGUGAUAACCAAAACCGAUCUCUUGGAGAGGUAAGAGAGGCGGGCAGUGAUCAGAGCAGUCAGCUGCAACGGGAGUAUGAGCACGUGUCUGACCCUCCAGACGAUCAACAUGCUGGUUGUAGAAACAACGUAAAUGCUCAUGUGCAUCCGGUUGUGUCUAUGGGGGAGAAUGAAAGGGAGGAGAUGUCCGAUGAGGAAGACUCGAUGAUCGAGGAAACGCCUUUGGCGUUGAUGCAUGACGGGAAUGGACAACAUUAAUAAGGUGUCUAUGUUUCCUUUUUUUGCUUUUAUUUAUCUCAUGAUGAUUAGCAUUAUGUAUUGGAAUGUCCAAGGGGCAGCCUCGGCUGUUUUUCGGCGCUCAUUCAGGACAAUUGUUAAAAACUACAACCCUUCCUUGGUGGUUUUGAUGGAACCUCGCAUUAGUGGGGUCAAAGCGGAUGAUUUCAUUAAGAAGAGUGGUUUCGACCAGUCCCAUCGAGUGGAAGCAGUGGGCUUUGCGGGUGGAAUUUGGAUUCUUUGGCAGAGUUACAUUGAGGUUGAGGUGAUGCUGAACCAUAGGCAAUUUAUCCACUUUAAAAUAUGUAGGAAUAAUACUUUUAUAUCUUGGGUAACGGCGGUUUAUGCUAGCCCAAACCCGAUGUUGCGGGGACAGCUGUGGAAGCAUAUGGAUAGCAUUGCUAUGUCAAUUCAAGGGCCUUGGCUAAUUGGUGGGGACUUUAAUUCUAUAUUGUAUGCUUCUGAGAAGCAGGGGGGUGCUACACAGAAUUCAGGAGUUUGCGGUAAUUUCCGGCAGUGGUUUGAUGGGUACCGAAUUUUUGAUCUAAAAUUUAAAGGCCCUCGGUUUACUUGGUCUCGUGGACUUCUGUUUAAACGACUUGACAGAGCUCUCUGUAAUAGUGAUUGGUUAAUAAAAUUUGCGGACAAUUCUGUUCUUCACCUUCCGAAGGUUGCUUCAGAUCAUAGGCCGGUUCUGGUUCGUUUUGCGGGAGCUGAGUACAGACACCGGGGGACUAGGCCUUUCCGAUUUUUGGCACCCUGGCUGACUCAUGAACACUUCAAUUCUUUUGUUAAGAAAGUUUGGGAUCCUCAAGCCCAUUAUAGAGAUGCAGCGUCCCAUUUUGUCCAGGCGGUUCAAAAGUGGAAUAGAGAGGUGUUUGGAAAUAUUUUUCAGCGGAAAAGACGGUUAAUGGCUCGUAUAAAUGGGAUUCAAGCAGCCUUAGAAAGGUAUAACUCCCGAGGGCUUGUGCGGUUAGAGGCUAGGCUUCCUGUGGAAGCAUAUGGAUAGCAUUGCUAUGUCAAUUCAAGGGCCUUGGCUAAUUGGUGGGGACUUUAAUUCUAUAUUGUAUGCUUCUGAGAAGCAGGGGGGUGCUACACGGAAUUCAGGAGUUUGCGGUAAUUUCCGGCAGUGGUUUGAUGGGCACCGAAUUUUUGAUCUAAAAUUUAAAGGCCCUCGGUUUACUUGGUCUCGUGGACUUCUGUUUAAACGACUUGACAGAGCUCUCUGUAAUAGUGAUUGGUUAAUAAAAUUUGCGGACAAUUCUGUUCUUCACCUUCCGAAGGUUGCUUCAGAUCAUAGGCCGGUUCUGGUUCGUUUUGCGGGAGCUGAGUAUAGACACCGGGGGACUAGGCCUUUCCGGUUUUUGGCACCCUGGCUGACUCAUGAACACUUCAAUUCAUUUGUUAAGAAAGUUUGGGAUCCUCAAGCCCAUUAUAGAGAUGCGGCGUCCCAUUUUGUCCAGGCGGUCCAAAAGUGGAAUAGAGAGGUGUUUGGAAAUAUUUUUCAGCGGAAAAGACGGUUAAUGGCUCGUAUAAAUGGGAUUCAAGCAGCCUUAGAAAGGUAUAACUCCUGAGGGCUUGUGCGGUUAGAGGCUAGGCUUCGGAAUGAGUUGGAGACGGUGAUAGGGCAAGAGGAAAUCUUGUGGUGGCAGAAGUCAAGGAAAGACGAGCUUCUGCACGGGGAUAGGAACACGAAGUUUUUUCAUCAAAAGAUCAUUGCAAGACGACGGAGAAAUAGAAUUGAAGCUAUUCAAGAUACUUCGGGGAACUGGCUUUAUAGUGAGGGAGAGAUUCGAAAUUAUGCUAUUGAUUAUUUUUCGUCCUUAUACAAAAGUGAAGUUGCAACCCCUCAAAGUUAUCAGGUACCGAAUUUAUUCCCAGUCUUAAAUGCUUAUGAUUUGGAGAGUACUGUCGUCACAGUUUUAGAUGACGAAAUUAAAAUGGUGAUUUUUAGUAUGAAACCCCUCAAAGCUCCAGGUACUGAUGGUCUGCAUGCAAUCUUUUACCAAUCUCAAUGGCCGGUUGUGGGGCCUUCCUUCUGCAAGCUUAUAGGUGACAUUUUUAGUUCGGGCAAGAUCCCCAAAGAAAUCAAUACUACUCUGUUGGUUUUGAUUCCCAAAGUGGAGCACCCCACUAGCCUAAGUAUGUUUAGGCCUAUUAGUUUGUGCACGGUCGCUUAUAAAACAGUGACUAAAAUAAUUGCUAACCGCUUGCAAGCCUUGUUGCCAGAUCUCAUAGGCCCCCACCAGACUAGCUUUGUGCCCGGACGCCAUAUUAUUGAUAAUAUUGUUGUUGCUCAAGAAGUAGUUCACUCCAUGCGAAUGAAAACGGGGAAAAAAGGGUUUAUGGCCAUCAAGGUGGAUUUAGAAAAAGCGUACGAUCGAAUUAAUUGGUCAUUUAUUUUCGAUACUCUACAGCAAACUGGUAUCCCGAUUCAGUUAUCUCGAUUAGUCAUGGAAUGUGUAACUUCGGCUCGGAUGAGUAUUUUAUGGAAUGGUGAGGCUACAGCAGAAUUUGUCCCGGGGAGAGGAAUCCGUCAGGGGGAUCCGCUGUCUCCUUAUAUUUUUGUCUUGUGUAUUGAACGGUUGAGCCAUGGAAUAUCACAUGCCGUGAGGGAGGGCAGCUGGAAGCCUAUUCGGUUGGCCAAGCAUGGAACUCCUCUAACGUAUUUAUUUUUUGCAAAUGAUUUGCUCUUUUUUGCAGAGGCGUCAAUUGAUCAGGCGUACACCAUUGAUGCAGUUUUAGACAAUUACUGUCGGAGCUCUGAAGCGAAGGUCAACAAGUCGAAAACUAAAAUUUAUUUAUCUAAGAAUGUUGGUUCAAGAGAUGCUCAGCUCCUCAGUAAUGUGUUGGGGUAUUCGGCUACAAAUGACUUAGGGUGCUAUCUUGGAAUGCCUCUCAUCCAUUCGAGAAUAAAUAGAGCUACCUACCAAUCGAUCCUUGAUAAGGUGGAAAAGCAGCUCACGGGUUGGAAUGCAGCUCACUUAUCAUUUGCUGGCCGAAUUACUUUAGCUCAUUCGGUGCUCCAAGCAAUGCCAAUUUACGCAAUGCAGACAACUUUAUUACCAGCUCCGGUGCGUGGGAAGCUUGAGCAGUCUUGCCGUCGUUUUAUUUGGGAUGGGAAGUCGAAGAGCCAUAAGAUGAGUAUGGUGGGCUGGAAUAAAAUUUGCAUGCCGAAAACUAAAUGUGGCCUGGGGUUUAAGAAGUUGGGUGUGAUGAAUCAAGCGUUAUUGAUGAAGCUGAGUUGGCAAAUAGUUUCGAAUUCAUACAAACGGUGGGUUAAGGUUAUCUGCUCAAAGUACGGAUUGGAUUCUAGACACUUGCCGUUGUCCCUCCCUGAGAAACAAGGUUCUGGAAUCUGGAAAGCCAUAAAGCACACGUGGUCAGCCACCAUGCAGGGAGCUCGCUGGGCUGUUUGUGAUGGUUCUCGAACUCGCUUUUGGCUGGACUGCUGGGCAACAAAACAAGGCCCUUUGAUCAAUCUCGAUGUUCAUCCAGUGCCUCAUGAAUUGGUUAAUGCUACGGUGAGUGACUUUCUGAACGUGCAUGGGGGCUGGAACUAGUCAGCUUUUGAACAUUUGCUUCCCAAUUCUAUCCUGAUGCAAAUUGCCUCGAUAAUGCCUCCUAGCUCUCUUCUUGGUGUUGACAAAAUUUAUUGGCGUUAUGAGCCAAGUGGCAACUUUACGGUUCGCUCGGCAUAUGAGUCCCUCGGUCAGCUGGAACUCACUGCUACUGAUAAUGCAUGGAAGCAUGCAUGGUCCUGGAAGGGGCCGAAAGCAACUCGCAUUUUCCUUUGGCAGGCUUUACAUGUGAAAUUAAAAACCAAGAGUGAACUAUCUAGGCGGCAUAUUCCGGUCUCUCCAGGUUGUGAUCGUUGUGGGGCUCCUCUUGAGGAUAUUAUUCACGUCUUGAGAGAUUGUCAUUGCAUCAAGCGGGUUUGGUUUCGGCUUGUUCCAGCUAGGCAUCAAUCCUCUUUCUUUCAGUCGUCUUUACGAGAUUGGAUAAUUGCGAAUCUACAAAACAAGUGGAACAUUCCCUCUCCAUUAGCUUGGGAGUGUAUUUUCGGCGUAGCGGUGUGGAGAUUAUGGUAUUGGAGGAAUCGUUUUAUGGUGGAGGGGAAGCUGGCGGAUAGCUCAGUGGUAUUAUUCGAGACUCGGUCGGACACUGGCUAGCUAGAUUUUGUAUGAAUAUUGGAGAGAGUUCGGUGUUAAUGGCGGAACUUUGGGGUCUGUACCAAGGAUUACAUCUAGCUUGGGAGGCUGGAAUAAAACGUCUUUUGGUUGAGGAGGAUAGCCUUUGUGUUACUCAAUUGGUCUCGAAGCAAGUGGUUGUGCCUAACGAAUUCUAUGCUUUGGUCGUUGCUAUCCGGGAGAUUAUUAGUAGAAACUGGCAAGUUUCCAUCACCCAUAUUUAUCGGGAAGCCAAUUCGGCGGCGGAUUUUAUGGCAAACAUGGCUCACUCAUACCCCCAUGGAUUGCACUUAUUUUCUAGCCCGCCUGUGGGUAUUUAUUCAAUUAUUGUACAAGACUUAUAUGGGGUUACUCAACCCCGUCUUAUUCCUGUUUAGCUCGCUAGUUUGAGCCCCAUCUAAUAAAAAAAAAAAAGUUCGAACUUGGAAUCUGAGUUGUAAAAAGGCCGCUCCGUACCAUUGAAAAAGAGCUUGGCUUAGAUAAAAUCAAAAUUUUGUUUUUAUUUAUUAAAUAUUUAUACUUAUUUAUUUUUAGAGUUAUUAGUACUCUAAAAAUUACACUAAACACUUAUUUAUAAAUUUUUAAAAGGUGGAACUAUUUGAAUUCACCAAUUUUUUCUCUACACGCUUUUUCAACAAGAAUUUUAUUAAUUAAAAUUAUUUAUUUAGUUAACCAUUUCUUAUAUUUCUCAUUUCGAUUUCACAAAUUCUCAUCAAUUUGUUUAUAUAUAUAUAUUUUAGCUGUAAAUAAUUGAUAUCACAAAUUAAGAAGAACAAAAUCCACUAUUUUAAAUUAAACAUCAACAAUUUUUUAUCAAUUAUGAGAGUUAAUAAAUAUUGAGAAAUUAAGUUUCACUAAGGACAAAAGUUAAUGAAUAUAAAAAAAAAAAUUCUUAUAUAUAGAAAGAGUGAUGUAGAGAUCAUAAUCUGAUAAGAAAGACCAAAAAAAUAAAUUUAAAAGAGGGUGAAAUUGAGCGUUUAGUUUGCUUAAUGUGAAAAUAGAGAGAGAAUAUGCAAUCCUAAGCUAAAGAGAAAGAAAUUACUAAAUGGUAAUUUUGAGAUAUUUAAAUUUUAAUUUUUUUAUGGUGAAUUUAUUUUUUAAAAUGGGUGUAAAAAGAAAUUGGGUGGGUUCAGAUAGCCCACUCACUCAUUUUAAAAAAUUAAUUUUUAAAAAGUCCUUACUUAAACCUUUCAUUGUCUUUUAUUUACAGUGCACACCUAUAAAAAUAUUCAAUUCACCAAAAGGGGGAGAAAAAGAAGACAUCUUCAAUUCCUUCUGUAGAAAAAUUUUCAAGUACUUAUUCAAGUCCAUCAAAUUCGUUUUUUUUUUUUUAAAAAAAAAAAAACUCAUUUUCUUAAACAAACAAAGAAGAAAUAACUAAAUUAAUUCCAAACUUAUGAUUUAUCUAAACCGACUCAGCUUCAAUCUUAAAAAAUUAGCCAUCAACCGGCAAGUUGAGUAAAAACCUUACGAGGAAGUGCCAGAAAUAUUAUACUAAAAAUAGAAGCAUAGAUGCAUGAGAUGAAACUAAUUUUAGGAAGUAAUCAAUGAAGUUAACGAACCAUCACCAAAUUUUGCCAACUUAACAGCAGUUUGCUAGAUCUUACGAAGCUGAAAAGCGAUUGGAGCAAUUAACUGUUUAUUUACUGAAAAAUCAAAAGGGUACGUAAUAGCUUCUUUGUAAAUAGUUGUACGACUUUUAGGUUUUAAGGAAGAAGAAUUGUUUAUAUGUUAGAAAGAUUUUACUAAUUAUAUGGGUAUCUAAAGUAAUUAUGUUUUAUUUACUCAUAAUAGAUUGUUCCUUCUAAUAGAUCACAUCAUAGGUAAUUUUUAAUAAAUUAUUUUAUUAAAAUAAGAGAGCUCGAUUAAUUUUUAAAUUGUAAAUAGUCCUACCCUUUGUUCAAUUAAGUAAGAAAUAUAUACCAACACAAUUUAAACUAAAAAAAAAAACUCUUUAUUUGGUUACAUUUAUUUUUCUAAUGGAACAAAGUAGGAAAAUAAAACAGAAAAAGACCUCAUAUGUUGGGUUAUUUCUUUUUAAACAUUUAACAUUUAUAUUGACUUAAUUAACCGAUCAUGUUCUGUUUAUUCUCAAAAUUUAUAUAGUUAGUCAUGGAUAAAAAUCCGGUUGCAAUUGCAAAUUAAGUUGAAGGCAUUUCAUUCCUAAUUACUGCAGCGUGUCCACUAUCCUGGACAUUUGUCUCCAAGCGUAAUAAAUUAAUUUUUUUCUCAUUUUGAAAAGGGUUAGUUAUCUUUGGGUGACACAUAUUUUGAUAAAUUUCAAAAAGAUGACACGUGUUUUAAAAAUACUCGAGUCAAUCAUUAAUUUUAAUGUAAACAGUAAAUUAAUUACAAAAUAAUAUUUUUGCCCCUAGAAUUAAUUAUAAAAUAAUGUCUAUGUCCGUAUAAUAGCUACAAAAUGAUAUUUAUAUCCCCACAAUUAGUUAUAAAAUAUGUUUUUCCCCCUACUCAAUUAUUUUUUAUUUUUUAAAUAAAAAUUUCAUCUAAGUGUAAUUAGCAGACUUUUUUUGGUUAAAUCAAAUAAAUAUUUUUAAAAAGUUUCUUGUUGAAUCAAACUUUGCCGUAUUUAAUAAGAAAAUUUUGUUUGAUUCAACAAGAAUUUUUUUUUUUAAAAAAAGAUUGCAUGAUUUAACGAAAAAAACCCGUUGAUACACUUAGAUAUAAUUUUUUAUAAUUUUUCUACUUAAAAGAUAAAAAAUAAUUGAGUAGGGAUAAAAACAUAUUUUGUAACUAAUUGUAGGACUAGAAAUGUCAUUUUGCAGCUACUAUAGGGGCAUAAAUGUCAUUUUAUAAUUAAUUAUGGGGCAGAAAUGUCAUUUUAUAAUUAAUUUACUGUUUACAUUAAAGUUAACGGUAAAGUUAACGGUUUGUUGCUGCUCGAGUAUUUUAAAAACACGUGUUACCUUUUUAAAAAUUUUCAAAACAUGUGUCACCUAGAGGUAAUUAAUCCUUUUAAAAAUUUAAGUUGUGCUUGUUUUUUAAUUUUCGAUCUGAAUAGGUCUGAAAUUGAUUGAAGUAUGAUCGGAUGUGAGUAAAAAUUUUUGAAUUAUAUUUUUUUAGUAUCUGAAUAUAUAUAAGAUACAUCUUAUUUAUUUUUAUAAAUAAAAGUAUCUAAAAUAUAGUUAUUUGAUAUUUAUGUUCUCAUAAGUCAAAAUGUAUAAAGAGAUUAGGUUUUAUAGUUAAGAAAAUAAAUAUAUUUAAUAUAAAUAUAUUUAGGAUAUAAUAUUUACUUUUCAUUCAAACGUUUAUCUAUCUAGAUAAAAGUCACAAAAUUUUAGUUUUUUAUUCAAAUGUAAAUGUCUUAAAAUUAAUUAUAAUUAAGUUACAAAAACACAAACAAACAAACUUUUUUAAAAUUUGAAAUUGAUAAAAUUUCGGACUUCGGUCGUUUAACAAAAAAGUCUCACUUCUGUUGUGAGCGACGUUACUUUCAAAUUAACUUCUUUGUUUAACACAUGGCAUCACAUGUGGGCAAGUGGCAAGCUCUCUUUCAUCAUGCAUACCAUAUCUGAGGGCUGGUGGCUCUGUGCCACCGGCUUGCAGUGGAGUCAAGAGUCUUAAUGCGGCGGCCAACACAACACCCAACCGCCAGGCGACGCGCAGGUGCUUGAAAUCUGCGCCCGGCAGCAUCCUCGGUGUCAACUACGCCCUUGCAGCUGGCCUCCCUAGCGAGUAGCGAGCGCGGUGUCAAAGUUCCUUACCCGAUUAGCCCAAACUCCGACUGUGCCAAGUAAUUACUAGUUCUCUAAUUAUAUCACAUAUAUAUACAUAUAACAUGUAUAAGAACAUAACUGAUAUUACAUUGUGUAUGAUUCGUUAAUUAUUUUAUUAUUUAAAAAGUGGAUUAUUAAUUUACGAUUUGUUGCUGUAUAUAUUGUAGGGUGAAUUGAGAUUAUUGGAGGAGUUAUAAUCUGCAUCAAGAUACACUAUAUAAAAUGGGAGUUACUGUUUACUUGUUAGCAGGGAUGGCAAAACAUCGGGUUGGGUCGGGUAAUUCCACAAUCAUUUUAGUCAUACACAAUUCAAUUCAACAACUCAACAUAAAAAAAAAAAAAAAAAACUCAUGUCUUAUACAAAUAAAAAUACAAUACAAUUAAAUUAAAAACACACAAUGUGUGAUGUUGUGAGGAUGUGUUGUGUCCGUAUGUUAACUUGUGUUAGUUUUUUUUUUUUUAAAUAAGGUCGGGUCGGGUCGGGUAGGCAUUAAACCCGACCCAGACCCUAAAUUUGUUCGGGCCUUAAAAUCUUGGCCCUAACCCGACCCUAAACUUGAAAAUUUGGGUCAAAGCCCUAAAAAUUAGAGUCGGGUCAAUCGGGCCAAAAUUAGGGUCGGGCUAAAUUGCCAAGCCUACUUGUUAGGGACUCUCCUUGAUUAAGAAAUUAAUAAGUGAUGGUAUUUGUUAUCGUAUUAGAACUUCAUCAGAGUGAAAAUUCCACCAUUAAAAAUAGGAAAUUAAUUGUGAAAUCAUAGAUAAAGUAUAUUCCAUUGGAUUGCAUUCUCUAAUUAAAAAUAAGAAAUGUAUAUGAAAGUUCUUAUCUUGUCACUUCCUUAACCAAUUAGACUACCGAUGCAUCUUCUAAUUAUAAAGUAUGAAAUAUAUGUAAAAUUUAUCUUUUAACAACCUUAAACAACUAGACUACGGUGAGUGUUCGUUAAUUAGAUAGUUUUGUUGUUCGAUUUUACAAUCCAAAAUACAUAUCUAACUAGUUAAGAGAAUCCAAGAUUUUACUUACUAGUUAAACAUUUUAUCACAAGUGAAUUGAGAUAUUACAACACAUUCAUAAUUUAACAUAAAAAGUUCAAAUAAUGACCUUAUUAACACUAGAAAGUGUACAUUUAAUAAAGAUUAAAAUUAUUUUUUUUCACUUAUAGUGUUGAUAACACUAACAAUUUCAUCGCAUUUACAAAUUCUAACCUAUUUUAUAAAUCAUCUAUUUUUAUUUAUUUUUUAGUAUGAUUUUUGUAUUUUAUAGGUAAAUUCCUAAAUUCAUAAUACUUGAAUCAGAAAAAUUAGAUACCCUUAUAGUUAAAGUAAUCAACCAUUUUUAAUUCGUCAUGACCCAAACACAUUCUAAGAUAUGAUGAAGUUUCAAAAUAUUAAUUUAGAUGACUUCAUUCUCCAGAAAUCAAGUAUAUCCAAAGGUACCCGCAUCAUUCAUUUCAGAAGCCAUAUACAUUCAUUUAUAAGCAAAUUUAUUAAGUUAAAAAAUUGACAAAUGGACAAUGUAGUUAUUUUAAAAUAAAAUUGACGUAUUGUAUUCUCAUGGGGUAAUUGUAUUACAAUGGAUGUAUUCAAGAUUUUCUCCUUCAUCCAAUCAUCCCUUAUAAGAAAAAUGUAUUUAAUUAGGUAAACUUCUUAAAUUAUCUCCAAACAGAGCACGAGCAAAGUGUUGAGGACCGAAUAUUUCAUUAUCUACUCUUUCUAGACUUUAACCUCUAAAAUUUUAUCUCUAUAAUUGUUGAUUCCCUAAAUUUUAAAUUAUGGCAUCGCUUCUGUGCACAGUGAAAUCAAGAGCGUUCAUUUCAUUAAUAGCACUAGCCAGAGGUCGGAAUCACGCUCUUUUGUAUUAUAACCGAUGAAUAUAGCUUAUAAGUAACUAUAUUAUGAUUUCCCGACUGUUUCUAUGCGAGAACCAAUUAGUAUGCUUGUGUAGCAAAAAUGAUUAUUGUGCAAAGAAAUUAAUUAACUGACAAAAGAUUCUCUUGGUUUAAUUUUAUUACCAUUGCAAAUCGUAAAUUAAUUUCUUUCGUUACGAGUCUUACCUGCUCUAUGCUUCUCAAUAAUGACUUUCAUGUGGAGGAUAUGCAAGAUUCUCCUAUUGUAUUUAUUUCUCAUAUAUAGUGGGUUAGGAUAAAUCAUUUUAAUACAUAGCUAAAUAAUGUAAAAUAUUAAAGAAUAAAUUUGAUAGACUUAUUUACUAUGUGAUCAAAUAUGAUGUUAAUGAAUUUAAUUUUGAAUACACUCUCUAUGUAGUAGGUAGUAUAUUAUGGAUAAGUAUAACUUUAUAAUGUGUUAUUGCGGCUUACAAUGGGAUGAAUAAUUUUAUAACUAAUAUACGAGGAUCUUCACAUUAGUAUAUACGUGACUUUAGCACAUUGGAAUUCACUUUUUGUCAUUGUCUAUUCUCGGUUAAGAGUGUGUGUGGCUCUCAUCAUCUCUCUCCCUCUCAUUUGCUUUUGCUUUUGUGUGUAUGAUGAUGAAACUGUAAUUUGUAGUUGAUUUCGAAUAAAAUAGGCUUUUGAUUCAGCAACAUUUCAAGUGAUCAACAACAACUCAUGAAUGGCAUAUCAGGAUAACAAAUGUAUCCUCCCUCUCAAGACGUGUUUGAUUGUGAAUACAAAGAUCAUGGGAUUAUCCUUUUAAAAAAACAAUUUAGCGAUAUAUGGUGAAAAUAAUUUAGCAGUUCGUUAUUGUUUAAAAUCUAAGUUAAUCUUGCUAAUGAUUCUAAUAAUUAUUUUAUGAAUUAUGCAGACAUAAGUCAACUUCUAUAGAGAAUUUGGCAUGCAUUUUAUUGAAAUACAGAAUAAACUUAUAACGAUAUAAACUUGUAUAUAAUUAAUUUAUUAUUUUUAAUUUUUACGAUGUUAUAAAAUAACUUUUGUCGUAGUUUAUUAAUGUACAGAAUUCUCUUAUUGAAAUUUUUUGUAACAAACAUGGAUCUUAUUAAAUUACAAUCAAUAUAACUUACAAUACUUGUAACAUGACAAUGAAUUCCAUUGACAUAUCACAAAUUUUUACAUAUUUAUAAGGACUGUAAAUUACAUUAAUUAUAACUUAAUAAAAUCCAACAAAGCAUAUGCGAAUCAUUUUUUGACCAUAACUAAUAACUACGGGUUGGUCAGGUAGUCCUUUACAUGACCAAAAUUAAUGUCACCGACCCGGAAGUAUGUACGGCCAUCGAUCAUUUAAUUUUUCUACUUAACAUGUGUCGGUCGUAUAUGAAUGAUUGGAAUGAUGAUGCACUCGUCAAAUAAAUACGUGGGACUCAUAAAUUGGGAGAGUGUGUUAAGACUCGAGGUACACGUUACAUAUUACUUUACAUAGUUGUACACUUGUACCCUCUAGCCUCAGAAAUUAAUUUAAUUUGCGACAGCAUUGUUUAAAUUGCACAACCAUAACCGUAUUUGAAAAUGAAAGCAUUAAAUCAAACUCAACUCCCAACUAAGUUAACCACACACUUCGUAUUCCUAAUCGUAUAUAAAUACGAGGCCCGAGCUACCAUAAUCCUCACACAACAUACAACGACCUGAAGAAAAGUUCCAAGUUAAGCAACAUUCUCAUUUCUCAGAGCUAAUUAAGAACAUUAUACAUGGCUCUUAAGCUUGCUUGUGCUGUGCUGCUAAUGUGCAUGGUGAUGGGUGCGCCCAUUGCCCAAGCUGCCGUCACAUGUGGCCAAGUGACAAGCUCUCUUCAAGCGUGCAUGCCAUAUGUGACGGGCCCCGGUGGAGGCGCUGUGCCGCCAGCCUGCUGUAGCGGGAUUAAGAGUCUUAACUCCGCAGCCACCACCACACCCGACCGCCAGAGCGUUUGCAACUGCUUGAAAACCGCUGCUGGCUCCAUCAGAAACCUCAACCUCAACCUCGCUUCUGGCCUCCCACGCCAGUGUGGCGUCAACAUUCCUUACCAAAUCAGCCCAUCCGUUGACUGCAGCAGGUAAUUAUAUAUUCAGCAUUAAAUCAUAUUUUAUUGUAUAUAUUGUACGUGCAUGACUCAUUAAUUUCUCCUUCACAAAAUUGUUUAAUGAUUUUUUUUUUGGUUCUGUUGCAGAGUGAGAUGAAGAUCUUGGAAAAGAGAAUAUAUGCUGAAGUAUUAUUAUAUAUAAUAUGAAUAUAAAAUGGAAUAAUAAAGUGGGUGAUAUGGACUCUCCUAGGUCAAGAGAGUAUUAGUACUAUGCAUCUAUCAUAUAUGUACCAGAGUGUCAUCCACCGAGUCCCUUGCCACGAUUCUCAUAUAUAAUAUACUACUUUGUUAUUUAAUGGCUUCUGUUUCUUACACUUCUUAUUUGAUUAAUUUCUUGGCUUAUAUUUAAAAAUUACUGAUCAUGAUACAAUUCCUUAAAAGGAAUUAAAUUAAUAAUUAACUAUGUCCACAUGAACUAUGAAAUCACUUGGCACAUAUACAGUCAGACAAAAACUAUCUGAAUUGUAUUUUCGAGGUUUAUCAAGAUAAUCAGCCAACAUUUCAACUGAAUUAACUGCUAUUUAUUAUUCUCCGCAAAAAAGUGAGCAAACAAAAAGUUUAGAGAAGAAAUGUAAUAACGGCAAUUCAGCCAUCUAGUUCGCAACUGCCAAGUAGGAGCUAAUGACGAGAUUGUUUUAUUUGUUAAAUAAAUUAUUAACAAAUAAAGUUUUUUUUAAUGACCAAAUAAAAUUGAAAAAGAAGAAGUUGUGAUAAUGGCAAAAUUUUAAUUUUAGCAUAGGUUAAAGUUGAAAAUUGGAAUUAACUUAAAUCCAGAGAGCGCACAAAUGAACAUGUUUUCUUUUUUUUUUGACAUAUUCCCUCCUACGUAUUAUAAGUUUUCUCCUUUGAUAUAUAAAUUAAACAAGCCCAUGCAACUGCAAGAUGUCCACGAUUGAUUAAUGAUUGAUCUGGAUCCCAAUUUCAUAAUUAGUUGAAGUAUAAUAAAAAUUAAAUCUUUUAUGGAACGUGUUAGUGGUAGAAUUUGGGUCAUCCGAUUAGAGCGUGACAUGCGUGCAGCAACCCUCGUGACCAAUUGGACCUUGCAAAAUGUGAAGAGAAAAUUCAAAGGAUAAGGAAAAAUGGAAAGAUCUCAAGAAAAGUACAUGCGCCACCUUAUUAAUCUAAAACAGAAAAUGUCUCCUAAAAUGCCUUAAGGUUGCUACAUAAUAAUGGAGGACCAUGUGAUCAUAAUAAUGACCUAUUCACCAAAACUACACAUCAUUAUAAUGGUCCCUAUGUGGAUCUCCUCAACAAUCACAUGCACCAAGAGUAAGAGAGGGAAUCACCCCAAUUGUAAUCUGACCUAUCAAUAGAGGAGUCAACUACUCUAAAAGCUCAAUUGACUCAUUUAUAAUAAAGCAAUCAGAGAUUAAGACGUGUUAUCAAAGAUAGUCUCUCAGCUAGCACAUGUCUGGCCCUAAAGAGGCUAAAACACUCAAAUUAGAUAAUCAAAUUAUCCAAAAGCCCUUACCUGAGAAGGGGAAUGACUUAUUACACUUGCACGUGUCUAAAAAGACAUUAACAUGUUCUCAAGGACACUCCCUGUAUAAUCUCAACAAAACAUGUUCAACUUAGCUUCCUCAUAACUCUCAAUUUUUUAUUGAUAUUAUGGUUUUUCAAAAACCCAUCACUCUCUCCAACACUUAUCUGACUUGGUCGUCAAACUGCCGUCAUUGGCCAUCAUUGGCGUCGCCUUUAAUGAUUGUUUUCUCUUAUUUUCAAGUCCAUCCCAAUUCUAUUAACCUUCAAAAAAUUGUUACAAGACAAAUCAACCCAUACUAUUAUCAAAACUAUCUCUUAAAAACAAAAUAUCAUAAUGUUUUGGGCUGAACCAAAAUCAAAUAAAAAAUGUAACGUACCUUGUUAGUACAAAUCAAUGAUGAUUUUUAUUUUUUCUAAAGUUUUAUUACUUACUCUUUUCUCUAUGAUAUACUUAAUAUCUGACGUUGUUAUAGGUUUGAAGAGAGUUUUUUUUUUCUUUUUUUAAAUUGAAUUUAAGUUCAAGCUCUUUUUGCUACUUAGGAGAAAUCCAAUCUUCUAGAUUUUUUUUUUCUAAUUAUUGAAUUUAAGGUGUUUCAAGCUCUUUUCAUAUUUUGGAGAAGUCAAAUCUUCUAGACUAUGCGUCUAAGUGUCAUCAGCUUGUUUAUCGUAAUCUUGUGUGGUAUAGAAUAUGUGUAAUAAUAUAAUUCCUGUUAAAUUCUAAGAUAAUUUUAUUUUUACUUUAAAAAAAUGAUUUUUUUAAUGACUUGAGAUUUUGUGUGUUAUGAUAUAUUAAACAAUAAAAAUUUUAAUCUCAAUCAUACAUUAUUAAUGGAGAGAAUGACACGAGUUCCUUAAAUAUUCUCACUUUUAUUACAUUCAAUCCCAAUUGGCUAAUACUUUUCAUUACCUAUUACAUCUUGCUGUUAAGACGGUUAAAAAAAAAUCUGAUGUGUUUUUAUUACCUAUUAUGCACUCUCUAUCACUUUAUUGUGAUAUGUUUUCAAAAGGUAUUAAAAUUUUUCUAUGUUAAAAAGUCAAAUUCAAUCAUUUAAAAAUAAUGUUUGAAUGUGAAGGCUACAACAUCAAAGAUGUAAUGAGUAAUUAAUAAAAUUUAAGGAUGUAAACAAGUAAUAGAAAUAAUUAUUAUUAAAAACAUUUAAAGUUCAUUCUUAUUUAUCAAAUAGUAUAUACAGAGUGCGUUGGCACACUAUAUUACAUUAUACUCUAUUAGAUAUAUUACAUUAGGAUGCAUUGCAUUAAGUUAUAAUGCAAUAUUAUGUUUGGUGUAGUAUGGACGGUAUAAUAUAAAAUAAUAUUAUUUUAUAUUAAUAUAUAAAUUUAAAUAUUAUUUUAUAUUAAUAUAUAAAUUUAAUUAAUAUUAUUUAAAUUUAUUAAUAUUAUGUUUGGUACAUUUUCUUAUUGUUCUUGAUUCAAUUCUUUAAGUCGGAUAAAAAAUAACGACAUAAAUAUGAAAAUUUAACGAUAAAAUUGAAAUAAAAUACAAAUUAAUUGACUCAGAAUAACAAUUCAUGAACUAUUCUACUCCAAACUUGUCCAAUUAAUAUCAUGUUCGGACAUGUAUUAAAGUUGAAUGUGGAAGCACACUUAAAAAAAAAAGAUGAAUGCGGAAGCAAAGUCGCAAAACGAAUUAAUUUGACGUCUACGGCAUUCAUGAUUCUCUUUUAUCAUGAUAUAUAUUGAUUGUUUCAUUAUAGAGUAAUUAUGCUAACCCACAAUAUUACACACAUAAUCAAUAACAUUCAAUUUUAUCAGACCACUUGGUGCCACCCAAGAAUAAGAAUACAAAGCAGCAGAACCCCACAAUUUUUUUUUCCUUAAUAUCAGCUAAUUCCAAAUUUUGACACUUAAGUCAGUGGUCGUGAGGUUGAUAUCAAAUUCAGUGGUCGUGAGGCUGACACAUUAAGAAUCAAAUAGAGUUUUUUUUUUUUAAAAAAAAUUUUAAAAAGAAAAAAUUAAAUGCGCAUUUCAUUACUCCCUUUAAUCUUUUACAUAGGCUUAGCUAACUACUCUGGGCCUCAGUAAAAAUGAACCCUGUAAUUACAGUAAGUUCCAUUUGGGCUUCGACAGAUACAGCCUGAGCCCGAGUGUGAACCCGAACUGAGAUUGAAACCCUGAAACGGGCAACAUGGUUUUCUUCAGAGACCAGCCAAAGCAAAACAAACAUUAACCAUGUGAAUUAGUUUGUCACUAUUAUUAAUUAAUUCACACCGGCUGUUGACCAAAUUGACCCACGCUUGAACAAUUAUAGUUUCCACCUUGAAGAUCCCCUUUAUCAUUGUGACCCUUUUCCUUGGAUAUUAUUUAGUGAUGCCCACCUUGAAGAGCAUAAAUUACUGAAUCGGCAGCAAAUGUGUUUUCUCAAAUAAGAACUUAGCAUAAUUCCUAGUAUAUAUUUAGCUAUAGACAAAUGUUAAUUUCUUGAAGGAUAUUGUCAAGGCUCACCAUAUCUCUUUUCAAAAAUAUUGCCAUUUCAUUGAACCCAAGAGCUAGCUACUCUAGCAUAUGACCUAAAAGGGCAAAAAAUAAAGAAGUAAAUUGUAUUUUUGUGUUCAUUACUUUUUUUGAAAGCUGUAAUUGAUGGUGAUUAGACAAAAAUAAAAAAAAAAGGUAAUUAACUGUUAAUUUUAUAAUAUUAAUCACGAAUGAACGUGUAGGAAGAAUAAAAAAAGAAAAAAGAAAAAAAAAGUACUAAUAAGUUUAGCUGGCUUACAAAAUUCAAAUUCAUGUGCAUAUCUCUUGUCUGCCUAUUUCUUCAUAAAUGAACUUUCCCCGCUGUAGUUGCAGGUGAAAAUUACUAAAUGAGUACUGUCAGUCACCUACCCACAGUAUUCAAUCUUUGAAUUUUAUUUGCUACUACAAUAAGCUAGCUCUACUCUCUUUUUGACUGGACCCAAUUUUUCAGGAGUGGUAAAAAACUUGAUUCAAUUCCAUAAAUCACAGCAUUUAACACGCUCAACCACAAUUCAUGAAUCGCAAUGAAUUCAAUCAACCACCUCAGAUACUCUCACUUAAAUACACACCAUUAUUUUACCUUCUAUAUAUAUCAACACACCAACGCUCAGUGUUGCUCAACACAAGCUAGGGUAUCAUAAUGGCUAGCUCCGUAAUGCUGAUGAAACUUGUGACAGGCUGCAUCUUGGUGCUUGUUUGCUUGAUGGGCAGUGCGUUCGUGUCCACCAAAGCACAAGUAACAUGCCGCACGGUGGUGAAUGACUUGUCUCCAUGCAUAUCCUACGUGUCAUACGGCGGGGCCGUGACGACGAACUGUUGCAACGGAGUGAGGACACUCUACAAUGCCGCUCGGUCCACAGCUGACCGUCAGACCGUGUGUACGUGCUUGAAACAAGCUGUCAGUGGAAUCUCGUACACCAGGUACCAGCUCGGACUCGCAGCUGGACUUCCCGGCAAAUGUGGACUCAACAUUCCUUACCAGAUCAGCCCUUCUACUGACUGCAGCAGGUAUGUAUGCAUAUAUGUAAAUGUAUAUGUAUGUGUAUGUGUGUGUGAUAUAUGUAAAUGUAUAUGUAUGUGUAUGCUACUGACUGCAGCAGGUAUGUAUGCAUAUAUGUAAAUGUAUAUGUAUGUGUAUGUGUGUGUGUGUGUGCGUGUGCGUGUAUCAUGUGCUAUAUAUUAUUGUAAUUUGAUGUUUUUGGUUUCUGAUAUUUUCUGUUUUGAUCUUUUUGUUUAUUAACUUUUUCUUUUUUUGUGAUUUUUGCAGGGUGCAGUGAGAAUGAUGAACUAGUAGCCAUCAGUUAUGACGCUGUGUGCUUGGAUAAUUAAGCAUGGGGUGAGAGAAUAAGAGUGCUGCGCUUCUGUUUGAUGGUGUGUUAGUGUUAAAUAGAAGUUGUUAGCGUCAUCUGGUGGGAUUUAUGUUGUCUCAUGUUUUGUUAGGUUCUGUCCCAACCAUAAGUACUAAAGAAUAAGAUUUUGUAAGUUACGUUUAUGGAGUGACAUUUUGUUAUUAUGUGUUAUAAUGAGCUCAGCACUUGGCUUUUUAUUUCUUUUUUUUUUAAUUAUAAUAAUUUUCAGGACAUGAUUUACAUACAUACAUACAUACAUACAUAUAAUAAAGAAAAAUAGUGGGGAAAGAAAUAGUACAGAACUAGUCAAAUUCAUGAAGAACCCAUAUUUAGGCAUCCCCAAGAGUCUUCAAGCCAGUUUUUGGCAAUUGUGGAAGGGGGUGUAUCCGACGAAAAAGAAUCUGAAGUUGUGACCAAUCAGCCACAGUCUGCCCUUUUUUUUAUUUUAUUUUAUAUGGGAACAAUAAAAAUUCAAAUGCUGGAUACACAAGCGCCAAGGUGGUUGAAAAUCGGGUUUCAUAUUCCAUUUACUAGAAAGUAAAGAUUGAAAUGAAUUUGUUUCCCUGAUUCGAUCAAAAUAUAUAUUUUUAUAUCAAAAUAUAAAAAUUCAAAUCCUGAAUACACAAGCGCCAUCGACUACUUAUUCGGGAACGAGGAGGAAAACAGUGUGUUGGGAUAUUAUUAAAUGAUAUCUUCACCAAAGAUGCAUACAAUAUUUUAGAGUAUAACUAGGAAUAUUCCUUAAUUUUUUUUUUCAGAAUAUAUCUAGACUUCUAUUAGCUUCACCAACUAAUCAAGUAACAAAUCUCUUGUAAAACUUAAACCUAAACCUUAUUAUUUUUUUCAGAUCUAGAGCUGAAAAACUUCAAAUCUAUUAUAAAAAAAGUACAUGCAUCUUGAUGGAUAAUAGUAGUAACAAUGUUUGCAUGAAGCAAAAGUAGAGGUGGUAAAAUAAGUUAGGAUACAAAUAUAACACAACUUUUUCGUAUUGACAAAUAUUGACAGAUUAAUAAAUAGAUUAAUUAAUGACAAGACAUGAGAAAUAAUUGUGUUGAAUCCGUACUGGACCAUCUCAACACAAUUACAUGUUUAUGAGACAAAUAUCAAUUAAUAUGUGGUAAUAUUAUUUUAAAAAAAUUAAUUAAUGUAUACACUGACACUAAAUUAAUUAUUUAUGCCCUAUCCUUAUUAUAUUGUAAUCUUGUUCAUGUUAUAUUUCCGUCAUGUUCAUUUAUUUGUGACUUAUUUUUAAGAAUAAUAUUGAUAAGUUUAUUAUUUUUUAAUUUAAUUUUCAAUUUUUUAUUAAAUAUGGUAAACAGGUCAAUAUGAUUAACAUGACUAAUGAACGAGUUGUAUCCAUGUUUUGAUGUUUCAACACGAUUAAUAAAUGAGUCAUAUUUGUAUUUGGUUAAAUUUAUCGCAACACAAACAUGACACGUUUAUACAAAUUGACAAUCCUAAGCAGAAGCUGUGAAUACACAACCAUAGAAAGAACUACCUUCACAGAUGAAGUAGAAGGAGAUCUACCUUCAGGAGCAGAUCUGCAUACAAAUUAGUAUGGACCAUUGAUUGUGCUAAAAAAAAUUAUUUUCACAUUAAUUUUUUUAAAAAAUUAUGUUUGAGCGACGGUAAAUUUAUAAAUAAAUUUUAAUAUUAGCAAAUGCUAAGUUAUAUUUAACUAUAAUUUACACCACUCACACACAUUUUACGGGCCCACACUGAUGUUAUUGUUCGUGUGAGUGGUGUAAGUUACAACCAAAUGUAACUUAUGGGCUCCCUUUGACAUUAGUGUCAAUUUUAUAAAUUGCUAAUUUUAUUAUAGUUUUUACCUCCAAUGAAUUAAUUUUUUAGUUCCACCCUGUUUACCUUCACCCAUGAAGUUGAAGAAAGCACAAAGAUAAAAAAUAAAAAGAGAAGAAAAAACUAAAGCGUAAAGCCGCCAGAAGAGGAGCUCUCCUUCUGACGGCAUGGAAAGGAGAUGUUUGUGAUUUGUUUGCAGGGAUAAGAGAGAAAGAGAGAGAGAAAGAGAGAGAUACAAAAAUUAUAAUUAGUUUUUAUAUUGAUUGGCAAAAAUUGAGACAAUCAACUUUUGUGUUGGUUUUUCUCUUCCAUCCCACUUUAAUUCCUUUCGUAAAAGAAGAAAAAAAAAAUACUUUAUUAUAACCUUAAGUUAAUGAUAAGUUUAAGGAUGUAUAUACGAAUGAGCUGAUAAUGGAUAGCAAUUGCAAAAAGCAUAAAAAAACAAAACAGAAGAAAGCCAAAAUAAGGGGGAAAAAACAAAAACAAAAUGGUGACCAUCAAGCAUGGAAUAAGUAUGACAUGACUUCCAAUUGUUAAAUAAGUUGGACGACAACUCUCGGUUAUAGUUAGACCCCUUGGAUCCUGGGGGUUUGACUGCUUGACCCAUCACACGUCCGAUAGAAUAGUUUGCAUUUUAUUCUUUUGGGAAGUCCUGUACAGUGAGUACACACAUUACAAAGCUUUCUUUCUUCUUCUUCUUCUUCUUCUUCUUUAUAAUAUAUAUUUUUAUUACAAGUUUGGUAAUAGCGGUUCUGUUUAACCAUAAUUUUACAUGUAGCUAGCAAGACUUCAAAAAAGUGAUGGGAUCAUGGAAUUGGUCCAACCGCCAAAACCAAUAGCUUUUUAAUUCAAUCCUACCUAAAAAGUUAAGUAAAUGGCAUAUAUUUCUGAUAUUCAACAAACCCAACCAAGAAAAGACGACUAUGCAUUCUAUGAAGGUUCACAGAUGUUCAACGUUAGCCUAACCCAAACACAAUUAGGCCCCAUCGUCAUCGACGUGUCCACUCCCAUUGAGGGAAUAGCAAUUUUCGGUUCACAAAUUUUCAAAUUACUGGAUCACAGAUUACGGCAGCGGCACUAAACAGACACACUGCAAUCUCUAGUCCCUCUCUUAUCUGUCCCAAUCCCAUUUUCAUAUCAUGCAAUUUAUCUUUUCCUUGGUCUUUUUCAAUCAAUUUUAAGAGAUAUAGGGUAAUUUUGAUUGCGUUAUAGUUUAACCAAAAGCUUGAGUUUUAAUAAGCAAGACCUAACAUUAGUUUUAAGAUCAGCCACUAACAUCAAGCUAAAAAGCUAUAGCUGGUAGCGGAGGCAGUUAAUGAUCCGCUUUUAAGAUUUAGAUCUUUAAAAACCGUGACAGAGACCAAACAAUACUAUAUAUAAGGAUCGAAGGUCUAGCAUAGAAAUUUGCUUUUGGCGGUUAUAUUAGUGGAAUUAAUACUUAAUCUAAUAAACUCAAGUUGCCAGAUAAAGGCGCAAUAUUAAUCUUAAUGAUGAGAAAUCGAACUAAAUUCAUUUAGUUUUUCAUAAUAACGACAAAAAAAAAAUAUCUUCCUAUGCAAUACCGGCUACAGGCAUACGAAAUUACCUUUGCCGUGCAAAAGGUGGAGAGAUAUUUUGUGGGCGAUGAUGAUAUUCUUUUCCCCAUUAAACAUAGUACUUAUCAUCAUUUGUAUGAUGCGUCAAAAGUAAGACACUAGCAAAUGAGAUAGAGGCAGCAAACCUCCCACUACAAUUCAAGCUACCUCUCUCACAUGAAAAUCAUAACCCAAAACCGUUUGCAAUUGGCCUGGUUUUGGUGCAACUGCUACACCCAAGGAUUAUGAUAGGCUUUAGUAGUGCUAACUAAAGUGCUUUAUAAUCAUGAUUAGUUAGGCAAGUUAUUAAUCUAAUACAAAAUUACUAUAAUAUCUUAAACUUUUUCACUUUGUAAGUAUCAAAAGUGUCUAAUAAUCUCUUGCAACUUGACCCCUUCUUGGGGUGCAGUUGAUCCCUUUUUGAUAUAAAUCAACAUAAGCUAGCUUCCACUACUCAUAUGUGCACCACAAAAGUCACUUUUCAAAUAACUUGAUAUAUAUAGUCAUAAACCUUCAGAUAUUUCAGUUCAUGAGUUAUACCAUAUCAAAUUGAAAAUAUCCCCAAGUAAGGCUGAUAAUUAUUUAUGUUUCCCUGCUGAAUCUUCAUCUUUUUUGUUCUAAUAUUGUUGGGUUUCGGUUCUAGAUAAAAUUUGAGUGUCCAUACAGGACCAUUUCCAGCAAAAACGGUCCCGGAUUCCAUUAACAGCCACUCACCUUACUUUGUAUGUCCCUUUCUAGUUGGAAUAUUUACAACAUUACUGUAACUCAAAAAAGCCACAAAUAAAACCAUGUCCGAGCUUUGAAUCCUACCAAAAAAAAAAUCUUCAUCCCCUCACUUUUUUUUUUCCUCUCUUUUCUUAUCUUGAAAGAAACCCUAGCAAGCGGCUAGAAGCGAAUAUGCAUAGGCGGUUGCUUGAGACAGAGCUAAGCGUGUCACCGCCGACGGCGAGUGGAAACAGAACCCACGAUUCGUUCGUUAACGAGGCGAAUUUUGAUACCAACAUGGUGAUAAUACUGGCAGCUUUGCUAUGUGCGUUAAUAUGUGCACUUGGGUUAAAUUCAAUAGUCCGUUGCGCUCUGCGGUGUAGCCACAGGCUUGCUAUAGAGACACCGGAGCAAGCGGCCGCACGGCUGGCCGUAACGGGCCUGAAGAAGCGGGAUUUAAGGCGAAUUCCGGUGGCUGUUUACGGGGAAGGAGUGGAUAUUCCAGCCACCGAGUGUCCGAUUUGUCUUGGAGAAUUUGUUGAUGGAGAGAAAGUUCGAGUGCUGCCAAAAUGUAACCACGGAUUCCACGUAAGGUGUAUUGAUACGUGGCUUUUGUCACACUCAUCGUGUCCGAAUUGUCGCCAUUCCUUGCUUAAUAAUAAUGAACGCUCAACUGCAAGUUCAAGUGCCGCGGAGGAACCUGCCGGAGCUCCGGCGCCGGGAAAUGACGCCGCUGAGCAAACCACCGUGGUUGUUGUAAGUAGUUGUUAAUUAAUGAGCCAAUUAAAGGUAUUUAAACCUGAAAGGUUAAAUUUCUCUCAAAAACAAAAAAAAAAAAAACUUGAAAGGUUAAAUGACAAUUAGUGUUACAUGUUACAUCGCGACCUGAUUGAUGUAUCUAAUUUGAACCAUACACAUGCGGCACCCAAUUUAGAGUAAAACUUGUUCCAGAACUCAUAAUAGGAUCAAAUGAAAUUAAUGUUUAUGUUUUUCAGUUUUAGCAAGCUUAUAGAGUAAUAGUUAUUUACAUAUCUCAUAAUUUUUUAGCACACAAGUUUUUCACAAUUUUAUAAAUAAUUUACUGUGCUCUUUUAUGAACUCAUAAUUAAAAAAAAUUAUAAAUAAUCUCAUAAUUAAAUAUUUUUAAACCUUGGACCAAACACUUUUUGGGGGGGGGGGGUCUGAAUCUCUUAGGAGGAGAGGCCAAAUUUGCAUUAAAACCAUCCAUAAGUAAUUAAUUAAUUAUUGAUGGCAGUUUUGAUCAGCUAGCUGCGAAUGAAAAAUUAUUAACUGUUUAAUAGCAGUAAAUUUAGAUGGUCACCAGUAUUAUUGAAACAAUGCAAUUUCACUUGACAUUGCUUUCUUCUCAAAUUGUCUACUUGGGCUAAGAAAUUCAGUUACAUAUCGCUUUACAUGGUUUUCAAUUUCUUCAACUGCAUCAUUAAUAAUGGGGUUCCACUAUCUUCUAGUUCUCCAUCCGUAAUCAUACAAUUGUUAGGCGAGCAAUGAAUUUUGUUGACGAUGAAAUUGAAAACUAGAUGCAAUCUUAUAGAACAAGCAAAGAAUCAUCUUCAUAGAUAAAGCUCCGCCGGCCGUAAUUAAUGUCAUCCACUGCAUGAUCCAUUAGUUAGUUCAGUGGAACAACUGGUUUUCAAUUUCAAAUAAAAGUAAUGCCAUCUGUUUAUUUAUUUUUUUCCAUGUAUCUCAAUUGCCACAUGUGACAAAAUUUUAUACAAUAUGCGUUCUAUGUGGAAUUACAUAGCACUUUAAUGCUACCUAAAGCCCUUUCUAAUCAAUUUGCUAAUAAAAAGAAAUAAAUAUGAUAAAUGAAAUUACAAAAGUACCCUCUUUUUUUUAAAAAAAAAAAUCAUUUACAAUUUUAGUUUUUAAAUUUCUAAUUAAGUUUGAUUUGAUAGUUGUCACCUCUUUACUUAUGCUGUGAGGACUUAAUGUUGGCAAGUUCCGGCAGUCCUUUGACAACUUCUAAUUCUAUUUAAAGGAAAAGAAAAAGAGAGAGAGAAACAAACUGAUUGAAGAUUAAAGAACCAUAGGGGACUUAUUGUACAAAAAUGUGAGGGUAUGUGUACACACACACACACACACCUUUCAAAGGGUAAAUGGGCACCUAGUUAAAUUGGAUUGGGUAUUAUCUAAAUCCAGCCCAUUUCACGGCCCAUGACCUUUCCCAUUGGGAUUCAAAAAACCUCAAAUUAUAAUAUAAAUUCUCUUUUAAGCAUUAAUUAUAAAAAAAAAUGAAGCAAAUCAAAGUUUAGAAUCAAUAUAAUUUAUAAAUUUAUUUUCUAAAAAAAAGGGUUUGGCUUGGCCCGAGGUUUUUUUUUUUUUUUUUUUUCUUUAAGCCCUUAUUUAGGCCCCCAUGUGGAAGGCCGAAUUAACCUAAGAUCUUUUGCUCACCUUAUUCAUAAUGGUAUGUUUACUAAUCAACAAUCAAAAUGGAAAUAAAAAAAUGAAAAUGAAUUAUGUGUUUACUUACUUAAAUAAAAAGAGAAUUAAAAUCAAAAUGAUAGGCCCCACAAAAAGUUAAUAACGAUUACUAGAGCUCUCAUUCUCAUGAGGGAAGUGGGAAUGAGAAUCACAUUCCCUGGAGUGACUGUAUUAUCCCCACUUUAAUUUUUAAAAUUUUCAUUUUGUCUUUCUACAUGUGUUUGAAAAAAAAAAAAAGUCCGGUCACCACUACUGUUGUUGUUGCCAUUGUUGUUGUUGUUGUUAUUAUUAUUAUUAUUGACAUUGUUAUUAAUAUUUUUUUUAUUAUUGACAAUAAAUGUUUUUAGUAAUAGAUUUUUUGAAUAAUAAUAAUCACAAUUAUUAUAACAAAUAAAUAAUAAUAUUAUUAAGGGCAUUUUAACAACUUAUAAUAGUCCAUUUCGAUUUUAAGAUAAAAAUAAAUACAUCAAUGGUAAUAUAUUUCAUUCGGGUUUCGAUUCCUACAAUUUAAGUAAAUAUCUUAUUUUAAUUCAUAUUUCUCAUUCUGAUUUCAGCUCAUUCAAAUUCUAAUUUAUCUCGAUUGCAACUAAUUCUUAAUACUGAUUAGUAAAUGCAUCAUAAAAACAUUUAUUACAUAAAUAUCCUUAAGUCAAUCUUUUUCACAAACGCGCUUCCACUCCCCUAUUAAGAGAUAUUUUUAUUCUCCAUAUGCAAUGUGACAUUUUUUUAGUUGGCUAAGUCAAUUUCUCGAUCACUAAUUAUAAAUUUGUUUCAAAUUUUUUGAAUAUUGAAUUUUAUAUGUCACUCAUCUCUUCUUAGGAUUAUUUUUUUUUUUUUGGGAUUUAUGAAAGUGAUUGAGAAUAAAAAUUUUGAUUUUCAAAUUAAAAAAACGAGCUUAAAAGUAGAAGGCAAUUCAGAUAAAUUAUAAGUUUAGAGUUGUAACCCUAAACCCUUAUUAAUGUUGUUAUUAUUUUUAAAUUAAUAGAAAUAAUGGAAGCAUAACGGCUAGUGAAAAAAGCUUCACUCUGAAUCUGACAGCAAAUCUGCGAUUUGACUUGAAAACAGAAUAUGAGGCAAGCUGAGCAGCAGCGGCAGCAGUCAUGGAAGAUCAGCGUCCAUGCGGAAUUCAAGAACUUCAAUUUCAGAUUAAAAGCAACAAAAAUUUCACCCACUUGGAAAUUCUAUCGAUUUUCUAUCUUCCUCAAGCUCCACAAUUUCCUUCUACAGCUCAGAUCAGACUCUGAGACUCCUCCAUUUCUCACCCGUCAACGCACAACUCUCAAAUCCAGAUUGCUCGCCGCCGUCCACAAACUCCGACCUCGUCGUUCAAAGAAUCACCCUGUCACUGAAGUUAAUUCUCCCAUUGACCGAUUAAAACAUUUUGCUUCCAAGGUAAUAACACUAUAAUUACCCCUUUUUUCCUCUUCUUUUGACCUAUACUCUCGUAUUAUUAUCAUUAUUAUUUUAUUUUGUAGGAGCCGGUCAGUAAAGGAGGAUCUUUGGCUGUUGGGAUUCUUGCAUUUGUGUUUCAAUCAAUUUUUGAGGACCAUCACAGAGGAAUUAUAGUUCGAAGCUCGUUUCUUUUGAUUUGCUUUGCUGUACUGCUCGGGAAAAGCAUACCUGAAAAAUCUAGGACUGUGCUGACACUUUCAGUUGUUGCCAUUGUAAUUGCAACGGCAGUUCGUUCAGGUUUAGAUUAUAGGUUUAUGAAUUAUGAUUAUCAUCAUCAAGACUGGAUUUCCCAGCUUGUUCGGAAGGCAUGGAGCAAAAUUGAUUUCCUGCAACAUCUUUUAUAGUCAUGAUUACGGGGUUGUAUUUUUCCCAUUGAGCUGCGAGAGCCUUGAGCACGAGUUGUAUUUAUGAACACUAUUAUGUAUCAUUUUGUACGCCGUCCACAGUCUAGAGUUCAAACAUCCAAUUAAUAUUUUCCUCAUACCAUGCAGACAUCUCAUUCAUUCAAUCACUGACACAGUUUUGCAAGUAAAUAUUAUACAGAAUUUGGUGGUUGUUGUAUUUGAUUGGAUAAAAUUUGAAUUUGUCACAUCUGGAUCUACUCAAAUUUCCACAAAGAAAAACCUUCGGCGCUCAGCUUCAGCCCACUUGUUUCUGUAACAGCUAUAACUGGGCCGCCGUUACGGAGUAAGGUUUAUGGCCCAGCCCGUGUCUAUGGACAAACCUAUGAUUGUUUGGUUACACCUAUUUCAAGAUUCGUUUUCGGGAUUAUAACAGGGUAUUGCCAGACAUUUUAAAAUUAGGAAAAAUUAUCAAUGGUACACCCUUAGUUUAUUAUAUUAUCAAAUUUAUUAUAAUAUUUUUAAGGUAUAUCAGUCAUCUACCUUGAGUUGACAAAAUGUAUAUGUUAUCCACCAAACCGUUAGUUGCCGUUUAAAUAUGAUGACAUCAGAGGAGUAAUGUGAUAUUUUCAUAUGAUACAAGUGAUAAUUUUCAAGGGUAAAAUCGUCAAUUCGCUACAGUUCCAUAAACUUUCAAACGACAGUUAAUAGUUUAGUAGUCGAUAAAUAACUUUUAUCAAUUUAUGGUAGACGAUUGAUACACUCUUAAAGUAUUGUAGUAUUUUUUUAUAAAAUCACAAAUUUAUGAUAUACAAAUGAUAAUUUCUCUUAAGAUUAUAUUCAUCAAGUUUAUGGUGUGAUAAUAUCAUUCAUUUACUUAGAAUAUUAAAAAUUUAUCAACCAAUUAAUGAAAAUUAUUGGCUGCGGCAAUAAUUUCCUCCUUCAUAAAAAAUUUAAUAUGUUAUUUAUAUGAGUAAUACUAUAUUUACUCAGUUAAUAUAUUUAUUUUAAUAUCUCAACUAACUGUCAUCAAUAAAAUGUCAUUGUUGGAUAAGAAAUAAAAAAAUAAUAACCAACUAUUACUAAAGUCAAUCAAAUAAUAUCACAUCAUUUUUUACAUUAAUUAGGAUACAAAUUAAAUAUCUUAACUAAAUAAAUAUAGCAUUAUUGUUUUUAAAAGCAUUUGUGCUGUAGUGACAUUGUCAGGAAAUUUAGAGUCUACUUGCAAUUUUGAUAAACAUGAGGUGACUCGCGGAUGAUUUUUCCUUUUUCAUUCCUUAAUAUAAUAUUUUAAUUGAUAGAAAUUUGCAGACGAAAUUUCAUGAACCGGACGGUGGGAAGUGAAUCUAAAGCUUAAAAAAUGAACAGUCUAAAGCGAAAGAGCAAUGAGGCCCACCAGUUUGUAUUGAUGAUGGGAAAUUCCGCCCACGCAAAUGAGGCGCGUGACCCUCUACUCCUCAAUCGAUUGAAGGCAAAGUGGUUGAUGUCAGUAGGUCCCACCAGGCCUUUUAGAAGUUACAUGUUGGCCGUCGAUCCUCCCGCCGCGCGCAUAUCUGACGGGUUUCGUUCACAGUCAAAGAGCUACCUCGAUAGGUCCUUUUGACCACACCGGAAACAUGCUUUUUUAAUUACUUAAUUUUCUAAAGUUUGACUGGAUUGUCACCCCAAUCGAGGUGCCCUGCGUUGAAUAUCGAGGUUCUGUGUGAAUUGCCUAUUAUACCCUUGAAGUGUUUUCCAUUUUACCACCCGAAGGGAUCUAGAGGCUGGAAGUCUCUGUUCAAAUUGUGAUAAUCUUAUUUUAUUAUUUUUUAAAGGAGCCAACAAUUUUAUUAAUUAAUUAGGUUGCAUACUAAAUUGUGUGAGAAGUUUAAAAAAUAUGACAUGAAUUAUGAGGUAAAAUUAUAGUGCAACUGCGGUACCAUAACACAGUUGCACCAGUCAUUGAAUUUAGUUAUAAUUAUCACCACAAGUUAGAUCCAAUGGUUAAAAACAACUGCAGUAUGAUAACACAGUUGCACCAUAGUCGGACUCUAAAUUAUGUCACUUUAAUGAUAUAAUUGAUGAUUAACAUUCAAUUUUCCUUUGAAAAUUUUGAUGGCUCUAGGUUUGUAUCAUCAUACUGUUGAAUAUACAGAAAAUUGACAUAUAACUAAUUUUAAUUUAUAUAGCAGUGAAUUGAAGCGAAUUAAGCGUUUUUCAAUUUUAAUGGCCAUAUUUUUCUCUUUCUAAGUAACCGAUCGGGUCAAAAAACAGCAACACCACAGUUCAAAUUUCAAAAGUUGAACAAAAUGGUAAAUCCUUGCAAUAUGAAAACACCGUCAAGGGUAAACCCGUAAAACCAGCUUAGGAGAAAGCAUUGCUGUUGAAUGAACAGCAUUAUUAAUGAUAUAUUAAUUAAAAUUUAAAUCCAGGGUUUGGUUGGUUUGUUUGACCACUGCUUAAUUGGGCUCCAUUCUUUGCUUUCUUUCCCUUUUGCUCCUUCUUUUGUUUACUUUUCUCUCUCUCUCUCCGAAAAAUCAAUUUCUCACUUCUCAUCUUUGACUUGUUAAAGCCUUUUUCCUUUUCAUCUAAUCAAGCACCACAGGUUUUAUUUUCGUUCCCAGUUUCGCCAUUUUAGUCCUCCCUUUGUUGCUGCUGUUGUUGGACUUUUCUUUUAUGAACUUCAAUUUCAGGUAUGAUCAGUAAUUUCUCUCCUUCUUCUUUUUUUGUUUCCCUUUGUUUGGUAGCUUAUUUUCUGAAAUUCCUUUACGUUGUGUUUAAUUGGUGAGUUUUGUCAAUUGGGUAUUUAUUUAUUUUAAAUAAAACCUGGGAGUUUCUUGUUUGAAUUUUUGUCUUUGUUGUUUUGUGCGUAAUGGAAGAUUAUUCAACAAGCUGAUUGGUUGUGGUUGAUGUAUGAAUUGCGUUUUUCUGCUGAUUUUGGAUCUGGGUAUUUUCCUGGAAGUUUAUUUUUUUAUUUUGGUUUGGCGACGAUUUUGUAACUUUAUUGUCUUCUUUUGAAGGAGCAUUAAUGUUUUUUUCGGCUCAAUCUUGAGUUGCAGCUAUUUAAUUUGUUUAGGUCAAAAGCAGAUCAUAUUUGCCUUGAUAUGUGUAUCUGAUGAUACGGCGAAGUUUUUUAUUUUUGAUUAUUUGGAAAUUUAGUUUUAUAAUUAUAAAGGUUAGUUACCAUGGAAAUGUAAAUGGAUAACUUAUUAUACUUGAGUGGAAUUUUGCAUUAACUAGUCACCAUGAGCUGCGCUACAAGUCUGAACCUAUCAACUGACUCCUUAUUAUCUUUGCAAGAAGUAGGGCUUUUAUUUAUUUUUUAUUUUUUUGUGGUACAGGUCUCUAAGUGAACAUGUGUUUUUCAGUUAAUAUUAUUGGCUAGUUGGGGAAUUGGCUGAUUAAUUUUAUUGGCAGAUGUAAAUCUUAGUGUGACUCAACUGUUUGUGUUGUUAGUUGAUAUUUUUGUUUACUAAGAUUUGCUUGUUGCCUUUCGCAGCGGUUGUAUUCUUUUGUUAAUAUGUUUAUUGGAAUUGCUAAUGUCCGAGGCUUAGGUUGAUAUGUAUGUUCUUUGCUUUCCUUUGGGCAGAAACGCGCUGAACCUUGAUACAUUCUGAAGUUUUGUACAUAAGAUGGGGUGUUUCACAGUUUUGAAAAGUAAAAAGAAGAAACCUGAGCAAACAGUUCACUUGAAACGGGUUAAUCCUCAGGAGCAUACUCCCACCACACUGCCCGAACCCCAAAUCCCUACGCGAUCAUUGCAAUCAGCACCUCCAAGCUUUAGGACCAGAGUGAAGCCUAUUCCACUAAAUAAUACUACCAAAGCCACUAACAAU
rnacentral:lncRNA from 1 species